rnacentral:lncRNA from 1 species
CUUUUGUGGUAUUUCUGGAUCCUUACCAAGGCAGUGAUGGUAUAUGCCUUCUCUCAAAGUAUGUGGUAUUUGUGGUAUGAAGCAUAGUGACAUUGCCUUCUCUCUCAUCCUACUCUAAUAAGGCUUUAAUAUCUGGAGCUCAUAGGUGGGAGAUAAAGUAUACAUACUUACAAGACAUUUAUUGUAUAGUCAAACCAUGGAUCCAAAGAAACAAAUCAAUAAGUCAAAUCAAGAUGUGCAUGUGUGGCGAAUGAAUGGUGUAUGGUGAUGAUGGUGAUAACAAUGGUGAAAGUCUAAUUCUACUUUUGCUCUUUGAGGGGAUACAUACCUUCCUUACUCUUUGAAACUUUGUGAGGAGAAUGAGAUGCUCUUCUUUUUCUUUCCUCUCAGGUGGGUAUUUUGUACCCCUAAUUCUACUGUCAGACACUUGUUCAUUUUUACCUAUCGUCUCACUUUUUCUUUUCUUUCGAGGUUCUGGGCACUUGCCCCUUUCUAUUUCCUCGUAUCUUCUUUUUUCUCUCUCUUUUUUUUAUAGCACUCAUCUCAUGAAAUAAUAUAGCAAGUGGUAGUAACCAAGAUAACUUGAGCAUUUAUUUCACAGGGGAAAACAGAAAUGUUUUUGGCUAUUCUCUCCCGGAUUAGGAGUAGAAUGUUUUUGGGUGGUUCUGGAGAUGGAAAUGGAUGGAUAUAUGUGGAUGCGUACUUCCGGAGUAGAAGCAGCAUGUGUGAGUGAACGUGCAAGUGAAUCUUGAUUUAACCACAUGACUAGCUCCUAAGGGUCGACACCGCUUGACCACACUCAAUGCUCAUAAGCAGUAAAAAGUAAAUGUGUGGCUUAAAGUCUAGCAAGCAUGUAUAUAUGGCUAUGGUAGGAAUUUAAACUCUCAUCAUAUAGGAACUCAUCAUGCAAUAUUUUAAAGAUUUUAAAAGAUAAAAUUCUCCAGAAUUCUAGCAUCUCUAGGAACAGAUAAAUAGCAGCUCAACCUUCCCAUGUCAUAUCCGUUAACAACUUAGAUUUCAGAUCAAGUUUUCUUCCCACAAGUUUAGGUUUUAGAGCAAGCUUUAAAUUAUAACAAUUAUGUCUAAACCAGAGAGAAAACUUCAAAUUUGAAAAUUUGGCAGAGCAACUAUUCAUCAUGUCCAUGAUAGAGUUUUACUAUUAAGAUUCAGUUUAGCAUAGCCACUUUAUUUAUUUAUUAAACACACUAAGCAAAAGAUAUAUAUAUAAGCAUAAAAUCUUUAUUUGGUUUUCCAUAGUUAUGUAUAUUUAUAUUUUAAUAUAGUAUAAGUAUAAAGAUAGAUAGAAAUACUUAGCGGGAUAAAUGGGGGUGCUCUCCCCUAAGCUGAAUUUUGACGUAAUUUCUCUUGAUGUAGCUAGCAGGUGGCAGAGGUGUAUUUGAAAUUUGGUAGUAUCCUGACAGCGAUUAGAAUGUCCUCCGUCUGCUAGUCUUCUUGAUUCUUGAAUUCAGUGGAGCUCAAAUAGACAACAAAGCUUUGUGGAACUGAUUAGGUGUUAGCAUAAAUAUUUAGCCUUUAUCAUGUUUGAGCCUCCUCAAUAAAUAUUACUCCCUAUUUUUAUAUUUUCAUUUUAUAAAGCAGAAAAGAAAUAUUUAUUUUAUUUUUAUGCCACCAUAGUGAAUGUACUUAUGGGUUUCAUGCCACUCGUAUACUCACAUAGGGCUUACUGUUUUUUAACAUUUUUAUUUUCUUUUUAAGAUAGUACAAACAUGAUUAACUAAGUAAACUAUUUUAAAUAAUUGAAAGUGAAAGGAUAACUACAAAGUUUACCUCUUGGCAAGGCGUUCGGUGUUUUUAAGUCCUCCGAACGGGACUCUCCGUUUUCUAGUUGUCCUGGGAUUCAUUGGGUGGCAUAGUCGGUGCUUCCGGCAGCGCCUCUUCUUCAUGUAUAGUUAUCUUCUCUUUCCACACCUGACUCGGUGCUACGGUCUCCUCUGGAUAAUUCUGUUUAAACUGUAUGUCUUCUGACCUUACAACUUCUCCUUCAUAGUCUUCCCAUCCAUCCUUGAUGAUCUGCCUCCUCUGGUUGCGGUUGCGUCAUUUUGUGACCUGCUUAGAGUCUUCAACGAUAUAGUUAGGGUCAGUAAAAUAGCGGCGUACCUUCUCUGAGGGGAAGUGCAUAUGAACUUCUCCAAUUCCAAUGUAGAUGAUUGCUUUAACAGUGCUGAGGAACGGUCUUCCAAGGAUGAUGGGUGGAUUGUAUUCGUCUUCUCCCAUGUCAGUAACCUGAAAGUCUGUAUAGACAAAAAGAUCGUCUAUUUUGACAGGGACAUCAGUUACUAUACCUUUAGCCUCUCGAAAUGUCUGAUCUACCAUCUGGAGCUGAAUUUAUGUUGGUUUUAAGGGCAUGGUUCCAAACAAGAGCCGAUAGGUGACUGCAGCCAUUAUGUUGACGCCCGAUCCGGUGUCGCAAGUCGUCUUGUAGAAGUUGUAUCCAUUUAUGGAGCAAUAGAUGCUUGGCAUUCCUGGGUCGUCCUUCUUAGCCAGAAACGGUGACUUAAGUCGAUGAUCUUGACCUCCUUGAACUGCAGUGACCAUCUUAGCUGACUCGGUCCACACUUGCUUGUUCCUGUUCCUCCCGUUGGUCCUCUUCCUUGAUUCAUGUCGAGAUUGCUCUAGGAUUUGUGUAGUCUUGUUCUUGAAGGAAAACGUCUCCUUCUUCCCUUUGAUGUAGAAACUGAUCUUGACAGCACUAGCGUAGAUUACAGCUCCCGAGGUGUUCAAGAAUGGCCUCCAUAAGAUGAUGGGUGCCCUCUCAUCAUUACCGGUCUCUAUCACCACGAAGUCUACUGUGGCGUACAAGGUACCAACUUGGACACAGAGGUUCUUCAAUAUUCCUUUUGGAAAACUUCACGUCUGAUCUGCAAACUGCAAACACAUGAUUGUUUCUCAUAAAGGAUAUGUAAAGAAUUUUUCAUAGAGUACCGUGGGGAUAAUGUUGACACUAGAGCCAAAGUCGGAGAGUGCUUCUGGGAAGUCCACCAUGCCGAUGGAGAUCGGGAUGACAGGGCGUCCUGGAUCGCCUCUCUUGACCGGCAGAAGGUCAGUAGUAACUUCAGUGACGGGGUUACUCCAGUUACCUGCAUCAAACAUGUCUACAAGAUUUGCAUAUUCUAAUCCUUCUGGUUGUGAUGGUAUACCGGGGUUAGUAGCAGGAACAACAGCAGCUAUUUGAUUUAACUGAGAUUCAAUCAUCUUAUUAAAGCUAAUUUGAUUCUUGAUGGCAGUAGAGAAAUUAUCCAUUCUAUUAUUUAUAUUUUCUAGCAUUUUAUCAUUAGAUGCCAAUUUCUUAGAUAGGUUAUCCAUUAGCUUUCCUUGAUUAGACACUAACUCUCUGAGAGGUGGAAAAUUAUUAUUAUUGUUGUAAGAAUUGUUAGCUUGAUAAUUACCUAAGUAGUUAGGCCUCUGUUGAUUCCAACCUUGAUUUUGCUGAGGACGAUUGUAGUAGUUGUUGUUGUUAUUGUUGAUGUAGUUCACAUCCUCAAGCAUCUCAGGGCAGUGAUUGCCUGAGUGUCCAGUAUCUCCACACGCCUCACAAGUCAUGUGAGAGUCGUAGAUGUGCAUAACUUCUUUCUUAUCUCCAGCUCUAUCAUCGAGCUUCUUCAUGAGCAGGUCUAGCUUUGCAGACAACAUGUCUACCUCCUUGAGCUGAUGCAUACCUCCACCUUUCUUGCGUGUCUGGGUCCUCUCUUCAUUCCAGCCUUGAUUGGACGCCAUCUUCUCCACAAGAGCUGUGGCUUGUGAUAUGGUAAGUGAUAGGAAUGCUCCUCCAGCUGCAUCAUCCAUGGUCUCUCGAGCACUGUUGCCAAGCCCAUGAUAAAACGUUUGCAUUAGUAGCCACCUCUCCAUUCCAUGAUGGGGACAGUCUAGGAUGUAGUCUUGGAAGCACUCCCAUGCUUCUAGAACGGAUUCAUCAUGUUGUUGCUGAAAACUUGUAAUCUUCCCAUGGAGAGCAUUGGUCUUGCCCAUGGGAAAGAACUUAGCUAGAAAGUUCGUUGAGCAGAGUGCCCACGUAGUAUUCUUCUCCUUUGUAGCGUAGAACCACUGCUUUGCUCUCCCUAACAGUGAGAAUGGGAAGAGGCGAAGUAGUAUAGCAUCUCUGGGGACUCCUGAUAUGGUGAAUGUGCUACAAAUCUCCAGGAAGUGUUGGAGAUGAGCACUAGCAUCUUCAUGUGCCUUCCCACAGAACUGGUUGGAUUGCACCAUGUUGAUAAGUCCAGACUUGAGCUCAAAGUUGUCGUCGAUCUCUUCAGUAGGUCCAGUGCGGAUGUUGUCCAUAGUGGGAGCUGAGAACUCGCGUAUCGAUUUGUUCGCCAUGGCUUCGAACUCGGAAGACAAGUUUCGGUGAUCUUCUUGAUUGGAUGAAGCUUCUUACUGAAGUGUUGAUGAUCUCUUCUUGUGCUUGACUCUUGUUUUUCUGAAUAACGCUAUUGGGAUUGUCAACAAAAUUUCCUGGAAGAUUUCUUCUAUUCAUACAUUACCCUGCAUAAGAUAAAAUAGAAAAAUAUAGGGGUAAAACUGUAUGAGAGAACUGAUAAGCUCAAUCAUAUUAGUGAUGCUAAUGAUAACUCAAAAUCCUAUAUUCAUUCCUGAUUAGUAAUCAACCUUCCCCGGCAACGGCGCCAAAAAUGCUUGUUGGGUAUUCUUAACGUCAUUACCAAAAGAAGACUUAGUUUUCUAAUUCUGAUAACGGCGCCAAAAAUGCCAAACCUAUCUCCCAUGCCACUUAAGCUAAGUUGUCAUCCCCAGCAUGACAUAAGAGAUGCGGUAUUGAAAUAUGCAAUUGCUCAUCUAAAUAAAUAACAAAUGAGAUCUGCAAGCGCACAGAUUAAUACCAAUGUAGCAUUUUAACUAGGAAGUAUUCCAGGUAUCGUUAUUUAUAUUUUUACCACUGGGAAGGGAUUAGUAAUCAUCAAUGUUGAUUAUGGAAUGGAAUAUAAGAUUGAGUAUCUAUCAUUGCAUGUAUAAUUGAGAACAUUUAUCUAACUCUUUCAUACAGGGAUAAGUGUCACAUAAAGGAUAUAGAAAGUAAUGAAUAGUGACAAAGAUAAUUAAUCUGAUAAGCAUAACUUAGCCACAUAUAAAUAUGAUAAGCACCUCAAUUAGAUAUUCUAGUAAGUCAUUAGCAUGGAAUUAGAACGAACUACAAGAAUAUUUCCUAAGUUAUUCUUAACUAUACAGUCUAGCAUAUCAUAGUUAGUGCAAUUAUACUUAGCAAUCAUUGCGAGACAAGACUACGCCCAUGCAUAGUGAUAUUAGCAAGGAAUAUGAGAAACAUUGUAAUCACUCCCCUGUAAUAAUGUUGCUCUGCCAGCCCAAUACACGAGAGGGGGACUAUAUAAGAAUCAAUAGAGCUGUCACUACCACGAACUACCCCACGAUCUGGCAUAUAGGGUACAAUCGCAGAUAAAUACGGUAUAAGCACCACGCCUACACAAUAUCUAUCAUUUACCCAUGGAUCCGAUGGAUAAAUGUUAUACGAUCCUAAACAUGUAUAUAAUUCCAAUCUAACUAAGCCAAGUAUAUAACUAUGAUAAACUAAGAACAAUAUAAUUGCGAAUAUAAACAAGUAGAGCAAAGUCAUAAUCAAUAUAUUGAAGUAGAACAAAGUCAUAUUCAUAAUAUUGAAGAACAAAGAUGAACAAUUGAAGAACAAUAGAGAAUUACCAAGAAACCUCUUGACAGAUCCGGAAACCAAUCGAAGAUUGACUCCUUCUAAUUCUAAUCCUAUGUAGCUAUGCUAAUCUAGAUAUCUAAUUGAUGUGGUGGCUCUAGGCUUGAUCAGAGGCUUCUUCUCCCUUGAUGGAUAAUGAAUUAGGGUUGAGAGGCUCUCUCCUCCAGGGGCCAGGGGGUCUGGUUUUAUAGUCCUUUCAAGUGAAUAUGGGCCGUUGGAUCAAACCGACAUUGAUUGAACGGUUAUCCUUGAUCCUUUAGGUCGGUGGAGCUUAAUCCCAAAUGAGAGUCCUGAUUGAACUCUAAAGGGGGGCGGGCGCCAUGGUCCCUAGGGCAGGCGCCCUGGGCCAGGCUCUGUUCUGCCUCUGCUUCGUUCUCGUGCCUUCUGGAGUCUUCUAGAUGUAAGAUAAUUGCGCAGCACGUUGAUAUCUCUAUGUAAUCCUGACGUGUGGGCCUAUCUUCCAUAUUUCCUGAUAACCCCCUGCAGAAAUAGACAAACACCAAAACUCGUGGAAUUCUGUCAGAUAAAACCCUAAGUCUGGAUGUUGAUUUCAUUUGGAUCCUUUUCUUUGUUUAUUUGAUAAUUAAAUUUGAUACUUAAGGACCGUCAACACAUUCAAACAUGUUUUCCUUCACUUCUUUGCUCAGAGUAUAGCUAGCAGGGCUUAAGUACUGGCGCCCGUCAUCUGUCUUCUUCGGAUGCAGGUUGCCUCAUUCUUUCAUUUCCUGCAAGUCCUGUCGUGCUUCAAGUGAAUCCUUAGGUUUCCCAUAGACACCCAUGAAUCUGAUAAGAUUCACACAGAGACUCUUUGUUAGGUGCAUCACAUCGAUCGUGUGGCGGACCUCUUGGACAUGCCAGUAGGGUAGCUCCUAGAAUAUGAACUUCUUCUUCCACAUGGGUGUAUGUCCCUAAGCAUCUUUGGGAAGAGGUUCGCUACCCCGUCCCUUACCAAAAACUACUUUCAUAUCCUUCACCAUUUCGAGUAUAUCUUCCCUGGUUCGGUUACGAGGCUUAGUCCGGUGGUCUCCCUUGCCUUUAAAAUGUUUGCCUUUCUUUCUUACUAGGUGGCCCACAGGAAGAAACCGACGGUGGCCAAUGUACAUGACCUUUCGACAUUUUUUCAAAUAUAUACUAUCAAGGUCUUUGAAACAGUGUGUGCAUGCAUUGUAUCCCUUGUUUGUGUGGUCUGAAAGAUUACUUAGAGCAGGCCAGUCAUUAAUUGUGAUGAACGACAAUGCUCGCAGGUUAAAGUGUUCCUGUUUGUACUCGUCCCACACGCAUACACCUGGCUUUCUCCAUAGAAGAAGAAGUUCCUCAACUAAUGGCCUCAGGUAGACAUCGAUGUCGUUGCCAGGUUUCUUCAGCCCUUGGCUGAUAGGCAUCAUAAUGAACUUCUGCUUCAUGCAUAACCAUGGAGGAAGGUUGUAGAUGCAGAGAGUGACUGGCCAAGUGCUAUGACUACUGCUCUGCUCCCCGAAAGGAUUAAAACCAUCCGUACUUAAAGCGAACCUCAAGUUUCUAUCCUGCAAACUUUGGGAAUUCUCUAUCUAUCGCUCUCCACUGGGAUCCAUUAGCAGGGUGCCUGAGCAUAUUGUCUACCAUACAGUCUUCUUUAUGCCACCCCAACAACUUUGCAUUGUCUUUAUUUCUGAACAAACGUUUCAAGCGUUGUAUUAUAGGAGCAUACCACAUAACCUUGGUAUGGAUUUUCUUCCAGCUAGGACGUUCUUCACCCUCUACGUCGCCACGAUCAUCUCGCCUGAUCUUAUACUGUGAUGCUUUGCAUACCGGGCUUGCAUCCAGAUUCUUGUAUUCCUCACAACAAUACAGGAUGCAGUCAUUAGGACAUGCGUGUAUCUUCUAGAUUCCUAAUCCCAAAUGGUAGACAACCUACUUUGCUUUGUACAUAGUGGUGGGCACUUCGUUUGCCCUCGGAAGCAUCUUUUUCAUGAUCUUCAAUAACUGCCCAAAUGACUUGUUGGAUGCACCAUUCUUUGCCUUCCACUAAAGCAGUUCAAGUGUUGUACCCAACUUUUUUUUGCCUAUCUUCAGCGGUCGGAUAUAGCAAUUUCCCGUGAUCCUCUAGCAUGCGCUCGAACUUGGCCUUGUUCUCACUUUCACAAUCUCUUUGUACAUCGCGAAUGGCAUCACCAAGAGCAUUCAUCAACUGCCACAACUUCUGCCGCUGCCGCAUCCUCUUCAUCAUCUCCCCCCACUACAUCAUCACCGAAGGUACCGUACUGAGCAAUAAUAUCGGCGUGGUUCAAUUCUUCUUCAUCUUCUUCACCAUCAUCCAUUAGAACCCCCCUUUCUCCGUGCUUCAUCCAACAAAUAUAGUUUGGUACAAAACCCGACUUCAACAAAUGCGUAUGAAGAGUCCUUGAGCAUGAAUAUUCCUUCAAAUUCUUACAAAUGGCGCAUGGGCAGCACAUGAAACCAUCCUGCUUGUUUGCCUCAGCCACACCUAAGAAAUAGUGCAAGCCAGCAUUGAACUCUUUAGAGCGGCGAUCGACAUUAUACAUCCAAUUGCGUGACCACAUCUGCAUUAAAUAUUACAACCAUGCACUUAGUUCUUCCUGUUAUUGUACAACGCACACGACAUCACAUGAUUAAUUAAUUCAAGCAACCCUUACUACAACAAAGAUAACCACAACUAGCAAUAAAAAAACUAGAACUAAAAUACACUUAAGCAACAUAAUUAUUUCUCGUCCUAUCCCAACUAAAAUAAACAACUGCCCAUCCGCUGGCAGGGUGGUGGGCUUCUUCCGCUGGCUCACUGCCUCAUCACCUUCAGCCGCAACCUCCUGUGUAAUAGAAUUUCGCACGUGCGGAAUGUACUCUUCCUCCCAGUACCAACCUUUAUAUCCACCGGUACCCUCCCACUGCAAUUAGAACAAAGAAUAAGUAAUUUAAAUAACAUCAUCAAGCAAAACUAGGACAAAUGAACCAUAUUAAUUAAAUGCAGGGAAAUAAUAACCCACCUCACGGUCUGGACACUUGUAGAAUAUAGUACCCUUGUUGAUUCCCUCUUUUUUCACUCGGUGCUCCUUCACAAUCUUCUGCUUACACUCGCCGCAAGCAAUGAGAGGAAGAUCCGGCCGCAGACGCUUUGGAUCUCGGUGAUGAGAGACUGAGAACCCAGUGGCCAUCUACUAUAUAUCCAUACUGAUAGGUUACCGAUAUGGAUCGGUACGAGGGUGUCCCGAUCUUCACGACAGUAGAUCAAAAGAACAAGGAUAACUUGCUGCGAACAGCGGGUAACUAGCUUUAUACCUGACAAAGGUUGGAUGCGACCAAGCGACGGGGAGAGAGGCACCGAAACCACGAAGACUUCGACUCGAUCUCCAAACGACCGCAGAACCACAAUCCGGAACUAAUCCACACAAUACGGCGCAGCCGCACGGAAGCCGUAGAGCACGAAGUAGGGGAACCCAGAGGAUUCACUUCACAAGUCCAUGAAGAACAAGGAAGAACAAAGGUUGAGUAAGGCACUCAGCAGCGCGGCUGCAAUAUCAUUUAGUUUAUGAAAUGAUCAAAGGUUGCUAAUAGCUUAGAGGUAGGGGAUAUUUAUACUAGGAACAACCCUCCUAGAUAGGUAUGAAAACGAAAUAGAGUUUGUGGGUGAAGGCAAUGUGAAAAGACCCCUCGGAAUGGAUUCCCGAACUGGCUUCGCGUGACUGUUGGCCUCCAGAGCAGUUUCCAAUAAACUGACCAUAACUUUUUAUUGGGAAGUCCAAAUGACGAACCGUUUCUUGGGUGUGAAACUAGACUCAUAGAGCUUUCCAGCAAUGUAUGCCACGUACCUCAAAACGUCGUAGAUUGGUACAGUUUUGCACGGCAAGUUGCACCAACAUUCUGUCACGGCAGACUGUUGACCUUCUGAUCAGUCUGUACUAAUUCUGGUCUGCAGGCAAUAUGGAGUAUCAAAACUGGUCGCCACUAGAUUCAUUGGAAAGUAGACUCGACAAGCUUUCCAACAAGUCCUCAUGGGCCUUCAUAGCUUUUGUGAUUAAAAAGUUAUGAAGAUUUCUUUGCACUGGUCCGUUUUUGACUUCCACUGGUCCGUUUUUGACGUGUCUUCUAGGACUUGCACUGGUUCGUUCUUCAGGGUCUGAUUCAUCCUUCUCUUCUUCUAUAUACCUGAGUACAAUCAAGGUAGAACACUUAGGUAGUAUAUAAUUUUCAUUAAUGUUAAAAUGAAUCUCACAAAGUAGCGCGUGGACCUCUUGUUGUAGCUUCUUUGCACGACUACGUGUAACCGGUCCAUCGAUGACUUUGGCUGGUGUCGGUGUAGGUAAAACUUGAGUGGUUGUAGCUUGACUUGGAGCUUGUGACAUCUUGCUUGCUGGCAUAGUCAUAUCAUCCUCCCCCCCUUCAAAAAGAGUCGUCCUCGACUCUUCCAAUCCAAAGAAUGGAGAAAGGUCGGAGACAUUGAAACUUGUACUCACACCAUAAGUACUUGGAAGAUCAAUUUCAUAAGCAUUGUCAUUGAUCUUGCGAAGCACUUUGAAUGGACCAUCGGCUCGGGGUUGCAGCUUGCUCUUGCGUUGUUCAUGAAAGCGAUCCUUGCGCAGGUGCACCCAAACCAAGUCUCCCAGUUCAAAUAACAUCUUCUUACGACCCUUGUUAGCGUGCUUCUCAUAUAACUUGGUCAUCUUCUCAAUGUUUGCUUUAGCUUGAUCAUGAAGCUUCUUGACAAAUUCUGCUCGCUUGCUUGCAUCAAAGUUCACACGUUCCUGCAUAGGCAAAGGCAAAAGAUCGAUGGGAGCAGUAGGUUUGAACCCAGAGACAAUCUCAAAUGGACAAAAUUUUGUGGUCGAAUGUACUGCCCUGUUGUAUGCAAACUCCACAUGAGGCAAGCUUUCUUCCCACAAUUUCAGAUUCUUCUUUAGGAUAGCUCGCAGCAAUGUUGAUAAUGUGCGGUUCACAACUUCAGUUUGUCCAUCUGUUUGAGGAUGACACGUUGUGGAGAAGAGCAGCCUUGUCCCCAGUUUUUCCCACAAGGUUUUCCAAAAGUAACUCAAAAACUUGGUGUCACGAUCAGACACGAUGGUACGUGGCACUCCAUGUAGACGCACAAUUUCUCUGAAAAACAAUUCAGCAAUGUGUGAAGCAUCAUCGCUCUUAUGACAGGGAAUAAAGUGUGCCAUUUUGCUAAAUCUAUCAACCACAACAAAUAUGGAAUCCUUCCCCCUCUUGGUUCGUGGUAAACCAAGGACAAAGUCCAUAGAAAUGUCCUCCCAAGGGACACUAGGGAUAGGUAGAGGAGUGUAUAAACCAUGAGGAUUCAAACGGGACUUAGCUUUAUGGCAGGUUUCACAGCGAAGAACAUGCCUCUCCACAUCUCUUCUCAUCUUAGGCCAAAAGAAAUGGUCAGUCAGCACUUGUUCUGUUUUCUUUGCACCAAAAUGGCCCAUAAGUCCUCCUGCAUGAGCUUCUUGCACUAGCAAAAUGCGAACAGAGCAAUCUGGAAUGCAAAGUUUAUUAGCUCGAAAUAAGAAACCCUCAUGCAAAUGUAAUUUUUCCCAUCCCUUGCUGCCACAACACUUGGAAUAUGGUUCAGCAAAAUAUGAAUCCUUAACAUAUAGUUCUUUUAUACUUUCUAAUCCAAGAAUUUUAGUAUCAAGUCUUGAAAGCAAAGUAUGACGUCGAGACAAAGCAUCAGCUACAAUGUUAUCUUUUCCUUUCUUGUACUUGACAACAUAAGGAAAGGACUCAAUGAACUCACUCCAUUUUGCAUGUCUUCGGUUCAGUUUUAGUUGGCCUUUAAGAUGUUUCAAAGAUUCAUGGUCUGAAUGUAUCACAAAUUCUUUAGGCAAAAGGUAGUGUUGCCAAGUUUCCAAGCUUCUAACAAGAGCAUAUAAUUCUUUAUCAUAAACUGAGUAAUUCAGAGUUGGACCACUUAGCUUUUCACUGAAGUAUGCAAUCGGCCUCCUUUCUUGCAUGAGAACGCCACCAAUUCCUAUACCACUUGCAUCACAUUCAAUUUCAAAAGUCUUACCGAAAUCUGGAAGUGCAAGAAGUGGGGCUGUUGUCAACUUCAUCUUCAGUUCUUCAAAUGCCUUCUCUUGUGCUUCUCCCCAAUUAAAAGGCACUCCUUUCUUUGUCAACUCAUUGAUUGGAGCAGCAAUGGUGCUGAAAUCUUUCACAAAUCGCCGGUAGAAACCAGCAAGUCCAAGGAAGCUACGCACUUGAUUCGCAUUCUGUGGAGGCAUCCACUCACGAACAGCUUUGAUCUUAUCCUCAUCCACCUCCACACCAUGUCCUGAAACAACAAAACCAAGAAAAACUACCUUGUCGGUGCAAAAUGUGCACUUGUCAAGGUUAGCAUACAAUUUUUGCUCACGUAGGACAGCAAGCACAAUUUGGAUAUGCUCAACAUGUUCAUCAAGAGACUUGCUGUAAAUUAAUAUAUCAUCAAAGUAAACCACAACAAACUUGCCAAUGAAAGAUCUAAGCACAUGAUUCAUCAAUCUCAUAAAGGUACUUGGUGCAUUAGUCAAUCCAAAGGGCAUUACCAACCAUUCAUACAACCCAAACUUGGUUUUAAAAGCUGUCUUCCACUCAUCUCCUUCUCUCAUUCUUAUUUGGUGAUAGCCACUUCUUAAGUCAAUUUUAGUGAAAAUUGUUGCACCACUAAGUUCAUCAAGCAUAUCAUCAAGUCUAGGAAUGGGAUGCCUAUAUCUUACUGUGAUGUUAUUAAUAGCUCUACAGUCAACACACAUUCUCCAUGAACCAUCUUUUUUUGGAACUAAAAGAACAGGGACUGCACAAGGUGAAAGACUUUCCUGCACAUACCCUUUCCUCAUCAAUUCUUCCACUUGUUGCUGAAUUUCUCUUGUUUCCUCCGGAUUGGUGCGGUAUGCAGCUCGGUUUGGAAGUGAAGCACCGGGAACAAGGUCAAUUUGAUGUUCUAUUCCUCUCUUGGGUGGCAGUCCUGGUGGUACCUCCUCUGGAAAGACAUCCUCAUAUUCCUGUAACACAUUAAAAAUAACACUUGGCAAAGUAGAGGAUAAGUCGUUAGGGGAAAGAAAAUUUUCCUUGUACAGGAGUACAAGGAAUGUGGCAUUGGGUUCACUCAAUUCUUUUAAAUCCCCUUUCCUAGCCAUCAUAACUAAUCCCUCUUUUCCCUUUGUCUUGGUCAUUUGUGGCUGUGGGGUUUUAUUUGGCUUUAGAAACACUCCCUCACUAUUUUUGUGGGUCACUCGCAAGUGGUUCUCGCUCUCUCGCUGUUUUCUUUUUAGAUCAUCAUUCAAAAUCUCCUCCGGUGUCAAAGGGAGCAAAGAAAUUCGCUCUCCUUUGUACAUGAAAACCAGCUUGUUGGUUCUUCCAAAGAUCUGAACAUCACGAUCAUAUAACCAUGGUCUACCUAGCAGCAGCUGGCAUGCUUGCAUAGGCACCACAUCACACUCCACAUGAUCAUUAUACCUCCCAAUAGAGAAAGGAACUGUCACAACAUGGCUCACACGCAGCGCACCACAAUCAUUCAGCCACUGCAUCUUGUAUGGAUUAGGAUGACGCCUUUGUUUUAGCUCCAUUCUAUCAACCAAUUCUUGGCUAGCAAUAUUGUUGCAGCUGCCAUUGUCAACAAUAAUUCUACACAACUUCUCUUUGAUCAUGCCUCGAGUGUGGAAAAGAUUGUGUCGCUGCCCAUUCUCUUCCUUUGCAGCAGUAACACUAAGCACACGAAGAGAAAUAAAGCAGUUGUUAUCACCUUCAUCGGGUUGGAUCUCAUUAUCAUGGUUCUCAUGAUCCUCAUCAUAUCUUGGACCUUCUUCCUCUCGAUCACUUUCAGAUUCCCAUUCACCAUUAUCAUUCACAAUCAUGGUCCUCCUACUAGGACAUUGUGCAGCAAUAUGUCCACGACCAUGACACUUGUGGCACACAAUUUCUCUACUACGUGCAGAGGAAGUAGUAGCUGAGGAAACAAUAGUUGGGGCUGCUACACUUGUAGUAGGUCGCUGCUGAUAUACAGGGGAUGAUGCUGUAGAAACCACCAUCUUUGAGGGAGCAUUAGAUGAAGAGGGCCGAGCUGCAGCACCUUGGGACCGUCCCCCACCAAAAGAAGUGCUGGACUGCUGCUUGCGCCAUGGGGCUGCAAUAGAAUGACUUGCAUAAGAUUUUCCACGUGUCUCUUGCUGAAUUUUUCUUUCAGUACGCAUAGCUUGAUUAACAAGGUCUUGCAAAGUAUGAUAUGGAAACAUCUCAAUAAAACCAGCAAUUUCCUCAUUGAGACCACCCAAAAAUCUUGCCAUUUUUGACUCUGGAUCCUCUCUAAUUCCAGUCCGCACUAACAGCAGCUCCAUCUCCUUAUAGUACUCAUCAACCGAUCUUUUUCCUUGCUUCAACAUUUGUAACCUAUUGCGAAGGUCACGCUGAUAGCUUGAUGGUACAAAUCGCCUUCUCAUCACUUGUUUCAUCUCUUCCCAUGUGUUGAUAUGUUCACGGCCCAACACAAGUUGAUUCUCUUGUAUUUGAUUCCACCAAGUCAGAGCAUAACCAGAGAACUCCACUGAAGCAAGAUUGACACACCUCUGAUCAGAGAGAUUAUGCACUCUAAAAAUUUGAUCACACUGCUCAGCCCACUCAAGAUAUGCAUCUGCAUCCUCUCUUCCAGUGAAUUUUGGGAUACUCAACUUGACACGAGCAAUGCUGUCCGGUUCUUCCCUAUUACAACGUCCAUGAUGAUGCUCUCUAUCUCCAUGAUCAGCAUGCCGCCGAUGAUAAUGGUGCCACCUAUGCAGCCCAUCAUUUGCAAAGGGAUUCUCAUUAGACCCCUCUUCGUGACCAAAGUUAUCAAAUUCUUCAUCAUCAAAAUGAACUUGAUGGCCACGACCACGUCCAUGAGCUCGUCCUCCAUUUUGGCCAUGAUGACCAGCCCGCCUACCACCACCACGACCAUCUCUGAAACGGUCAUGUCCUCCAUUAGAAUUUUCAGCACUAGAUUCAUCAGAUUGAUGCCGAGGACCCCUCUGCCCAUCCGCAGGUAUGCGUGCUUCAAGCAUUCUCUCCAUGGCCUGCAAGAGUGAGUCUGCCAUUUGGCGCAACUCAGCCCGUGCAACAGGGGGUUCUUCUCCAUAACGAUUACCAUGAAUACUUGAGUUGGAUCCUGUCAUGUUAGCACUUAAGGCAAAAUAUAGUGGAAUGGGUAAAUUUGUGGAAUCACACAACCUCACCUCUUACUUACCAAUGCUCUUUCCUGUUCUCAAGGACAGUGAAUUGUGCUAGUGUAGCGGCUCAACAGAAGUGAUUCCGAGGUCGCAAGGAUUACGAGUCGAAUGUCCUGGUUUCAGUUUUAGGUGGAGCUAUAGGUGGCUAAACAAGGGAGGCUACGGUACUGAAAUCAAGUGACUUGAUGUGCUCAAAUGAUAUAAUGUUGCUGGUAUAUAAAUCACCAAGAAUCUGAAUAUGUAAACUGAGUUUUUCAGUGAGCAAACCGCAAUACAACCCCUUUCUUCUUCUUAUACUUUUUUUUUGUUCUUUCUCUUUUCUUUCUCUGAUUUUUUUUCUGAUUUUUUUUUGAACUCUUUUUUUUAUACUAACAGGGGUGCGGAUAACAAAUGAAACACAACACAAUAUAUGUAAAGAGGGUGACUAGCAACUUGAUGAACACAAAAAAAAACACAAGAUAACAGUACCAACAAAGGUCUAUAGGAUUUUUGUGGCUUUUCAGUGGACUAUAGGUGAUGAACAAAACAGUAGCAAACGAUAGAUAAACUAAAGGUAGAUAUGUGGAUGAUUGUGAGACCUACCGUGACAACGAAAGCUUUGAUACCAGUUGAUAGGUUACCGAUAUGGAUCGGUACGAGGGUGUCCCGAUCUUCACGACAGUAGAUCAAAAGAACAAGGAUAACUUGCUGCGAACAGCGGGUAACUAGCUUUAUACCUGACAAAGGUUGGAUGCGACCAAGCAACGGGGAGAGAGGUACCGAAACCACGAAGACUUCGACUCGAUCUCCAAACGACCGCAGAACCACAAUCCGGAACUAAUCCACACAAUACGGCGCAGCCGCACGGAAGCCGUAGAGCACGAAGUAGGGGAACCCAGAGGAUUCACUUCACAAGUCCAUGAAGAACAAGGAAGAACAAAGGUUGAGUAAGGCACUCAGCAGCGCGGCUGCAAUAUCAUGUAGUUUAUGAAAUGAUCAAAGGUUGCUAAUAGCUUAGAGGUAGGGGAUAUUUAUACUAGGAACAACCCUCCUAGAUAGGUAUGAAAACGAAAUAGAGUUUGUUGGUGAAGACAAUGUGAAAAGACCCCUCGGAAUGGAUUCCCGAACUGGCUUCGCGUGACUGUUGGCCUCCAGAGCAGUUUCCAAUAAACUGACCAUAACUUUUUAUUGGGAAGUCCAAAUGACGAACCGUUUCUUGGGUGUGAAACUAGACUCGAAGAGCUUUCCAGCAAUGUAUGCCAUGUACCUCGAAACAUUGUAGAUUGGUACAGUUUUGCACGGCAAGUUGCACCAACAUUCUGUCACGGCAGACUGUUGACCUUCUGAUCAGUCUGUACUAAUUCUGGUCUGCAGGCAAUAUGGAGUAUCAAACCUGGUCGCCACUAGAUUCAUUGGAAAGUAGACUCGACAAGCUUUCCAACAAGUCCUCAUGGGCCUUCAUAGCUUUUGUGAUGAAAAAGUUAUGAAGAUUUCUUUGCACUGGUCCGUUUUUGACUUCCACUGGUCCGUUUUUGACGUGUCUUCUAGGACUUGCACUGGUUCGUUCUUCAGGGUCUGAUUCAUCCUUCUCUUCUUCUAUAUACCUGAGUACAAUCAAGGUAGAACACUUAGGUAGUAUAUAAUUUUCAUUAAUGUUAAAAUGAAUCUCACAAAGUAGCGCGUGGACCUCUUGUUGUAGCUUCUUUGCACGAUUACGUGUAACCGGUCCAUCGAUGACUUUGGCUGGUGUCGGUGUAGGUAAAACUUGAGUGGUUGUAGCUUGACUUGGAGCUUGUGAUAUCUUGCUUGCUGGCAUGGUCAUAUCACAUACUCAUUUCUUAAAUUAUGCAUAUAUAAUACCAAUUUAGCUGGACUUGUCAAUUUGAUGAACUCUAUGCUCAAACUCUUUAUACAUAUACUAUAUGUCCAUACUCAUUAAUUUAAGCUAUGGAUAUUACUGCUUUAAGCUAUGAAUUCAAACUAACAAAUAAAUUUGAGCUCAUAAAUCACUACUAAACAUAUAUUAAUUUAAAUACAUCGUAAAAAGUCUUAAAUAGUUAAUUAUUACAUAAUAUCUUUACAACCCACUAUCGAGUGGGCAGAACAGUGAACUGCUUUUUGAUAUGUCAUUACAAUUCUUUGAAUAUUACCUCACAUGUCCUUAAUUUUGGCGCCAUUGGCAUUGUUGAUGUUUAGCAGCAGGAACAACUUCCUGAUAUUGUCAUGCAACGCCAGCAGGAGAAACAGUGAGCUCCUUUGUAGGGUCAUCGUGAUGGCCUCGAGGUAGGCGACAGAGGAGACCUCAUGGGCGUGCUCAUCCAUGACGUGCUCGUAUAGACCCAUGCUCAUGCCACGGUAGCUGCAGCCAUCGAUGAGGCAUCAAUGACGACUACAGCUACCAUGGCAUGAACAUGUGUCUAUACGAGCACGUCAUGGACGAGCACGCCUGUAACACCCUAGGUGUUAAGCAUGCACUUAGCCUUACCAAAGCAAUGCAUAAGCAUUCUCAUCAAGCAUAGCAUCAUGAGCAUGUCAUUCAUCCCAAAAUAUGAUUUUAUGUGUUUUAUUCCAUGUGCUUUAAAUAUGUUAAAAAUAUGAUGCUUGCUUCUAAAAUUGUGGAAUAUCCAAACUAGGUUGAUUUAUGUGUAAGAAGGUUUAAAACUAUUUUUGUGCAAUUUUUGGAGCAAUAGAAUUUGAGAAAUGGAAUUUAUACAAAAUCCCCAAAAUGAAUUUAUUUGAAAACCUAGAACUAGUUUUAAUUGGUAAUUAAAAUUCUACUUGGAAUUUGGCCUUGCUUAUUAAAACAAAGUUGUAGGGUUUUUGUUUUGGAACAACUUUGCUUUAGGGAGAAAGAGGUGAAAAUGAUUUUAAAUUGGUCCAAAUGAAUUUAGAAAAUAAUUUGAGAAAAGAAAUUCAAAAAAAAUGGAAAAGGGGCAGGCACUGCUGGGCCAACCCCGCCUCCCUUUCGGCCCAGACAGCGGUCCGGCCUGCCUCCCCCUACCCCUCUCUUCCGCGCGCGGACGCCCGCCUCGUCCCAGCCAGCGUCGGCCACGUGGCGGCCGUACGCCGGCGAGGAGCGCGCCGCGGCCGACCGGCUUCACCUGGUCGGGACGCCGGCCCGGGCUCCCAGGCCACUCCAUUCGCUCUGUCGCCCGCGCCUCUCUCCCUCCUCCCUCUACUCGUGAGCGCAACCGCAGCCGUAGGAGCUCCGCCGCAGCGCCAUCGCCGGAGCAGCUCCGCUGCUCACCGCCGGCCACUCCAGUGCCCCAAUCUCGACGCCGAAACCACCGGUGCACUCGCCGUCGUCGCGGUAAGCUCCUGCGAACGCUCUACCGAGGUGAGAGCCCGUCGAACGCCGUGAAUCGCUCGUCGGAGUUGCUCCGACCUCGCCGGAGAGCUCCGCCGCGUCGAACCUCGCUCGUUUCUGCCCCGUUUCGCUUGCUUCCUGGCACGUUAGAUCCGUAGUGCGACGGGGAAGCUCGGAGGAGCCCUUGCGCAUGUUCUACCGCACCGGAGCAGCCUGGCCACGGCGAGCAGCGCCACCGUGCCGCCAUGCAUGCUCGUUGGAGGUACUCCGGCCAUCCUCCGGCCAACCCGAGGGUACCGCUGGGUGCGCCUCGCUGCGGGGAGCACGAUGGUGCCCACCCCGUGGCCGGGAACCUCACCGCCGGCGAGAUCUGCUCGUCGGAGGUGCUCUCCCUCUUGGUCUCGCUGACCAGUGGGGUCAGAGGCCCACUGUCAAUCGCAGGGGGACCGCGUUGGGUGUAGAUCUGGGUGUCUUUAAAGUUUUUUAUCCCGUUUUCGAAUUGAUUUUCUGAAAAGGUUUUCCAGAAAUCGAUUUAAAACUUGUAAAAUCCAUAUCUUGAGUUCUACAGCUCCAAAUUUGAUGAAAUAAAUUUUGGUGUGCUCUAUAUUUUCAGAACUACAGUUUGAUGUAAUUGCAUGUCAUGUUUGAACACUUUUUCUAGACAGAAAUAAUUAAUCCAUGCUUUUGCUAAACUUAGAAAAUGCAUAGUAAUUAAAAUAUAGCUCAGAAAAAUGUGAAACUUGAUUUGUUGGCUCUACAUGUAUGUUAACUCACUGGGAAAAUAUUGCUACACAUUAUUUGGUGUAUAAAUGAAUUUAUAGUGAUUUAAAUGCUUGCAUGGCAGUGGUUUAUGAUUUUUAAUAAAGAUUUGGAUCAUGCAAUCAGUCGGGAAAUUUUUGUGGAUGUUUCAUAUGAUAUUAGACAAAUUGUAAAAAUAUGAAAUCUGCUGUUUGACACUUAUACCACAGUAGAGUAAUUGUACUUGCCUUUAUGUAAUAAUCUUGUGAUUUUUGUAGCUCAAAAUAAGUAUCCAAAAAUUAUGAAAAAUUUAUAGUAGACUUUAUGCUUGACUGGAAGUCUCCUGUAAUUUUUGUUGAAAUUAUAGAUGAACAGAACUGCAUGCAAAUUUUGAUGGGCCUAGAAAUGAAUAAAGAAAAUUAUGAAUUGUUAUAUAUGGGUUAAAUAGAAUAAAAAGGGGUUUGGUGUAUUUUUGAAGCAUCAUGUGGGUUGCUGGUUACACUUGAAAACAAUUGGUAGAAGAGAAUGCAAUAGAUGUUUAAUUCAAUUGUCUGUUCCAGGAUGAUGUUGACUACCUUGUAAUGAGCAUGACCAAGUGAAUCACCUAUGCAUCAUGUCAUGAUCAUUUGGUACCUUCUCAUACAAGCAUCCACUCGGGCAUCUCGCACUCCACUCAUGAGCACACAUGCAUCAUACAGGCUCGCAGGAGAACGAGGUGGGACCCGAGGGGCCAGAGGAGAUUCAGGAGCAGGAACCUCCGGAAGCACCGGAACCCGGAGAGGAGCUACAGGAGUGUCCGGAUCACCGGCCCAGCACGUUUGAGAAAGGCAAGGCCCGGAGCAUUCUAAGUCUCUCUAUUCUCGCUAACUUACAUGAUAUACUAUGCUUGUUCUACUAUACUGCAUUUAAGUGAUAGGAAUUGCUUGAUACCGUUGAUGCAUAUGUACUCCUUGUUAUCCCUACUCGUUUAUCUACCUUGUCCUAUGUAGAUAGGCGCGGAGUUUAUGCUUAGCUUGCUUAGUCUGCUAGAAGUCGGGUGAUUCCCUGUCACCUGCGAGAUAUAGGUGGAUACCUGCCUGAUUAAGCAGUGGUUGCUUUGGGGAAAAGAAUAACCAAGAGCGGAAUAGAAUUGGAGACCGGGCAGGGUCUUAUGGUGGGUUGACCAUAGUGCCCCUGCCUGUGUCGAUUAAGGACCGAUCGUUGACGGCCCUCUUGUCAUGUUGAACGCAUGCCCCACAUUUAGCUGGAAGGAUAAGUCGUUCCGAUCGCGAAGCCUGAGCACUAUCCGGGCCGGGAAUCGGCCCGAUGUACGCGCUGUAUUGGUGAUGGUUGAGGAGAACGACGAGGGCGCGGCGCGCAACCUUGGUAGACCUUGGAUACCUCAGUCGCCGGAACGGUCCUCGGGUACGGGAGGUGCCUGUCGAACCCGCGAAUUGGUCCUGGAUAGUGCAAUACAGUGAUCUGUAGCUCACUUGAUCAGUGAGUGUGGUUUGUGUGGGGAAUAAACUCGCCAGCUGGUUAGAAAUCGAUUCGAAUCGCCAUCGCUCCUGGAUAGUGAGCACUUGACAUGAGCUUCGUCCUCGUAGUAAGGACUAUGGAACACUUGGAUUAUAAUGAUAAAUGGUUUUAAGAAUGCUAUGAUGAGGUACUAUCAUAUCACUAUACUUGCUUGUAAUAGUGCAGGGGCAAACCAAGAUCGUAGGUAAUGAUACUUUCAACUUGAGCAAAUUACAAGAAGAAAGAUUUAUGUAGGUUAUGGUAAUAAAAUCCUGCGGUUAUGCAAAAUAGUUGUCAGCUACCCCAAUAUAUAGCCUUCAUGAUCCUUGAAGAGUCUUUAUUUUAAGUUUAUGACGGGUAAGUCUAGCUGAGUACAUUCUCGUACUCAGGGUUCUACUCCCAUGUUGUUUUGCAGAUGGUCAAAUGUACUAUGGUUAUUGCAUCCUCUGUCUGUUCCCAGCCAUGGGUGAUGACUAGACCAAGGGCGAUGGUCACUCCAUCUUCUCUUCUGCUUUUGUGGGAAUGACCGAACUAUGGCACUGUAUCAGACUAAGUGUGUGUGUUGUAUUUUCGAACUAUGAAGCUUCCGCUACUUGAAGAACUUGGUUUGUAAUAAUUUUAAGAACUCCGAUGUAUUUUAUGAAUGUGGUAAUCUGGAUGUAUUUGUGGAUGGCGACCGCUAAACUUAUUACGAUCUUGGCUGUCUGUACGAUAUGUGGUUUGAAAUCCUUCGAGAUUUCACGGACUACCGGGAUUAUAUGGGCUUAAGCUCGAUGGUUUGACUAUGCAAAUGGUCACUGUUAGGCUUAAUCUCUUAUAAUUUGGUCGGUUCUGUUACAGCUGGCAUCGGAGCAAGGUUUAGCGAGUUACUGUUCAUAAGUACGUUCUAAACUAAAUCUAAACCGGUUUAAUAAAAGAUUUUUUUUUAAUUAAUAAUGAUCAAGGUGUUAAACUAAGUUUUGGAAAACUAUCUAGUGUGCCAUGGUCAUAUCCUUUAUGCCCAGUUAAGGACUCUAAGGUGGCUAGUUAAGUACUGACUUGGGGGUUAAUGCAUCAUAUUUCUAUUUCGUCGCUCAUACGGCGUGCAAUGGUAUGAGUACCAUUCAUUUGAGUGGUAAUGUAUGGAUCCAUUUUUCCUCUACGCCACGGUAAGUGGGAGCUGUGAGAGCAUGAUCGGAUACACUGCCGGUAUAGGGGUGUUGUUAGGUGCUGUGUCAUGCACACAUGUUUCGGUGUGUUUUGGGAACAGUAUCGCAUGUUGGGAAUUCCGUCCUGAGAGGAGAUGCCAUCAUUAGGGCGAUGAUGUGCGUAGUGACACGUCAUAUGCAUGGACGGGUGUCUGUGUAUGUGGGGUGUAUAGUUUUAAAAUUCUUGUUCUGCAUGAGCAUACUGUGGGUGGGCUGAAAUGAGUUUUCUGCAGGUACGCUAACCACGUUCUCGCUUAGAGUGCUAGUUACGUUAUGAGAGAACGCUGUGUGCCACCGCAUAUAUCGCUUAGUGCUAACUUCUGUUCCUUAAGUUUGUGAGAUCGUAAGUUCGUGCAUGCAUCAUGUUCAUUUCAUAUCAUUGCUCACUUUCCCCCUUAAUUUAAUCUGUCCCAAUUCUAAAUAAAAUAAUUAAAGAUAAUCCUCGCUCUUACCCAAGGUAUUCCAUUUGCAGCAGAUGGCGCGCACUAGGCUCACCGCUCGCAAGUGCACUGGUGGGCGGGCCCCUCACCAUCUGUUGGUAGCUAGGAGCUCGCGACAUAAGAGCAAGUUCCUGGAGGAGUUUGGGAUGCCCACUUUGCUUUGGAGAGUGCUCAGCUCGAUGGGGUAUCCUGAAGGAAGGGAGCCUCGCUACUAUUGGGAUAAGGAGCCGCUUGGUGACGAGACCCUGGUGGGGAUCGAGGCAGUUGUUCCUACUAGUGGAGGUGACCCCGCCUGGGGCGGCUGGGUGUACGAGUCCCGAGGUGCCACGCCUUUCCACGGUGCCAGCAGGGCAGCUUUCGCAGUUCUGAGGGACCUCAUGGAGAGGUUUCCACAGGAGCUGGCCCAGGCCUUCGCUGGAGUGUUUCCCCGGGGUGACCCCUACACUUCGGUGUGGGAUCAGUCCGAGGUGAGCGCUCUAGAGAGGAGUGCGGAUGAGGACCAGCACAGUGACAGCGCAACUAUGAGUGCUAUGUACGCUUUGAUGAAGACCUAUGGAGGCUUGGAGCGUUGUUUGGGUCACUUGUCCAGGUCUCUUCUCACCGUCCAGGAUGAGAAGCGCCAGUUGCAGCGUGAGUUUGACUCUGAGGUUGAGAGGCUACAGGCGAAGUUGGCCCGCGUGACCCGAGAGAGAGACCAGGCAGUCCAGCAGAACAGUGAGCUGAGCCAGGACCUGCUUGCAGUGCGAGAGCAGAGAGAUAGGGUGACCACUGCUCACAGGAACUGCGAGCGCAUGCUAGUCCAUGUGCUUGGUCAGAGGAAUGAAGCCUGGCACGAGGAGGACACUCUGAGGGCCCGACAACUGGAGCUAGAGCAGCAGCUAGCUAAUGCUGAGGAGUACAAUGAGAACUUGCAUGAGGAGAUCCACCAGCUGCAUAACCAGCUCCACCCUCACCACCUGCCUGGAGCAGCUGAGCUAGACUCUGAGGAUGAGAUGGAUGAGGAUCCCGAGAUAGGAGCAGUUGCUAGUGGAGAUGAGGACGAGGAUGGCUCCGGCAUGGACUGUGACCAUAGCGAGUAGAUGCUAGGGCUCUAGAGCUAGUCCUUCUUCUUUUGUGUUGUAUGUUGCAUGGCAUGUCUUGUACUUUUGGAUCUGGGCUAUGUAAGACUUAUGAGAUGAUGCUGAAAGUCCAGUGUAUGUAUGCUGGCAAAUUUGGAUGUACGCGAACCUUGUUGCUUGAAUGUUAAGUAAUCUGUUAGUGAUGUUGUGCGUAGAUGAUGAAUUGUUGUGCCUCUGUUUAUUGUGCGAAUUUAUUCCCUCAGUAAAUUCAGUACGACAUGAUUCUACACAUUUCUACCGUUGAUGGCAACUCCUAACGAUUGCUUAUCAUUGACGUAUGCAGAUGGUGCAAACACGUGGCGGGGGUAACAGCAACCCGGGUCUUGGAGCAGGUACGUCUGGAGGUGGGGCUCAACGGGAUGAGGACAGAGCACCAACACCACCACCACCGCCUCCUCCGUACACUGCGGACGUGUUUUUCGCGCAGUUUCUGGGGAGCCAACGCAACAUGGAACAGAUGCAGCGCAACAUGGAAGAGGCUCUGCGUAAAAUAGCUGACAACACCCGUCAUGGGGAUAACCAGGGCGGCCGUGAAGUCAAUCAGUACAGCUCUUUCAAGGACUUCAUGGAUACCAAGCCACCAGUCUUCAAGGAGGCUUUGGAACUGCUUGAAGCUGAUGAGUGGAUUAACACUAUGGAGCAGAAGUUUUGUCUUCUUCGGAUGACAGAAGAACUCAAGGCUGAGUAUACGGCACAUCAGUUGCAAGGACCCGCUGGAAUUUGGUGGAACCAUCAUCGUACUACCUACCCAGAGGGGACCCCAAUCACCUGGAACCGCUUCACCACCGCUUUCCAGGGAAAUUACAUUCCUCCGGGUGUGGUUGAAAUGAAGGUUGGGGAAUUCAUGAGGCUGUCCCAGGGGACGAAAUCUGUGAAGGAGUAUCUACACGCUUUCAACAAUCUCGCUCGCUACGCCCCUGAGUUUGUGAACACGGAGGCCAAGAAGAUUGCUAGUUUCCAGAGAGGAUUGAAUCCAAAGAUGCUAAAGACCAUGGGAACAGGAGCCAGGGCUACCUUCAAUGCCUAUAUCAGUGACUGCCUGACCCAGGAGAACAAUAACGACAACUACAGUGCAUCCAAGUCACGUAAGAGGGCUUUUGAAGCCGGAUCAUCCCAGCCUAGGGCACCAGUGGCGGGGCGACAGCAGUAUCGUCCUCCUGCCCCAGGUGCUAGGUUCCGACCGCCGCAGAGAAGGAACACCGGGCAUCCAACGCAGCAGAAGCCGUACAAGGUGGCGAUAGCUCCUGCCAAGCCAAAGGCAAUUCAAGCUGCGGCACCUGCCGCCAACAAUGCGCCCAAGGGUCCAUGCUAUAACUGCCACAAGAUGGGGCACUUUGCUAAGGAAUGUCCCUACCCCAAGAGGCAGCAGCCAACCUAUCCAGCUCGUGUGCACCAUACCUCGAUCGAGGAGAUCCCGGAAGGAGAAUCGGUAACAGCUGGUAUGUUUCCUGUCAACCAACAUCUUGCAGUUGUUUUGUUUGAUUCUGGAUCAUCGCAUUCAUUCAUGAGCCAAGCAUUUGCACAAAAGCAUGACCAGCUAGUUACUGAGUUGGGUUAUGGUAUCGCAUCAGCUCAGCCGGAGCUGAUGUGUUGACUAAUAAAACAGUAACAGGAGUUGCCUUGGAUAUCAGUGGCCGGAGGUUUCGCGUAAACCUUGUGGUCAUGCCAGGGCUGGUUUUGGAUGUCAUCAUUGGAAUGAACAAGAUGACUGAUUGGGGCGCGGUUAUAGAUGUCGGGAAUAGAACUCUUUCCCUCAGAGACCGGCAAGGGAAGGGUGUGCUUCAGGUCAAGCUACCCCGACGGUUAGACUUCGCCAGUCUUUCGUGUGCAGUACAGGUGGUUCCACUAGAACACAUACCCAUGGUAUGUGAGUUCCCUGAUGUUUUUCUCGAGGAAUUGCCAGGACUUCCUCCGGAUAGGGAAGUAGAGUUUGCAAUCGAGUUGAUACCAGGUACAACACCAAUAUCAAGAAGGCCGUACCGGAUGCCACCAAACGAACUCGCUGAGUUGAAGAAUCAACUAAAGGAGUUACUGGAUAAAGGGUUCAUCCGGCCAAGUUCGUCAGAAUGGGGUUGUCCAGCGUUGUUCGUGAAAAAGAAGGAUCAGUCUUUGCGCAUGUGCGUGGACUAUCGUCCGCUCAAUGCAGUGACCAUCAAAAAUAAGUAUCCUUUGGCGAGGAUUGAUAUCUUGUUUGAUCAGUUGUCCAAGGCAAAAGUGUUUUCCAAGACAGAUUUGAGGUCUGGGUAUCACCAAAUCAAGAUUCGUCCGCAGGAUAUCCCGAAGACUGCUUUUUCCACCAGAUAUGGGUUGUAUGAGUAUCUUGUCAUGUCCUUUGGGUUGACAAAUGCUCCUGCAUACUUUAUGUAUCUGAUGAAUUCAGUCUUUAUGCCAGAAUUAGAUAAGUUUGUUGUGGUGUUUAUCGAUGAUAUUCUGGUUUAUUCAGAAAAUGAGCAAGAUCACGCCGAGCAUCUGAGAAUCGUGUUAACACGAUUACGAGAGCAUCAGUUAUAUGCCAAGUUCAGCAAGUGUGAGUUCUGGUUGAAGAAAGUUCCUUUCCUGAGGCACAUUCUGUCUGAAGAAGGGAUUGCUGUGGAUCCGUCAAAAGUGCAGGAAGUCAUGGACUGGAAGGCACCAACUUCUGUCUCGGAAGUUAGAAGUUUUCUUGGUCUGGCCGGGUAUUAUCGUCGUUUCAUACCUGACUUCUCCAAGAUUGCUAAGCCAAUGACCAGUUUGCUACAAAAGGAUCAUAAGUUUGUCUGGACGGAGGGGUGUGAGCUAGCCUUCCGUGUUGGGUAUUCUUAACAUCAUUACCAAAAGUAGACUAAGUUCUCUAAAUCUAGUAAUGGUGCCAAAAAUGCCAAACCUAUCCCUUACACCACUUAAGCCAAGUUGUCAUCUCCAGCAUGAUAUAAGACACGCGGUAUUGAAAUAUGCAAUUGCUCUUCUAAAUAAAUAAUGAAUGGGAUCUGCAAGCGCACAGAUUAAUAACGAUGCAGCAUUUUAACCGGGAAGUAUUCCAGGUAUCGUUAUUUAUAUUUUUACCACUAGGAAGGGAUUAAUCAAUCAUAAAUAUUGAUUACAGAAUAGCAUAUGAGAUUGAGCAUCUAUCAUUGCAUGUAUAAUUGAGAACAUUAUAUCUAACUCUUCAUACAGGGAUAAGUGUCACAUAAAAGAUAUAUGAAAUAAUAAUAGUGACAAGGAUAACUAAUCUGAUCUAGCCACAUAAUAAAUAUGAUAAGCACCUCAAUUAGAUACUCUAGAAAGUCAUUAGCAUUGUAUUAGAACGAACUACAAGAAUAUUCCCUAAGUUAUUCUCAACUAUAUAGUCUAGCAUUAUCAUAGUUAGUGCAAGCAUACUUAGCAAUCAUUGCGAGACAAGACUACGCCCAUGCAUAGUGAUAUUAGCAAGGAAUAUGAGAAACAUAGCAAUCACUCCCCUGUAAUAAUGUUGCUCUGCUAGCCCAAUACACGAGAGGGGGACUAUAUAAGAAUCAAUGAAGCUGUCACUAUCACGAACUACCCCACGAUUUGGCAUAUUGGGUACAAUCGCAGAUAAAUACGGUAUAAGCACCACGCCUACACAAUAUCUAUCAUUUACCCAUGGAUCCGAUGGAUAAAUGCUAUACGAUCCUAAGCAUGUAUAUAGAUCCAAUCUAACUAAGCCAAGUACAUAACUAUGAUAAACUAAGAACAAUAUAAUCUUGAAUAUAAGCAAGUAGAGCAAAGUCAUAAGCAAUAUAUUGAAGUAGAACAAAGUCAUAUUCAUAAUAUUGAAGAACAAAGAUAAUUAGAAAGUAAUUAGAAGCACAAUUAGAAGAUUACCAAGAAUCCUCCUGACAGAUCCGGAAACCAAUCGAAGAUUGACUCCUUCUAGUUCUAAUCCUAUGUAGCUAUGCCAAUCUAGAUAUCUAAUUGAUGUGGUGGCUCUAAUCUUGAUCAGAGGCUUCUUCUCCCUUGAUGGAACAAUGAAUUAGGGUUGAGAGGCUCUCUCCUCCAGGGGCCAGGGGGUCUGGUUUUAUAGUCCCUUCAAGUGAAUAUGGGCCCUUGGAUCAAACCGACAUAGAUUGUAUGGUUUAGAUUCAUCCUUUAGGUCGGUGGAGAUCUCCCGCAAAGCAGAGUCCUGAUUGGACUCAGGGGCAGGGCGGGCGCCCUGACCAACUGGGCGGCCGCCCAGGGUCUGGCCCCGUUUCGCCUCCGCUUCGGUCUCGUGGCUUCUGGAGUCUUCUAGAUGUAAGAUAAUUGCGCAGCACGUUAAUAUCUUUACGUAAUCCCGACAUGUGGGCCUUUCUUCCAUAUUUUCUGAUAACCCCCUGCAGAAAUAGACAAACACCAAAACUCGUGGAAUUCUGUCAGAUAAAACCCUAAGUAUGGAUGUUGAUUUCAUUUGGAUCCUUUUCUUUGUUGAUUUGAUAAUUAAAUUUGAUACUUAAGGACCGUCAACAAACUCCCCCAAGCUUACCUCUUGCUCGUCCCUGAGCAAGGAUAGACUCAGCUAUGGAUCAAAAGUUGUUGCAAUAUAUUUUUAAAAAUUGACGGUACACAUGUUUUUUAAAUAAGAUCUCAUCUCUGAGUUAGAGUAAACUGUCAAGACUUAAAACUUACUUUACCUUCACCAUGGGACUUGUAACUGUCACUUCUGUCUUGAGUGGUUAAAAGAUAGAACAGUCUAGCCAAGUGCUAUGUCUCUUAUUCUUGAUCAGCUAUAGCUCUGGGGUUUUUUGCAGAUUUUCAAAUAAAACUCAGAGAUUUCUUGUAUGAUUCUCUCAGGUCUCUCUUUUGUGGUAUUUCUGGAUCCUUACCAAGGCAGUGAUGGUAUAUGCCUUCUCUCAAGAUAUGUAGUAUUUGUGGUAUAAGGCAUAGUAACAUUGCCUUCUCUCUCACCCUACUCUAAUAAGGCUUUAAUAUCUGGAGCUCAUAGGUGGGAGAUAAAGUAUACAUACUUACAAGACAUUUAUUGCAUAGUCAAACCAUGGAUCCAAAGAAACAAAUCAAUAAGCCAAAUCAAGAUGUGCAUGUGUGGCGGAUGAAUGAUGUAUGGUGAUGAUAGUGAUAACAAUGAUGAAAACAAUGGUGGUGGAAGUCUAAUUCUACUUUUGCUCUUUGAGGGGAUACAUACCUUCCUUGCUUUUGAAACUUUAUGAGGAGAAUGAGAUGCUCUUCUUUUUCUUUUCUCUCAGGUGGGUAUCUUGUACCCCUAAUUCUACUGUCGGACACUUGUCCAUUUUUACCUCUCGUCUCACUUUUUCUUUUCUUUUGAGGUUCCGAGCACUUGCUCCUUUUUAUUUCCUCGUAUCUCUUUUUUUUUAAUUAGAGCAUUCAUCUCUUGAGAUAAUAUAGCAAGUGGUAGUAACAAGAUAACUUGAGCAUUUAUUUCACAAGGGGAAACAGAAAUAUUUUUGGUUAUUCUCUCCCGGAUUAGGAGUAGAAUAUUUUUUAGGUGGCUCUGGAGAUGGAAUGGGUGGAUGUAUGUGGAUGGUACUUCCGGAGUAGAAGUAGCAUAUAUGAGUGAACGUGCAAGUGAAAUCUUGAUUUAACCACAUGACAAGCUCCUAAGGGUCUACACAGCUUGACCACACUCAAUGCUCAUAAGCAGUAAAUAGUAAAUGUGUGGCUCAAAGUCUAGCAAGCAUGUAUAUAUGGCUAUGGUAGGAAUUUAAACUCUCAACAUACAGGAACUCAUCAUGCAACAUUUUAAAGAUUUUCAAAGAUAAAAUUCUCCAGAAUUCUAGCAACUCUAGGAACAGAUAAACAGCAGCUCAACCUUCCCAUAUCAUAUCCGUUAACAACUUAGACUUUAGAUCAAGUUUUCAUCCCACAAGUUUAGGUCUAGAGCAAGCUUUAAAUUAUAACAGUUAUAUCUAAACUUGAGAGAGAACUUAAAAUAUGCACAUUAGGCAGAGCAACUAUUCAUCAUAUCCAUGCUUAAGUUUUAUUUAGAUACAGAUUAGCAUAGCCACUUUAUUUAUUUAUUAGACACACUAAGAAAAAGAUAUAUAUAUAAGCAUAAAAUCUUUAUUUGGUUUUCCAUAGUUUAUGUGUAUUUAUAUUCUAAAAUAAUAUAAGUAUAAAGAUAGAUAGAAAUAAUUAUCGAUAUAAAUGGGGGUGGUCUCCCCCAAGCUGAAUUUUGACGUAAUUUCCCUUGAUGUAGCUAGCAGGUGGCAGAGGUGUAUUUGAAAGUCAGCAGCAUUCUGACAGCGAUUAGAAUGUCCUCCGUCUGCUAGUCUUCUUAAAUUCUGUGGAGCUCAAAUAGACAACAAAGCUUGUGGAACUGGUUAAGUGUUAGCAUAAAUAUCUAGCCUUUAUCAUGUUGAGAGUCCUUAAUAAUUGUUACUCCCUGUUUUUAUAUUUUCAUUGUUAUAAAGCGGAAAAAUAUUUAUUUUAUUUUUAUGCCACCACAGUGAAUAUACUUAUGGGUUUUAUGCCACUCGUCUACUCACAUGGGGCUUACUAUUUUUCACAUUUUUAUUUUCUUUUUAAGAUAGUAUGAAUAUGAUUAACUAAGUAAAAUAAUUGAAAUAAUUGAAAGGGAAAGGAUAACUACCAAGUUUACCUCUUGGCAAGGCGUUCGAUGUUUUUAAGUCCUCCGAACGGGACUCUCCAUCUUCUUAAUCGUCCUGAGGUUUGUUGGGUGGCGUAGUCGGUACUUCCGGCAAUGCCUCCUCUUCUUGUAUAGUUAUCUUCAUUUUCCAUACCUGACUCGGAGCUUCCGUCUCCUCUGGAUAAUUCUGUUUAAACUCAACGUCUUCUUAUCUUACAACUUCUCCUUCAUAGUCUGCCCAUCCGUCCUUGAUGAUCUGCCUCCUCUGGUUGCGGUUGCGUCUCUUUCUGACCUGCUUAGAUUCUUCAACGAUAUAGUUAGGGUCAGUAAAGUAACGGCGUACCUUCUCUAAGGGGAAGUGCAUAUGGACUUCUCCGGUUCCAAUAUAGAUAAUUGCUUUAACGGUGCUGAGGAACGGUCUUCCAAUGAUGAUGGGUGGAUCAUAUUCGUCUUCUCCCAUGUCAACAACUUGAAAGUCUGAGUAGACAAAGUGAUCAUUUAUUUUGGCUGGGACAUCAGUUACUGUUCCUUUAACUUCUCGAAAUGUCUGAUCUGCCAUCUGGAGCUGAAUGUAUGUUGGUCUUAGUGGCAUGGUCCCGAACAAGAGCCGAUAGGUGACUGCGGCCAUUAUGUUGACGCCUGAUCCGGUGUCGCAAAUUGUCUUGUAGAAGUUGUAUCCAUUUAUUGAGCAAUAGAUGCUUGGCAUUCCUGGGUCGUCCUUCUUGGUUAAAAAUGGUGACUUAAGUUGAUGAUCUUGACCUCCAUGAACUACAGUGACCAUCUUCGCUGACUCGGUCCGCACUUGCUUGUUCCUGUUUCUCCUGUUGGUCCUCUUCCUUGAUUCACGUCUGGAUUGAUCUUGAAUUUGUGUAGUCUUGUUCUUGAAGAAAAAUGUCUUCUUCUUCCCUUUGACGUAGAAACUGAUCUUGGCAGCACUGGCGUAGAUGAUAGCUCCCGUGGUGUUCAAGAAUGGCCUCCCUAGGAUGAUGGGUGCUCUCUCAUCAUUACCGGUCUCUACCACUACGAAGUCUGCUGGGGCAUAUAAGGUACCAACUCGGACACAAAGGUUCUUCACUAUUCCUUUUGGGAAAGUUAUCGUCUGAUCUGCAAACUGCAAACACAUGAUUGUUUCUAAUAAAGGAUAUGUAAAGAAUUUUUCAUAGAGUACCCUGGGUAUAAUGUUGACACUGGAGCCAAAGUCACAGAGUGCUUCUGGGACAUCCACCAUGCCGAUGGAAAUCGGGAUGACGGGGCGUCCUGGAUCUCCUCUCUUGACCGGCAGAAGGUCAGUAGAGAAUUCAUUGACAGGGUUACUCCAAUUACCUGCAUCAGACAUGUCUACAAGAUUUGCAGAUUCUAAUCCUUCCGGUUGUGAUGGUAUACCGGGGUUAGUAGUAGGAACAGCAGCAGCUAUUUGAUUUAACUGAGAUUCAAUCAUUUUAUUAAAGCUAAUUUGAUUCUUGAUGGCAGUUGAGAAAUUAUCCAUUCUAUUAUUUAUAUUUUCUAGCAUUUUAUCAUUAGAUGCCAAUUUCUUAGAUAGAUUAUCUAUUAGCUUUCCUUGAUUAGACACUAACUCUCUCAAAGGUGGAAUAUUAUUAUUAUUGUUGUAAGAAUUGUUACCUUGAUAAUUACCUGAGUAGUUAGGCCUCUGUUGAUUCCAACCUUGAUUUUGUUGAGGACGGUUGUAGUAGUUGUUGUUGUUGUUGUUGAUGUAGUUCACAUCCUCAAGUAUCUCAGGGCAGUGGUUGCCUGAGUGUCCAGUGUCUCCACACUCCUCACAAGUCAUGUGAGAGUCGUAGAUGUGCAUAACUUCUUUCUUAUCUCCAGCUCUAUCGUCUAGCUUCUUCAUGAGCAGGUCUAGCUUUGCAGACAGCAUGUCUACCUCUUUCAGCUGAUGCAUACCUCCACUUCUCUUGCGUGUCUGAGUCCGCUCUUCAUUCCAGCUCUGAUUGGACGCCAUCUUCUCCACAAGAGCUGUGGCUUGUGGUAUAGUAAGUGAUAAGAAUGCUCCUCCAGCUGCAGCAUCCAAGGUCUCUCGGGCACUAUUGCUGAGCCCAUGAUAGAAUGUCUGCAUCAAUAGCCAACUCUCCAUUCUAUGAUGGGGACAUUCUAGGAUGUAGUCUUGAAAGCGCUCCCAUGCUUCUGGAACAGAUUCAUCAUUUUGUUGCUGAAAACUUGUAAUCUUCCCACGAAGAGCAUUGGUCUUGCCCAUGGGAAAGAACUUAGCCAGGAAGUUAGUUGAGCAGAGUGCCCACGUAGUAUUCUUCUCCUUUGUAGCGUAAAACCACUGCUUCGCUCUUCCUAACAGUGAGAAUGGGAAGAGGCGAAGUAGUAUAGCAUCUUUGGAAACUCCUGAUAUGGUGAAUGUGUUGCAAAUCUCCAGGAAGUGUUGUAAAUGAGCACUAGCAUCUUCGUGUGCCUUCCCACAGAACUGGUUGGAUUGCACCAUGUUGAUAAGUCCAGGCUUGAGCUCAAAGUUGCCAUCGAUCUCUACAGCAGGUCCAGUGCGGAUGUUGUCUGUAGUGGGGGCUGAGAACUCGCGGAUUGAUUUGUUCGCCAUGGCUUCGAACUCUGAAGACAAGUUCCGGUGAUCUUCUUGAUUGGAUGAAGCUUCUUCGUGAAGUGUUGAUGAUCUCUUCUUGAGCUUGGCUCUCGUCUUCUUGAAUAAUGCUUCGGGAUUGUCAACAAAAUUUCCUGGAAGAUGUCUUCUAUUCAUACAUUCCCCUGCAUAAGAUAAAAUAGAAAAAUAUCGGGGUAAAACUGUAUAAGAGAAUAGAUAAGCUCAAUCAUAUUAGUGAUGCGAAUGAUAACUCAAAAUCUUUUAUUCUAUUCCUGAUUGGUAAUGAACCUUCCCCGGCAACGGCGCCAAAAAUGCUUGUUGGGCAUUCUUAACAUCAUUGCCAAAAGUAGACUAAGUUCUCUAAAUCUAGUAAUGGUGCCAAAAAUGCCAAACCUAUCCCUUACACCACUUAAGCCAAAUUGUCAUCCCCAGCAUGAUAUAAGAGACGCGGUAUUGAAAUAUGCAAUUCCUCUUCUAAAUAAAUAAUGAAUGGGAUCUGCAAGCGCACAGAUUAAUACCGAUGCAGCAUUUUAACCGGGAAGUAUUCCAGGUAUCGUUAUUUAUAUUUUUACCACUAGGAAGGGAUUAAUCAAUCAUCAAUAUUGAUUACAGAAUAGCAUAUGAGAUUGAGCAUCUAUCAUUGCAUGUAUAAUUGAGAACAUUAUAUCUAACUCUUCAUACAGGGAUAAGUGUCACAUAAAAGAUAUAUGAAAUAAUAAUAGUGACAAGGAUAACUAAUCUGAUCUAGCCACAUAAUAAAUAUGAUAAGCACCUCAAUUAGAUACUCUAGAAAGUCAUUAGCAUUGUAUUAGAACGAACUACAAGAAUAUUCCCUAAGUUAUUCUCAACUAUAUAGUCUAGCAUUAUCAUAGUUAGUGCAAGCAUACUUAGCAAUCAUUGCGAGACAAGACUACGCCCAUGCAUAGUGAUAUUAGCAAGGAAUAUGAGAAACAUAGCAAUCACUCCCCUGUAAUAAUGUUGCUCUGCCAGUCCAAUACACGAGAGGGGGACUAUAUAAGAAUCAAUGAAGCUGUCACUAUCACGAACUACCCCACGAUUUGGCAUAUUGGGUACAAUCGCAGAUAAAUACGGUAUAAGCACCACGCCUACACAAUAUCUAUCAUUUACCCAUGGAUCCGAUGGAUAAAUGCUAUACGAUCCUAAGCAUGUAUAUAGAUCCAAUCUAACUAAGCCAAGUACAUAACUAUGAUAAACUAAGAAUAAUAUAAUCUUGAAUAUAAGCAAGUAGAGCAAAGUCAUAAGCAAUAUAUUGAAGUAGAACAAAGUCAUAUUCAUAAUAUUGAAGAACAAAGAUAAUUAGAAAGUAAUUAGAAGCACAAUUAGAAGAUUACCAAGAAUCCUCCUGACAGAUCCGGAAACCAAUCGAAGAUUGACUCCUUCUAGUUCUAAUCCUAUGUAGCUAUGCUAAUCUAGAUAUCUAAUUGAUGUGGUGGCUCUAAUCUUGAUCAGAGGCUUCUUCUCCCUUGAUGGAACAAUGAAUUAGGGUUGAGAGGCUCUCUCCUCCAGGGGCCAGGGGGUCUGGUUUUAUAGUCCCUUCAAGUGAAUAUGGGCCCUUGGAUCAAACCGACAUAGAUUGUAUGGUUUAGAUUCAUCCUUUAGGUCGGUGGAGAUCUCCCGCAAAGCAGAGUCCUGAUUGGACUCAGGGGCAGGGCGGGCGCCCUGACCAACUGGGCGGCCGCCCAGGGUCUGGCCCCGUUUCACCUCCGCUUCGGUCUCGUGGCUUCUGGAGUCUUCUAGAUGUAAGAUAAUUGCGCAGCACGUUAAUAUCUUUACGUAAUCCCGACAUGUGGGCCUUUCUUCCGUAUUUCCUGAUAACCCCCUGCAGAAAUAGACAAACACCAAAACUCGUGGAAUUCUGUCAGAUAAAACCCUAAGUCUGGAUGUUGAUUUCAUUUGGAUCCUUUUCUUUGUUUAUUUGAUAAUUAAAUUUGAUACUUAAGGACCGUCAACAUUCCGCACCUUGCGAAAGUUGCUAACCACUGCUCCCGUUCUGGCGCAACCCAAUAUCAAGAAGCCUUUUGAUGUGUUUUGCGACGCGUCGAAAAGUGGCUUAGGGUGUGUGUUGAUGCAAGAUGGCAGAGUUAUAGCUUAUGCUUCACGACAGUUGAGAAAGCACGAAGUCAACUACCCAACUCACGACCUCGAGUUAGCAGCAGUAGUGCACGCUUUGAAGAUUUGGAGACACUAUUUGCUGGGAAAUAAGUGUCAUAUCUAUACCGAUCAUAAGAGCUUGAAGUACAUCUUCACUCAGUCCGAGCUGAAUAUGAGGCAACGACGAUGGUUAGAGUUAAUCAAGGACUAUGAUCUGGAAGUUCACUAUCAUCCAGGCAAAGCUAAUGUAGUAGCAGACGCUUUGAGUCGUAAACCGCACUAUCAGGUGGUUCAACCGUUGUUUGAAGAUGGUUUUAACCUCAUGCAUCCUGAAGUCUUAUGUCACAUACAACAUAGUUGUUCGCUCGAGAGUCAAGUCAUUGAAGGUUAGAAAACAAACAAGGGUAUUUUCCACAUCAAAGAGAAGAUCAAAGAUGACCCAAAAACUCAGUUUCGAGUUGAUGAAAAAGGGGUACUGUGGUUUCAACAUCGGUUAGUAGUCCCGAAGGAUCGGGAAUUGAUGAAUCGUAUCAUGGAUGAGGCCCAUCUCUCUAAGCUUUCUAUUCAUCCUGGUAGUAGUAAAAUGUAUCAAGACCUAAGACCCCACUUUUGGUGGACCAAGAUGAAGAAAGAAAUAGCCGCAUAUGUGGCCCGUUGUGACACGUGUUGCAUAGUUAAGGCCAUCCAUAUGAAACCUGCAGGUCUGUUGCAACCGUUAUCUGUUCCAGAGUGGAAAUGGGAAGAGGUCAGCAUGGACUUUAACACAGGUUUACCAACCACGAGGAAGGGGAAUGACUCGAUUUGGGUAAUCAUAGAUCGAUUAACCAAGUCGGCUCAUUUCAUCCCAGUUAAGAACACAUACAGACCUCCCGAGUAUGCCGAUAUAUAUAUGGCUAAGAUUGUCAAGUUGCAUGGUAUUCCCAAGACCAUCAUAUCAGAUAGAGGACCACAGUUCACCGCUCACUUUUGGGAGCGAAUGCAUAAGAGUUUGGGGACCAGUCUAAUAAGAAGCAUCGCGUAUCAUCCCCAAACCUCAGGUCAAACUGAGAGGCUAAAUCAAGUGUUAGAAGAUAUGCUGAGGGCCUGUGUGCUAUCGUCCAAGGGAUCACGGGAGUCAUGGUUACCUCUGGCUGAAUUCUCAUACAAUAACAGCUACCAAGAGAGUUUCAAGAUGGCUCCGUUCGAAGCUUUGUAUGGUCGAAGGUGUAGAACUCCGUUAAAUUGCGUUGAACCUGGUGAAAGGAGAUACUACGGUAUUGACUUCGUGAAUGAAGCAGAGAAAAAGGUGUAAAUCAUACAGCAGCAUAUGCAAGCGGCACAAUCGUGACAAAAGAGCUAUGCUGAUAAGAGGAGAAGGAGAAGGCCACUUGAAUUCAAAGUAGGUGACUAUGUGUACCUCAAGGUUACGCCAAUGAAGAAAGUUCAACGUUUCCGAGUUCGAAGCAAGCUUGCACCCAGAUAUGUGGGACUGUAUCAAAUAAUGGAGAGGAAAGGCCCCGUGGCCUACAAGGUUCAGUUGCCUAAAGAAUUGAGUUCAAUCUUUCCGGUCUUCCAUGUGUCGCAACUACGGAAAUGUUUGAAAGUGCCUGAACAGAGGAUUGAACCUCGAGGGAUCAAAAUAAAAACAGACUUAGAGUAUAAAGAGCAGCCAGUGGAAAUUGUGGAUACCAAAGAACGAGUAACCCGAAACAGAGUUGUCAGAACAUACAAGGUGGAGUGGAGUCAUCAUGACGAUCGGGAUGCCACCUGGGAAACUGAGGAUUAUCUAAAAACAGUUUAUCCAAAAUUUCAUAAGAAAUGGUUAGUAACCCAAAUCUCGGGACGAGAUUUCCCUAAGGGGGAAGGGCUGUAACACCCUAGGUGUUAAGCAUGCACUUAGCCUUACCAAAGCAAUGCAUAAGCAUUCUCGUCAAGCAUAGCAUCAUGAGCAUGUCAUUCAUCCCAAAAUAUGAUUUUAUGUGUUUUAUUCCAUGUGCUUUAAAUAUGUUAAAAAUAUGAUGCUUGCUUCUAAAAUUGUGGAAUAUUCAAACUAGGUUGAUUUAUGUGUAAGAAGGUUUAAAAAUAUUUUUGUGCAAUUUUUGGAGCAAUAGAAUUUGAGAAAUGGAAUUUAUACAAAAUCCCCAAAAUGAAUUUAUUUGAAAACCUAGAACUAGUUUUAAUUGGUAAUUCAAAUUCUACUUGGAAUUUGGCCUUGCUUAUUAAAAUAAAGUUGUAGGGUUUUUAUUUUGGAACAACUUUGCUUUAGGGAGAAAGAGGUGAAAAUGAUUUUAAAUUGGUCCAAAUGAAUUUAGAAAAGAAUUUGAGAAAAGAAAUUCAAAAAAAAUGGAAAAGGGGCAGGCGCUGCUGGGCCAACCCCGCCUCCCUUUCGGCCCAGACAGCGGCCCGGCCUACCUCCCCCUCCCCCUCUCUCCCACGCGCGGACGCCCGCCUCGUCCCAGCCAGCAUCGGCCACGUGGCGGCCGUACGCCGGCGAGGAGCGUGCCGCGGCCGACCGGCUUCACCUGAUCGGGACGCCGGCCCGGGCUCCCAGGCCACUCCAUUCGCUCUGUCGCCCGCGUCUCUCUCCCUCCUCUCUCCACUUGCGAGCGCAACCGCAGCCGUAGGAGCUCCGCCACAGCGCCAUCGCCGGAGCAGCUCCGCUGCUCACCGCCGGCCACUCCAGUGCCCCAAUCUCGAUGCCGAAACCACCAGCGCACUCGCCGUCGUCGCGGUAAGCUCCUGCGAACGCUCUACCGAGGUGAGAGCCCGUCGAACGCCGUGAAUCGCUCGUCGGACUUGCUCCGACCUCGCCGGAGAGCUCCGCCUCAUCGAACCUCGCUCGUUUCUGCCCCGUUUCGCUUGCUUCUUGGCGCGUUAGAUCCGUAGUGCGACGGGGAAGCUCGGAGGAGCCCUUGCGCAUGUUCUACCGCACCGGAGCAGCCUGGCCACGGCGAGCAGCACCGCCGUGCCGCCAUGCAUGCUCGUCGGAGGUACUCCGGCCAUCCUCCGGCCAACCCGAGGGUACCGCUGGGUGCGCCUCGCUGCGGGGAGCACGAUGGUGCUCACCCCGUGGCCGGGAACCUCACCGCCGGCGACAUCUGCUCGUCGGAGGUGCUCUCCCUCUCGGUCUCGCUGACCAGUGGGGUCAGAGGCCCACUGUCAGUCGCAGGGGGACCGUGUUGGGUGUAGAUCUAGGUGUCUUUAGCGUUUUUGAUCCCGUUUUCCAAUUGAUUUUCAGAAAAGGUUUUCCAGAAAUCAAUUUAAAACUUGUAAAAUCCAUAUCUUGAGUUCUACAGCUUCAAAUUUGAUGAAAUAAAUUUUGGUGUGCUCUAUAUUUUUAGAUCUACAGUUUGAUGUAAUUGCAUGUCAUGUUUGAACACUUUUUCUGGACAGAAAUAAUUAAUCCAUGCUUUUGCUAAACUUAGAAAAUGCAUAGUAAUUAAAAUAUGGCUCAGAAAAAUGUGAAACUUGAUUUGUUGGCUCUGCAUGUAUGUUAACUCACUGGAAAAAUAUUGCUACACAUUAUUUGGUGUAUAAAUGAAUUUAUAGUGAUUUAAAUGCUUGUAUGGCAGUGGUUUAUGAUUUUUAAUAAAGAUUUGGAUCAUGCAAUCAGUCUGGAAAUUUUUGUGGAUGUUUCUUAUGAUAUUAGACAAAUUAUAAAAAUAUGAAAUCUGCUCUUUGACACUUAUACCACAGUAGAUUAAUUGUACUUGCCUUUAUGUAAUAAUCUUGUGAUUUUUGUAGCUCAAAAUAAGUAUCGAAAAAUUAUGAAAAAUUUAUAGUAGACUUUAUGCUUGACUUGAAGUCUCCUGUAAUUUUUGUGGAAAUUAUAGAUGAACAGAACUGCAUGCAAAUUUUGAUGGGCCUAGAAAUGAAUAAAGAAAAUUAUGAAUUGUUAUAUAUGGGUUAAAUAGAAUAAAAAAGGGUUUGGUGUAUUUUUGAAGCAUCAUGUGGGUUGCUGGUUACACUUGAAAACAAUUGGUAGAAGAGAAUGCAAUAGAUGUUUAAUUCAAUUGUCUGUUCUAGGAUGAUGUUGACUACCUUGUAAUGAGCAUGACCAAGUGAAUCACCUAUGCAUCAUGUCAUGAUCAUUUGGUACCUUCUCAUAUAAGCAUCCACUCGGGCAUCUCGCACUCCACUCAUGAGCACACAUGCAUCAUACAGGCUCGCAGGAGAACGAGGUGGGACCCGAGGGGCCAGAGGAGAUUCAGGAGCAGGAACCUCCGGAAGCACCGGAACCCGGAGAGGAGCUACAGGAGUGUCCGGAUCACCGGCCCAGCACGUUUGAGAAAGGCAAGGCCCGGAGCAUUCUAAGUCUCCCUAUUCUCGCUAACUUACAUGAUAUACUAUGCUUGUUCUACUAUACUGCAUUUAAGUGAUAGGAAUUGCUUGAUACCGUUGAUGCAUAUGCACUCCUUGUUAUCCCUACUCGUUUAUCUACCUUGUCCUAUGUAGAUAGGCGCGGAGUCUAUGCUUAGCUUGCUUAGUCCGGUAGAAGUCGGGUGAUUCCCUGUCACCUGCGAGAUAUAGGUGGAUACCUGCCUGAUUAAGCAGUGGUUGCUUUGGGGAAAAGAAUAACCAAGUACAGAAUGGAAUUGGAGACCGGGCAGGGUCUUAUGGUGGGUUGACCAUAGUGCCCCUACCUGUGUCGAUUAAGGACUGAUCGUUGACGGCCCUCUUGUCAUGUUGAACGCAUGCCCCACAUUUAGCUAGAAGGAUAAGUCGUUCCGACCGCGAAGCCUGAGCACUAUCUGGGCCGGGAAUCGGCCCGAUGUACGCGCUGUAUUGGUGAUGGUUGAGGAGAACGACGAGGGCGCGGCGCGCAACCUUGGUAUACCUUGAAUACCUCGGUCGCCGGAACGGUCCUCGGGUACGGGCGGUGCCUGUCGAACCCGCGAAUUGGUCCUGGAUAGUGCAAUACGGUGAUCUGUAGCUCACUUGAUUAGUGAGUGUGGUUUGUGUGGGGAAUAAACUCGCCAGCUGGUUAGAAAUCGAUUCGAAUCGCCAUCGCUCCUGGAUAGUGAGCACUUGACAUGAGCUUCGUCCUCGUAGUAAGGACUAUGGAACACUUGGGUUAUAAUGAUAAAUGGUUUUAAGAAUGCUAUGAUGAGGUACUAUCAUAUCACUAUACUUGCUUGUAAUAGUGCAGGGGCAAACCUAGAUCAUAGGUAAUGAUACUUUCAACUUGAGCAAAUUACAAGAAGAAAGAUUUAUGUAGGUUAAUAAAAUCUUGUGGUUAUGCAAAAUGGUUGUCAGCUACCCCACUAUAUAGCCUUCAUGAUCCUUGAAGAGUCUUUAUUUUAAGUUUAUGACGGGUAAGUCUAGCUGAGUACAUUCUCGUACUCAGGGUUCUACUCCCAUGUUGUUUUGCAGAUGGUCAAAUGUACUAUGGUUAUUGCAUCCUCUGUCUGUACCCAGCCAUGGGUGAUCACUAGACCAAGGGCGAUGGUCACUCCAUCUUCUCUUCUGCUUUUAUGGGAAUGACCGAACUAUGGCACUGUAUCAGACUAAGUGUGUGUGUGUUGUAUUUUCGAACUAUGAAGCUUCCGCUACUUGAAGAACUUGGUUUGUAAUAAUUUUAAGAACUCUGAUGUAUUUUAUGAAUGUGGUAAUCUGGAUGUAUUUGUGGAUGGCGACCGCUAAACUUAUUACGAUCUUGGCUGUCUGUACGAUAUGUGGUUUGAAAUCCUUCGAGAUUUCACGAACUACCGGGAUUAUAUGGGCUUAAGCUCGAUGGUUUGACUAUGUAAAUGGUCACUGUUAGGCUUAAUCUCUUAUAAUUUGGUCGGUUCUGUUACAACGCCCACGAGGUCUCCUCUAUCGCCUACCUCGAGGCCAUCAUGAUUACGCUACAAAGGAGCUUCCUGUUUCUCCUGCUGGCGCUGCAAGACAACAUCAGAAAGCUGUUCCUGCUGCUCAACAUCAACAAUGCCAAUGGCACCAAAAUUGAGGACAUGUGAGGUGAUUAUUAAAAGGAUUGUAAUGACAUGUCAAAAAGCGGUUCACUGUUGUGCCUACUUGAUAGUGGGUUGUAAAGAUAUUAUGUAAUAAUUAAUUAUUUGAGACUUUUUUACAUUAGAGGAUGAAGCUAGUUACCUAUAAACAUGAAGAGUCGAUGGCGAAGUCGAAGAAGAUCACCAAUGGGCGCCCGUGACGUCGAUUCAAACUAUAUCCAUUAAAUUUGAGCUCAAAACAAUGACAGCGAUAUCACAAAGACAAAAACAACAUGAAAAUGACAAGGGAGGAUGAAGUUAGUUACCCCUAGACCAAGGGAAACAAUGGCAGCGUCAAAGAUGAUCACCAAUGGGCGCCAGAGAUGAAGAACAAGCAAGAACAAGCAAGAACUAGCAAUGGUAAGAGCAAGUACAGCUCACUGAAAUUUGAAUGGGCUCGGUCUCGACCAAGAAGAAGUGACCAUGUUUUAUAGCGUGGGCUUUUAGUCCCGCGCUAAAGAAAGAACAAGGACUAAAAGGGGUCCUCUUAGUCUAGAGACAAGCCACCAACCGGGGCCAAAUCUUUAGUCCCGACUGGUGGCUUGCCUCAGAACUAAAGGGACACCUUUAGUCCCAGACCGUAACACGAGCCGGGACUAAAGGGUCCCUGCCCCGACAGCCCUGUCAGGUAGUUGUUAGGCAGCCGUUGGGCAGGACCCUUUAGUCCUGGCGCAUGUGAUGAGCCGGGACUAAAGGUCUUUUUAAUCCUAGGGCGCAAAGAAGCCGAGACAAUUGUAGAUUUCGGGCAUCGUCCAAAGCCCUAUUCUGUAGUAGUGUUGGUUGUACAUAGGAAUAUAUUUAAAGAGGAGGAAAAGACACUGCUACAGAAUGGUGACAUCAGAAAAGCAACACACCUGAAGGUUCGGACGUCCGAAAGUGACCCCAUGAAUGUUCAGAUUAGGUUCGGUCAUCAAAAAGAAGUAAUUAUAACUCUCAACUCCGUGAAGGUUUGGAGGCCCAUAAGGACAUUUUUGAAAGCUCAUAAAGUCCACUUUCCAAUGUCUUAAUCCCCACAUCAUUUGGACAUCGCAAUCAAGAGUUAUGUUUGGAUUAGUCAACUCUACUUAGAAGGUCAAUAGUUUGUCGUGAUAGAAUGUUGGUUCAACUUGCAAUGCAUAACUGUACCAAUCUAUAAUGUUUCAUGGUUCAUGGAAUAUAUUACUAGAAAUCUCUUAGAGUCUAGUUUCACAUCCAAGAAACGGUUCAUCAUUUGGACUUUCCAAUAAGGAGUUAUGGUCUGUUUAUUGGAAACUGCUCUGGAGGCCAACAGUCACGUGAAACAACUUCGGGAAUCCAUUCCGAGGGGGCCUUUCACAUUGCCUUCCCUCAGAAACUCCAUUUUGUUUUCAUAUGUUUCUAGGAGGGUUGUUCCUAGUAUAAAUAUUCCCUGCCUCUAAGCUAUUAGGAACCUUUGAUUAUUUGAUAAACUAUAUGAUAUUGUAGCCACACUGCUGAGUGUCUUACUCAACCUUUGUUCUUCCUUGUUCUUCUUGGACUUGUGAAGUGAAUCCUCUGGGUUUCCCUACUUUGUGCUCUAUGGCUUCCAUUUGGCUGCACCAUAUUGUGUGGAUUAGUUUUGGAUUGUGGUUCUGUGAUCGUUUGGAGAUCGAGUCGAAGUCUUCAGGGUUUCGGUGCCUCUCUCCCUAUCGCUUGGUAGCAUCCAACCUUUGUCAGGUAUAAAGCAAGUUACCCGUUGUUCACAGCAUGUUAUCUUUGUUCUUUUGAUCUACUAUCGUGAAGAUUGGGCCACCUAUAAUAUCCAGGCCUAGGGCUUAAUAGAAUUAAUACGAUACUCAUACCAACAAGUUACAACUUUUUUUCCGGACGCCCAUCUCCAAAGAACUCUAAAGUUAAGCGUGUUUGGCCUAGAGAAAUUUAGGGAUGGGUGAUCGACCGAAAAGUACUUCUCGAAUGCACAUGAGUGAGGACAAAGUAUGCAGAGAAGACUCGUGUUGGUAUGUGAGGGCUGACUAUGUCCUAGAAAAGCUACCAGAUAUAAGUGGGCUUGGCCUCAUGGAGGCAGGACAUUACAAAAUGGUAUCAGAGCCGACCCUUGUGAUUUCAUGGGCGCGUGUGUCACAGUUAUACAGGCAUGGUGUGCAUGGCUGGUGUGGACCUAGAAUGGUCACACAGCAUGGCACAUGCGCAGGCACUGGAUGCACGGACAUGGCCAAGAGGGGACGUUCCUAGCUUGGGGUUGAUCGAUGAGGACGUCGAUCUCUUAAGGCGGUGAGGAUGUAACAUCCCCGCCCAGGGCUUAAUAGGAUUAAUUAGAUACUCAUACCAAUAAGUUGCAACUUUUUUUCAGAAGCCCAUCUCCAAAGAACUAUAAAGUUAAGCAUACUUGGCCUAGAGAAAUUUAGGGAUGGGUGACCGACCGGAAAGUACUUCCCGGGUGCACAUGAGCGAGGACAAAGUGUGUAGAGAAGACUCGUGUUGGUAUGUGAGGGCUAACUAUGUCCUAGAAAAGCUGCCAAAUGUAAGCGGGCCUGGCCUCAUGGAGGCGGGAUGUUACACCACCCUCGUGCCGAUUCAUACCUAUCAACUAGUCUCAAAGCUUUCGUUGUCACGGUAGGUCUCACAAUAAUCCACAUUUUUACCUCUAGUUUAUCUAUCGUUUGUUACUCAUUUGUUCAUCACCUAUAGUCCACUAAAAAAGCCACAAAAAAUUUCUAUAGCCCUUUGUCGGUACUAUUAUCUUGUGUUUUUGUGUUCAUCAAGUUGCUAGUCACCAUCUUUAUAUAUAUUAUGUCAUGUUUUAUUUGUUAUCCACACCCCUCUUAGUAUAAAGAGAGUUAAAAAAUCAGAGAAAAAAGUUUAAAGAAAAGAAAAGAGAGAGAACAGAAAGAUCCAAAGAAAAGUAAAAGAAGAGGAAAGGGGUUGUAUUGUGGUUUGUUCACUAAAAUUUUCAGUUUACAUAUUCAGAUUCUUGGUGAUUUAUAUACCAGCAACAUUGUUGGUAUAAAUUAACUGCACCCUAUAUAAUAAUUAUAAUUAGAUUAUCCACAAGCACACAGAUAUAUACUGAUCAACACUUCACCAAGAUCAACCCAGUUUUAAUAUCGAACCUAGAGGAAAAGUAGGUGAUUUAUGACCUAGCCUAUAACUCUUAAUCUAAGGGGGGUACAGAUAAUCUAGAAAACUAUUGAGAAUGAGGAGAUAAAUAAUGUACUCUAGUUGUAAUAAUCGGUAAACUUUGUAUAAUAUCGUCUUAUCACACAAGUAACCCGAAUAGGAGAAGAAACAGAGUAAUCUCCUACCAGGCACCUAUAAGCCUAUCAGUCCUAUCAAUGGGAAGUGGACUACACAGAAUUCAAUGUAGCUAUAAAGUCACCUACGUGAGCUACCACUGUCCAGCUAAUCAGGGGGCAUCUACAAGCAACCAUAGCCUAGACACCACGUCUAUGCUACAAAUCACUACUCUGACCUAGGAGCUACCCAAAUCAAAGUACUCAAUAUAACAUGAGUUGCAAACCAAAGAAUGAAUAAAAACAAAUUACUAACUUGAAUCAGAAUGGUAAAUACAAAAGUACCACAGAAUGUAGCUCCGGGCGAGGGAGCCGAAUCCAGAUGAAUACAGCUCCUAAGGAAGCUCCGACAGGCCGAGACUCCUCCGAAUCUCUACUCCUCUACUCUAUCUCUCUAAUAUCUAUCUUGAUUGCUAGCCUAGAUCUAGCGGAUCUCUAUCUAAUGCUCUGACUCUUCAUCUCUUGAUCUGGCCUCCUCCCAUGGUGUCUGGCUCUUUAUUUAUAGCCUGGUGGGAUGGAUACACGCUGUUGGAUCAAACCGACGUAGCAAGCGGCCAAGAUGGCUCCUCGGAGGCGGUGGAGGAAGACUCCAGAAGGGGGCGGCCAACCCUAACCCUAGGGGCCGCCCGAUGCAGGGGUGGGGCCGGCCGGCCCCACUUGGUGGUUGCUAGCCCCCCUGUUGCUUCGGGUGUCUUCUGGAGUAUUCUUGAUCCCUCUGGUGACAUCCUUUUGUCGUGGAUAAGUUUCAUGGUAGAUUAGCACUUAAAUCCCUCUUUUAGGCUUUUCUGGAUAAUUCCCUGAAAAAUACACAAAUCACCAAACCUCUGGAAAUUGUUGUUGACACUUGCUAACACCACUUGAAUACUAGGUUGUCAUCCCCAGCAUGGCACUAGAGUGUACUAUGGCAUUUAUACGCACACAGAUAAUCCGCAAGCGCACGGAUACCGUUAUAGCUUUUUCCUGGUUAAAGGUUUUAUCGUAUCCACAGAGAAACGGGAGAACCAACUACGCUCUAACUUAACCAGGAUAGAUAGAUAAGUGUAAAUAGGAAAGAUGGUAGAAUCGAAUAAGAACAAUAUUAAAGGUAAGAUAACAGUGAGUGAUAAUAUGGGAAUAGAGAAUAGAGCAAUUCUAGUAUAUGGGCGAUGGUAGCAGAAUAGAGAGUAUAACUAUGGUUUCUCUACUUCAAAGGUGUAUGUCUAUGUCUAGGACGAACCACGUGAUAAGAGUACACCACAAAGGAUGCUUAUCCUUAGGCCGAUAAACCCUACCCGUCCUACUAACAAGAGGUGGACUACAGGGGACCAACGUAACUGUCACCUACGCGGCCUACCACACGAUCCAGCUAGACAGGGGAUAUCCACAAGUAAUCUAGAUCUAAGCACCUCACUUACACCUAUACUACAACUCUCACCUAUAGCGUCUUAUAGAUUAAAGUACUCAAAAGAGUUGUGAACCAGAACAUACAUAAUUAGUAAUUGCAUAAUGAAUUAGAAGUAGAUUACCAGAGUCAUCCCAUGAGCAAGCUUGAUUAGAGCUUGAUCAUGACGAAGUACAACCGGAGGAAGAACCGACAGGCCGGCCUCUCCUCUAAUCCUCCUUCGCUCUCCAUCUUGCUACUAUCUAGAUCUACUCUAGUUUAGAGAAGAGAGGAGAGCUCUCAUCUCUAAACCCUAGCUUUUGCUCUGUCUAUGAAUAAUGAAUAAUGAUCAAGGGGGUGCCUCCUCCAAGGGCCAGGGGGUCUGGUUAUAUAGUCUUUUCAGAUGAAUCUGGCCAUCGGAUCAAACCGACAUUGAUCGUGUGGUUUUCCUUGAAGUAUUAGGUCGGUGGACCAUGAUCCGCGAAGUUGAAGCUGAUUGGUUACUGUAGCUAGGCGGGCACCCAAGGGACUUGGGCGGGCGCCCUGCCCCCGGGCCCGAUCGGCCUCCCGUUCGUUCCCGUGGCUUCUGGAGUCUUCUAGAUGGUAGAAAAUUGCGCGGCACGUUAAUAUCUCUAUGUAAACCUGACGUGUGGGCCUUUCUUUCAUAUUUCCUGAUAACCCCCUGCAGAAAUAGACAAACACCAAAACUCGUGGAAUUCUGUCAGAUAAAACCCAAAGUCUAGAUGUUGAUUUCAUUUGGAUCCUUUUCUUUGUUCAUUUGGUAAUUAAAUUUGAUAAUUAAGGACCGUCAACAAACUCCCCCAAGCUUACCUCUUGCUUGUCCCUGAGCAAGGAUAGACUCAGCAAUGGAUCAGAAGUUGUUGCAAUAUCUUAAAAAUUUGACGGUACACAUGCUUUUAAAUAAGAUCUCAUCUCUGAGUUAGAGUAAACUGUCAAGAACUAAAACUUACUUACUUUACCUUUCACCAUGGGACUUGUAACCGUCACAUCUGUCUUGAGUAGUUAAAAGAUAGAACAGUCUAGCCAAGUGCCAUGUCUCUUAUUCUUGAUCAGCUAUAGCUCUGGAGUUUUUGCAGAUUUUCAAAUAAAACUCAGAGAUUCCUUGUAUGACUCUCUAAAUCUCUCUUUUGUGGUAUUUCUGGAUCCUUACCAAGGCAGUGAUGGUAUAUGCCUUCUCUCAAGAUAUGUGGUAUUUGUGGUAUAAGGCAUAGUGACAUUGCCUUCUCUCUCACCCUACUCUAAUAAGGCUUUAAUAUCUGGAGCUCAUAGGUGGGAGAUAAAGUAUACAUACUUACAAGACAUUUAUUGUAUAGUCAAACCAUGGAUCCAGAGAAACAAGUCAAUAAGUCAAAUCAAGAUGUGCAUGUGUGGCGAAUGAAUGGUGUAUGGUGAUGAUGGUGAUAACAAUGGUGGAAGUCUAAUUCUACUUUUGCUCUUUUGAGGCGAUACAUACCUUCCUUGCUUUUUGAAACUUUAUGAGGAGAAUGAGAUGCUCUUCUUUUUCUUUCCUCACAGGUGGGUAUCUUGUACCCCUAAUUCUACUGUCGGACACUUGUCCAUUUUUACCUCACGUCUCACUUUUUCUUUCUUUCGAGGUUCUGGGCACUUGCCCCUUUUUAUUUCCUCGUUUAUUUAUAUAUAUUUUUUUCUUUUCUUCUCUUUUCUUUUUUUUCAGAGCACUCAUCUCUUGAGAUAAUAUAGCAAGUGGUAGUAGCAAGAUAACUUGAGCAUUUAUUUCACAAGGGAAAACAGAAAUAUUUUUGGCUAUUCUCUCCCGGAUUAGGAGUAGAAUAUUUUUGGGUGGUUCUGGAGAUGGACAUGGAUGGAUAUAUGUGGAUGGUACUUUCGGAGUAGAAGUUGCAUAUAUGAGUGAACGUGCAAGUGAAUCUUGAUUUAACCACAUGACAAGCUCCUAAGGGUCUACACAGCUUGACCACACUCAAUGCUCAUAAGCAGUAAAUAGUAAAUGUGUGGCUCAAAGUCUAGCAAGCAUGUAUAUAUGGCUGUGGUAGGAAUUUAAACUCUAAUCAUACAUUAACUCAUCAUGCAAUAUUUUAAAGAUUUUUCAAAGAUAAAAUUCUCCAGAAUUCUAGCAUCUCUAGGAACAGAUAAACAGCAGCUCAACCUUCCCAUAUCAUAUCCGUUAACAACUUAGAUUUCAGAUCAAGUUUUCAUCCCACAAGUUUAGAUCUCCAGCAAGCUUUAAAUUAUAACAGUUAUGUCUAAACUUGAGAGAGAACUUCAAAUUUGCAAAUUAGGCAGAGCAACUAUUCAUCAUAUCCAUGCUAGAGUUUUAUUAUUAAGAUUCAGAUUAACAUAGCCACUUUAUUUAUUAAACACACUAAGCAAAAGAUAUAUAUAUAUAUAAGCACAAAAUCUUUAUUUGGUUUUUCAUAGUUUAUGUAUUUUAAUAUUCUAAUAUAAGUAUAAAGAUAGGUAGAAAUACUUAGCGAGAUAAAUGGGGGUGCUCUCCCCCAAGCUGAAUUUUGACGUAAUUUCUCUUGAUGUAGCUAGCAGGUGGCAGAGGUGUAUUUAAAAGUCAACAGCAUUCUGACAGCGAUUAGAAUGUCCUCCGUCUGCUAGUCUUCUUGAUUCUUAAAUUCUGUGGAGCUCAAAUAGACAACAAAGCUUGUGGAACUAAUUAAAUGUUAGCAUAAAUAUCUAGCCUUCAUCAUGUUGAGCUUCCUCAAUAAAUAUUACUCCCUGUUUUUAUAUUUUUAUUUUAUAAAGCAGAAAAGAAAUAUUUAUUUUAUUUUCAUGCCACCAUAGUGAAGGUACUUAUGGGUUUUAUGCCACUCGUAUACUCACAUAGGGCUUAGUAUUUUUUUAACAUUUUUAUUUUCUUUUCAAGAUAGCAUGAUUAACUAAUAAUCUAUUUAAGAAAAGUAAAUAAUUAAAGGGAAAAGGGAAUGCAGAAAGGAUAAAUAUGGAUAACUACCGAUCUUACCUUUCGGCGAGGGUUCAAUGUUUUAAGUCUUCUUAACAAGACUUCUCACCGUGUUCAUUCUUCAGGUGCGUCAUUUGAUUCAGGUGCGGACCUUGACAUUUGCACCUCUUCGUUUGCCCAGCAGUUCGAAGCGCGGCGUUGGCAGUAUCCUGCUCAAUGUGUUUGUGCUCGUAGAUCGAGGUCCUUCACUUGGUAGAGUCUGAGAGUUAUAAAACUCCUCCAUGUUUUGCUCAAAGUGUACCUGCUCAUAGAGACAAGGCAGAGAUCAAGUGCAUGGGUCCUGUUGGUGGAAAACACCAACAGAACCAAAAGUGUAUUUGUUCUUCUCUAACCCUAAGCAUAGUGAGCAAGACAAAGUUGAUGGAUGAAAAGUUCAUGAGUCUAGCACUUAUAACAUUUGUCAGAUCAGAUCGCUCAACCUUAUGGAAAGAUAAUCUAUCUAUGUAUAUGUCUUUUUCUUUAUAUCUUUCAAUGAUUGAAUGUGUAACAUUUUAGCUCAUAUGAUUAGGAGUGUGGGAUCAUGGAGGUAGUACUAAGAACAAGGAUUAAAGGACUAAACAUGUUGAAUCAGUUGGGUUGGUUAAUCUAGAGUUGUAAAUCAUACAUGUUUGUCUCUUUUAUUUAUAUGAACGCCAGAACCAAGGAGAAGCUUAUAAAAGUGAUAGUCAAGCACCUUAAGAUGUUACCUUGCUUGAAGAGUGAUGGUACAGUAUCACCUUGUGGAAGCUUUCCUUUCUUAGCGGUGGUGCAUCGUGUUUGUGGCACCCUCCAUGGAUCAUCUCUCUAUGAUGAAUGAGCUAUGUCCUUCUUGUGCAAAUUGUUAAACUUCAUAUGUCACUCUCUUCGUCUCUGAUGUGAGUUUAUCUCAGGACUUCCCAAAUCGAUAUUGAAAGUUUUUCUGCAGGGGUUAGUCCGACAAAAAUAUACCAAUGUCUACACAAGCAGUUUUUAGUUCAAUAACCGAACUAGACUCCAUGUCUGUGGGGGUAUAAACCCCUAUACCCUUACGGCUAGACUUCAGCUAGGAAGCUUGGUCCACUACGAGACGAGUUCAAGGCUUGAUCAGACAGCCCGAGUUUCGCGCAAGGAAACAAGACGUGGAGAUCAAGCAGAAUUCUAGUCGGUUAGAAUAGGAAUUGAUAUCGAAUUAUCUAUGGCAAUUGUAACCGACUAGGAUUAGUUUCUAGAUCUGUAACCCUGCCCUCCAGACUAUAUAAGGAGGGGCAAGGGACCCCCCUAGGACAUCAUAUUCUCUCAGCACAAAUCAAUACAACCAGACGCAGGACGUAGGUAUUACGCCAACUCGGCGGCCGAACCUGGAUAAAAAGCUUGUCCGUGUCUUGCGUCACCAUCGAGUUCGUAGUUCGCGCACCGUCUACCGACAAACUACUACCGUGGGUAUACCCCAAGGUAGACUGCCGACUAGCUUUCGUCGACAGUGGCGCGCCAGGUAGGGGGUGUGCGUGCAACUUUUCCGGCGAACAAGAUGGUCACGAUCCCAGCUUCCGCGACCGUGCCCGAAGGCCUCACGUUCACCGUCGGCCAAAUCACGUGGACGACGUGCAGCGGCGGCUUCGCGACCACGGUUCCGAAAGAGGUCCAGAUCCAAUCUGAGAUCACGCCGUCUCCGACCACACGCAUGACGGCACCAAGCUCCCGACCACCGUUCCCACUCUACAAGGGAAAGGAGAUCGACUGCUCGGACCUCCUCCAAGCGCUCGAUCGCGCUGACUCCAAGCUACUCGAAGUCUCCCAACUAAUAGAUGGAGUUCUGCGCCGGCCCGACCAAGCUGCUCGAGCGGAUUUUUCGAAAUCCCGCCGGCCAACUCGUGUCGCCACACACGAAUGGCUGGGAACGUCCCUGACGAUAACCUCAACCCCCUCACGACGAUCCGUCGAGCUCAAAAAGGAAGACUAUCCUCGCGGCCUGAACAACUCGGCCUCUGUUUACUCACGGCAUGUCCAAUCCGUUUUCAGCAAAGCGGGCUGGUCGCCGACAAGGAACAAUCGCCACCAUGUCAACAUGGUGACAAUCCGAGAGCUACGGGACGGCCAGGUUUCCAGCACCAACUCAAGCACCGGCUCCGUCCCCACCGAGGUUAUAAACACCGAAGACGAGGGCUACGACCUGGAUUUUCCUUCACACCCUCCGGGUUUUCGACCAAUUCCCGAUAUUGCCCCCCCGGCGAGGGGAUAUCGUGUUCAAUGUCAGCGCCGACGAACCAGCUGUUGACGGAGAAACAGAUGACCAGAGGCAACUCCGCGAACAGCGUAACGCCGAUCGCGCCCGACGGCGUGCGGACGAGCAACAACAGAUGCCACCAAGUAACCUCAACGAUGCCUUUGACAUGGUCGGGGACCAGCCGGUCUACAAAACGCCAAGCGCCAACGUGGCUGUCGCCAUGGCCAACCUGGAUCGGCUUCCUGACACCCCCGAGUGCUAGGGAGUCCGGACCAGCAUCCGAGCACACCUGAUCGCCGCAAUGGGACAGACAGCCACUCUGCUCAAGAGAGUCCAGGACGUCUCUUAUACGGAAGCCGCCUCCGACCAGACUAAUCGUAGCCGGGCCUCACCCAGCAGGCGUCACCGCAGCCGCUCCCCCGACAACCGUCGAGGAGACUCACGGCGCGACGAUGGUGGUCGGGACGCCGAUGGCCGCCGCCAGCAGAACCGCGUACGCGGCCAAGAAGAAGAAGACCAACACAGGGAUCUCCGCCACAACAUCCCUCCCAAAGAUGCCCGGGACCGCAUCAACAGGCGCGCCGUAGAGAGAGCAGUCCACGAAAACCUGCGCCGCAUCGAGUACGAUGCGACCCACAGUCCUCCGGGCCUAAGGCAGUUCUCCUCACACCUCCGCCAGGUCGUGUGGCCCCGCAAUUUCAAGCUCGAAAAACUUAAAAAAUACGACGGCAAGGAUCACUCUUGGGAAAUCGCCGUCCGAUCAGCGGCAGGAGAUGAGCACGUCAUGGCUAACUACUUCCCCGUAGUCCUCGACCAGGCUGGUCAUCAGUGGCUUCUCGGCUUGCCCGAGGACUUCUUCGACUCUUGGGAAGAGUUACGACAGGCUUUCAUCGACAACUUCAUCGCCACAUGCGAGCAGCCCGGAAACAAGUAUGACCUUGAAAGGAUAAGAGACAGGAAGAAUGAACCUCUGCGCGAUUACAUCCGACGAUUCUCGGAUAUGCGCCUCAAAAUCCCGAAGAUUUCUCAUGACGAGGCCAUAUCAGCCUUUAUCAAGGGCUUGCGUUUCCAUGAAGCGCUGAGGAACAAGCUGUUGCGUAAGCGCCCAUCAACGGUAGCAGAGCUCCUCGCCACGGCUAAAAAUUACGCCGAUGCUGAUGACGCAGAAAAACUAAUCCGAGACGACGCGAGAGGCCCCGACCAGCCUUCUCGGCGAGACGACGGUCGUGGUCGCUACGAAAACAGAAAUCACCGCCGCUCCGACAACCGCGAUCACCGAGAGGGUUGGGAUCGGCGGCGCGACAGCCGCAACGACUUCAGAGGAAAGCGCCCUCGUGAAUACGACCACGAAGUAAAUACGGUCAAACGUCCCAACGGACGACGGGACUACCAAGACGACUACAACAAAACGUUGAAGGGACCGUGCCAGCUACACCCAAAGUCUAACCAUACCAUGGAAGAGUGCCGCGUCCUCAAAAGUAUCUAUACACGGCGGGCCGCCCAAGAGGACUCCGCCAAGAAAAAUAACAAACGCGACGGGCACGACCACGAAGAUGAGGAUGAGGACCAAGACAGGGACCCCCGACACCAAUACGUUAGCCCCACCGACGUGGUCCACUCCAUUUUCGGGGGCAAGGUCUCCACUGAGUCCAAGCGAGAAAGAAAGCUGUUAAAGAGAGCCUGCCUCAACAUAGACAGCACGGACGGGCUGAUCGCAGAUCCGAAGUUUCCCGCCUGGUCCCACAGGGAGAUCUCGUUCAGUAGGAAGGACCAGUGGGCCGCUAUCCCAGAGCCGGGACGUUUCCCACUGAUUCUUGAUCCCUGCAUCAAUAGCAUUAGAUUCGAGCGCGUGCUCGUGGACGGGGGAAGCUCCAUCGACAUCCUUUUCCGCAACAGCCUGCCCGCCCUCAAGAUAUCACCGGCACAACUAAAACCUUACGACGCCCAAUUCUGGGGGGUUUUGCCAGGUCAAAGUUCGGUGCCCCUCGGACAGAUAACAUUGCCUGUCCAAUUCGGCACACCCGAUCACUUCCGGACGGAGUUCAUCAACUUCGUGGUCGCGGAUUUCGACGGGACCUACCACGCUAUACUGGGCCGCCCAUCGCUGACAAAGUUCAUGGCAGUCCCGCACUACUCAUACCUAGUCCUUAAGAUGCCCACGGAGAAGGGUGUCCUAACCAUCAGAGGCAACGUCUACACUGCGUACACCUGCGAAGAAGAAAGCUUCAAGAUCACCGAGGCAAUUGACCUCUCAAUCCGCAUGGCGGAAACAGCAAACCAAGCCGCACAGCUGCCCCCCGACCAGCUCCGAUUACCUGAGCAGGAGACAGCCAGAAAGAAUUCGAAAUCCAAGGAGCACAAAGAAGUGCAGCUGGUCGAAGGCGACCCCGAGAAAACAGCCCUCAUCGGGGCUAACCUGGAUCCAAAAUAGGAAGACGCGCUCGUCAGGUUUCUAAGGGACAACGUGAGCGUUUUCGCAUAGAAACCCGCAGACAUGCCCGGUGUCCCACGAAACCUGAUCGAGCACUCCUUAAACGUCUCGAAGACCGCAAGACCAAUCAAGCAAAAACUGCGACGGUUCGCUCGUGACAAAAAGGAGGCUAUUAGGACAGAAAUAACACGGCUUCUAGCAGCCGGAUUCAUAAAAGAAGUGUAUCAUCCCGAUUGGCUCGCCAAUCCGGUUCUUGUACGCAAAAAGAAUAAUGAAUGGAGAAUGUGCGUUGAUUACACCGAUCUCAACAAACACUGUCCUAAAGAUCCUUUUGGUCUUCCUCGCAUCGACGAGGUGGUCGACUCAACGGCCGGAUGCGAACUCCUCUCCUUUCUAGAUUGCUACUCUGGUUAUCACCAGAUCUCGUUAAAGGAAGAAGAUCAGAUCAAAACAUCCUUCAUCACACCCUUCGGCGCAUACUGUUACACUACCAUGUCUUUCGGACUUAAAAACGCCGGGGCCACUUAUCAAAGGGCCAUCCAGCAAUGCCUCCACGACGAGAUUCGCGAUGACCUCGUCGAGGCCUAUGUGGACGACGUGGUCGUAAAAACAAGGGACGCGAGCACCCUAAUCGACAACUUAGACCGAACCUUCAAAGCACUCAAUAGGUACAAGUGGAAGCUCAACCCCAAGAAAUGCAUUUUCGGCGUUCCUUCCGGCCUACUGCUCGGCAACGUCGUCAGUCGCGACGGCAUACGACCAAACCCUUCAAAAGUCAAAGCCGUACUCGACAUGCGACCACCGAAGAACGUCAAGGAUAUUCAGAAGCUAACCGGAUGGAUGGCCGCCCUCAGUCGUUUCAUCUCAAGGCUGGGAGAAAAAGGCCUCCCUUUCUUCAAACUACUGAAAGCGUCAGAAAAAUUCUCUUGGACAGAGGAAGCCGACGCUGCGUUCACUCAGCUUAAGACCUUCCUCACUUCACCGCCUGUCCUCACAGCGCCUCAGCCCAAUGAAGACCUACUCCUUUACAUUGCUGCAACCGACAGGGUUGUUUCCACGGCAAUAGUGGUCGAGCGAGAUGAACCAGGUCAUGUCUUCAAGGUCCAGAGACCCGUUUACUUCAUAAGCGAAGUUUUAAACGAAUCCAAGGCCACGUACCCACAAAUACAGAAGCUUAUAUACGCCAUCCUGAUAACGUCAAGAAAGCUGAAGCACUACUUCGACGGCCAUCGAGUCCUGGUGACAACCAGCUUUCCUCUCGGGGACAUCCUGCGCAAUAAAGACGCCAAUGGCAGAAUCGUGAAAUGGGCAAUGGAAUUAUGUCCAUUUUCCCUAGAGUUCCAGAGUCGCACCACUGUCAAGUCUCAAGCCCUGGUCGAUUUCAUUGCCGAAUGGACGGAUCUCAACGAGCCUUCCGUUCCAGAUGUCUCAGACCACUGGUCAAUGUUCUUUGAUGGGUCCUUGAACAUCAACGGUGCAGGCGCUGGGAUAUUGUUCGUAUCACCCAACAAGGACAAACUCCGCUACGUCCUUCGGAUCCUUUUUCCGGCGUCAAACAAUGUCGCCGAAUACGAAGCAUGCUUACAUGGCGUACGACUAGCCGUCGAACUGGGGGUCAAGCGCCUCUAUGUCUACGGCGACUCCGCUUUGGUCAUCAACCAGCUCAACAAGGAGUGGGACGCAACCCACGAGAAGAUGGAUCUCUACUGCAAAGAAAUUCGCAAAUGGGAAACUAACUUCUAUGGCAUAGAGUACAUCCACGUGGUCCGGGAUAAGAACCAAGCAGCAGAUGCGUUGUCAAAGUUAGGCUCGUCUCGGGCCCAAAUCCCGCGGGGUAUUUUCGUCCAGGACAUCCACGAGCCGAGCGUAGGCUCCCCCCUGGUCGACAAACGACCCACCGAGGCAAUGCUCAUAGAUGACGCCACUCCGACAACUGGUGGGCGUGACUGGCGUACCCCGUUCAUCAAAUACAUAUCAGACGGGACAGGCUUUCAGGACAAAACAGAGAACGAGCGUCUCAUCCGACGAUCAAAGAACUACAUCCUGGUCGACGGAAAACUCAUGCGGAAAAACGCAAGCUCCGAAGUACUGCUCAAGUGCAUACCCCAAGAUGAUGGUAUCAAGCUCUUGGAAGACAUACACGCCGGAUCCUGCGGCAACCACGCCGCAUCCAGAACGCUGGUCGGAAAGGCUUUCCGAGCAGGUUUUUAUUGGCCAACCGCGGUCAGCGACGCAGAAAAACUGGUUCGGCAUUGCGAAGGAUGUCAGUUUUUCGCUAAGAGGACCCACGUACCUGCCCAUGAAAUUCAAACCAUCCCGUCGUCUUGGCCCUUUGCUUGCUGGGGGCUUGACAUGAUCGGACCAUUCAAACCAGCCCCAGGCAAUUUCAAGUUUGUCUUCGUGUUAAUCGACAAGUUCUCCAAGUGGAUUGAAUACAUGCCCCUGGUCAAAGCAACCUCCGAGAAGGCUGUGGAGUUCCUCAAUCAAAUCAUACACAGAUUCGGCAUUCCGAACAGCAUAAUCACCGACCUGGGCACUCAGUUUACUGGCACCACUUUUUGGGAUUUCUGCGAUGACAGAGGCAUAGUCAUAAAAUAUGUGUCAGUGGCACAUCCACGUGCCAACGGUCAAGUUGAACGUGCUAACGGAAUGAUCGUUGACGCCCUAAAGAAAAGGUUGUACACCGAAAACGACAGAGCACCCGGUCGAUGGAUGAAAGAAUUGCCGGCUGUGGUCUGGGGCCUCCGAACUCAGACCAGUCGAAACACAGGGGUGUCUCCCUACUUCAUGGUGUACGGUGCAGAGGCGGUCUUGCCGUCCGACAUACACUUCGGAUCUCCUAGAAUCGAGCACUUCGACCAAGCGACCGCCGACAACGCCAGAGGACUCGAAAUCGAUUGCAUGGAGGAAAAGCGUUUAGUGUCGUGUCUCCGAACAGCAAAGUAUCUCGCAGCAGUCAGGCGAUACUACAACAGGAAUGUCAAGGACCGUUCGUUCGUGGUCGGCGAUCUGGAGCUUCGAUGGAAAACAAGCCAGGAGGGAAUGCACAAGCUAUCCACUCCCUGGGAAGGACCCUUCGUGGUGACCGAGGUCACACGACCUACGUCCUACAGAUUGGCAUACCCAGACGGAACACGAGUGCCUAACUCUUGGCACAUCGACAAACUGCGACGUUUCUAUCCAUAAAGUUUUAAUGACUUUCUUCUGUAAGUAUCUCAUAAUUUUUGAUAAUGAAAUUCUCUAUUUUUGGCCCAUACCUUGUCACACACAGCACUCGGCAAAACUCCUGCAACGGACGCUCUUAGCGACAACAAAGACAAAUACGGUGACACGUCACUCAGAUAUUCUUGCAGCGCUCAAAACAACAGUCAUGACAAAAAGCAAACUUUAUUACAAACUUUACAUACAAAGUUUACAAUAAAUACCCUGACGGGCAAACACUAGUCUAUUCCUACAGACUACUUUAUUGGCCUGGCUGCUCGGGCUGAUCACCCGCCUGGCCCUGCUGCCCGGACGAAGGGGUCGGGGCCACCGGCGCCUGGCUGGUCGAGACCGCAGGCGUCGACCGCCCAUCUCCCGCAACGGACGCGCCCGACAACUCCCUGGCCGACCUAUCUGAGCUCGGCUGGUCUGGAGGAGUGGCCGUUCCGCACAGAUUGAUGUCGCCGAUCACUGUCGACGACAAGUCCAGCAGAUUACCUCGAAGUUCGUCCGCUUCCUGUGGGCCGACUUCCUUCGGGUACCCCUUCUCCAGCCUGCUCAAGUCGACCAGGGGGUAGUGGGCGCGCACCAUGCUGAGGACGUGCGCGCCGGCAAACUCCCCGGCGUCCUUCACAAACUGCUGGAGCCAAUCCCACGCCCGUUGCGCCUUCUCGACCGGGGUCAACUGCGGCGCGCGGGGCUGGCUCUCCGGGAGCUCGGGACUGAUCAGGUCUAGGACCGGGGACACUCCCUUCCAGAUCCUGCAACAGUUGACCUUCCAGGAGUCCCGGUCCUUGAUCAGCUCAUCCAGGUGCUUUUUGGUGUUCACCUUGAGCACUGCAAACGAAACGAAACGUUACUUUCGGCAUACCAGACAAAUAAAGGGGCAGGCAGCAACCAACAAGGCGGCACUCAUUACCAGAUAGCUCCCGGUGUUUUCGACCCAAUUCCUCUUCUGCUCGCCGCCCGGACUCCAGCGCACCGGCGAGCUGUUGGCUGAGCUGCUCCUUCUCUUGUUGGAGGCUCGCCACCUCCUCCUCCAAGUCUGCGUGAAUCCUAAACUGGUCAGCAAAGCAAACUAUACAAGUACACGAAGCUGCUCGGAGCGUGUGACUAACCUUCCUGCAGCCGGUACUGGUCGGCCAGACGACGAGCGAGGUCGAGACGACGCUCCUUUUCGGCACUCAUCUCGACCACCUUCUCCCCGACCUCCGCGCGCAACCGGUCUACCUCCGCGGCAAGGGCCUUGUUCUCGGCCAUGACGCCUUCUAUCUGGUCAAAGCACCGUUUCCGGUACUUCGCCGUUUUCAUUACGUCCUACAAAGCAAGGAUAUAACGACCAUGCAAGACAAGGCAAAAGAAUGCGCAGCAGUACAAAGAGCCGCUUACCUUGACUUCGUCGACAAGGCGCUUGGCCGCGCGCUCCACCCUGGCGGCCUCUUCGGUCUCGGCGAGCUCCUCAUGACCGAUAAAGUGAUCCCCGCGUUGGCGCCACACAUACACGUGUUGGCGGCCAUCACGGGGACGACCCUCGAUCUCUUCCACCUCGUCAUCGGAGGCCGCCCGGGUUUCCUCCUCCUGUGCUACGUCACCCCCGGUGGUGGUCCCAGGCAUUACUGGCCCUUGGACCAGACCUGGGGAGCCCGCAGCCGAAGAGGCUCCUGCUCGGGGCGGCGGGGGGACUUCACUCCCCCCGGCAGGAGGAGCGGUCGGAGAUCUUCCCUUCUCUGCGGAGUCAGUUGGGGGAGCCUCUCCAGCCCUGGUCGGGCUGCUUGUUGUAGUCGGCGCCGCGCUUGGGAGCCCCUCGGUGCUCCCAGGCGCGCUCGCAGCUGUUGGCUGCUCUGUGGUCUGGGGGGCCGCAUCCCCAGAACCGCGGGCAGGCUCGCCCGUUCCCUGGCUGGCAGUUUGGCCAGGGUCGACAUCCGAUGCCGCACUACAGGAACAAAAGUUAAAAAAAAAAGAUGAGUCCAAAAUACGUAAGUCGAACACUUACAGGUCUGACCGACGGUGGGUCGCGGUGAACCUCCUCCUCGCCCGGCCGGUCGGCACCUGUGCCCCCAUCUCAGCAACUUGCGGGGCAGCGGCGCCGCUGGCCACUCGAUCAGUGGCGACCGGCGCAGUGUCUGGGCGGCUCCGAGGCCGUCGAACCAACGACGGCGCAGCCUCCUCGUCGUCGUCGUCGUCGACGAUCCGCACGAGCCGACGACGCUUCGGUGCUUGGCUGCUCUCCGCCGGGAGAUCUGCCGGCAGCCCCGGUGUCGGCAAGGGAUCUGCCGGCAAUGGCCUUUUCCCCGCAACCCUCUCCUCGGAGGUCGGGACGGGGCGGGCUCGGUCUUCCUCACUGCUGGUGUAAUGAGUACACCGAGCAGCGUCCUCCUCUGGCGGGACCUCUCCCACCGGAUUUUCCAUCCCCGGUGCCAGUGAUACAUACACUGCGCACCGGUCGACAUCACCGACCUGCAAAAGCAACAGAGAUGAGUCAACUGCAGACGAUAUAUGAAUGAUCAAACAGAAUCUGCUACAUACCUUUGGUGCUGGUCGUCCUAACUUGAAGGCUUGCACCCGAUCACUGCCACGGAUGAAGCCCCCAUCCGCGAAGUUAAACAGCUCGUUCAACAGCUGUUGUACCUCCGCUUUCUCCAAGAUCUCCGACCGCAUCCUGGUCGGGUCUGCGCUUCCGGCAUACUCGUACGCCGAGUGCACCCUCUUCUGGCAGGGCAUCACCCGGCGGCAAAUGAAGUUGCCGACCACGCCAAGCCCGUCUAGGCGCGACCAGUCGAUCAGCUUCAUGAGAUCCGCCACUGGUCCGUCGAACUCCGGUCGGUCGGUCCAGCUCGCCCUCUUCUCGGGAAUGUAUCCAACGUCGCAGAACGUGGAGCUGCCCGGUUCCUCCCUGAUGUAGAACCACUUCCUGUACCAUUCGGUCAAGGAAGUGUUCCAUGGGCAAUGCAGGUAGCGAUUCUUCAUCCCAUCACGAAGGUUGAGGUAUACUCCACCUGCAACCUUGGAGCCUCCAACUGCUCCCUUCUUCCUCAAGCAGAAAAGAUACCGGAAAAGAUCAAAGUGCGGCUCUAUGCCAACAUAGGCCUCGCACAGGUGGAUGAAGGUGGAAAUAAGGAGAAUAGAGUUCGGGUGCAGAUUGCAAAUCCCGAUCUCAUAGUACAAAAGAAGACCUUGAAGAAAAGGAUGAACAGGAACACCAAAGCCUCUCUUAACGAAAUCUUCAAAAACGACGAUCUCACCGGCGCGAGGGUCGGGGUAGCUCUCCCCCUCCGGUGCCCUCCAGCCGCCGAGCUCUGCGCCGUGCAGAAGCCCCAUAUCGACGAGGUCACCAAGAGAUUUUGUGGUGCUGCGAGAUUUCUUCCACUCCUUGGCCAUCAGUUCGGCCCUCUUCCUGCAGUCGCUCUUCGCCAUUAGAGGUGCGAAUGUGGGCUGGAGUUAGGGAGAUGCAGGAGACUGGAGAAGAUGAGAGCGGAAGGUUUGAAGGCAAUGGCAGGCGAAGCGGUACAGGAGGUCCUAUUAGGCCCUUAUAAACCCGCGACCCCACCUCUCCCACUUCCUGUAUUCUCGGGAAGUGGGCAGGCCAUGCGGCGGACGCGGCGUUUCGGUUUACAAUGAUUACAGACAAUUAAGGCCGCGGAGUUUUCGUACCAAUUGAUGGUUUCCUUUUCUCAAACCAUGCAAAGAGCGGUUGUACAGUUGCCAGGUGCAGCUUUUCAUGCAUCUGUCUGACAUAUCAUCAGGAGACCGCGUCACGUCAACUUUAACUAGAAAGAUCUUUUCAAAAGUAAGAAGACACAUACGCCAGUGAGUCAACAAUCCGAGGACUGCACCGACCACCGAGCACUCGACGCUCGGGGACUGGUCGCCCAGUCUAUCAGCUCGGAACUUCAAGGACUGCACCGACCACCGAGCACUCGACGCUCGGGGACUGGUCGCCCAGUCUAUCAGCUCGGAACUCCAAGGACUGCACCGACCACCGAGCACCCGACGCUCGGGGACUGGUUGCCCAGUCUAUCAGCACGGAACUUCAAGGACUGCACCGACCACCGAGCACUCGACGCUCGGGGACUGGUCGCUCAGUCUAUCAGCUCAAAGCUUUAAAGCAUGCACCGACCACUGAGCAUUCGACGCUCGGGGACUGGUCGUACAGUAUAGCAACAUAUAAUUCCAAGAAGCACACUAAGUGCUUGGGGACUGGUCGAUUGGUCUUUUCAAUUGCAGACGAGCAUGACAUGCUCGGGGACUGGUAAGUUCAAUUUUUUAGACCUUGCUACAAGGCUCAUACUUCGCCUUCCAGCAAGCUCGGGGACUACAUCGGUACGAUGCAUCUAGCGAUGCAUCUCAGUCUCAAAACUACUUUGGGGAAUUUUCUUUUGACCCUGGCACCACGUGCCUACGCCACCUACUACCAGGCUCGGGGACUAAGUGGGCACACUUCACCUAGCGGUGAAUUUGCUUGCUUUUUUGAUGCUUCUACAUUUCAAAAAGGCAAAGUGGGCACACUUCACCAGGAAAGAAAUUUUUUUUUAGAGCACCAUGCAUUCUUCGAACAACCUGCUUCUUCGAUGUCAAUGUUGGUCAACUGUCUUUCGAGUUGGUCAAGGAACCGUUGCAACUGUUUGGGCGAUUUUCCCGCUUAUUGAAGACGACAGGCCUCGCUGAUCGAAGAAGCUCAAGACGGCGUGUUGCAUCACAAUACAUGGCGCUCGGGGACUAGCUGUGGGGGUAUAAACCCCUAUACCCUUACGGCUAGACUUCAGCCAGGAAGCUUGGUCCACUACGAGACGAGUUCAAGGCUUGAUCAGACAGCCCGAGUUUCGCGCAAGGAAACAAGACGUGGAGAUCAAGCAGAAUUCUAGUCGGUUAGAAUAGGAAUUGAUAUCGAAUUAUCUAUGGCAAUUGUAACCGACUAGGAUUAGUUUCUAGAUCUGUAACCCUGCCCUCCAGACUAUAUAAGGAGGGGCAAGGGACCCCCUAGGACAUCAUAUUCUCUCAGCACAAAUCAAUACAACCAGACGCAGGACGUAGGUAUUACGCCAACUCGGCGGCCGAACCUGGAUAAAAAGCUUGUCCGUGUCUUGCGUCACCAUCGAGUUCGUAGUUCGCGCACCGUCUACCGACAAACUACUACCGUGGGUAUACCCCAAGGUAGACUGCCGACUAGCUUUCGUCGACAAUGUCUAAUCAGAUUAAAGAAGGCAGUUUAACCUAAGCACCAUGCUUAAUUUUAAAGCCAAUAGAAGUAUGUGCAGUACUUCCAAACUAACACUUACUAGUAAAUAGACAAAGGUAACAUGACAGCAUUUAUAGAGAUCUACUCAAGUGGAGAUGAAGUAGUGUGAUUAGUAUUUAACAAAUUGAGCAUGUCUCAAAGGUAGGGACAACCAACAUAGCAACAUGGCAAAGGAUGUUUUUAUGUAAAGUACUCCCCCAAGCUUGAAUUUUGCAGAAUUCAAGUUUGGAUGAAUUUAAUUCAGUGUUGCAUGAUGAUUGGUUGGACAUACCUUGUACUUGCUUGUCAUUCAUCCGAUCUUCUUGUUCCAAUCCUGGAAAGGUUAGUGACAAGAAUACCCGAAGGAAUAUUUUUACAAUUAUCCUUAUAUGCUCAAUACACAAGGUAAUGUUGCAAAUAAUUAAAAACUCAUGUUAUGAUCUGAUCAGUGCUUAUUUUAGGACACUAAGCUUGUCCUUGGGAAACCAUCAAUUUAUGUCGGCGAAGUGGUUUCCCUUCAAACGCUGACCUAUAUCAAGAUCAACUCAACGAGAUCUGCAAUAUUUAUUAUAGACAUAUGCAUCGACAACCGCCCUUUUAAAGUUUUUAUAAAUAGAAAGGAAGAGGGGGUUGGAGAUCUCAAAUGUGGUGAUGUUGGAGAGACCAAUAGAUUGGGAAGAUGUUUCAUAUGAGCAUGGAGUAAAUGAAGUGGUUAUGAAAUAAAUUCCAUGCUCAUUAAUGUUAUCUUCGUCUCUAAUCUGAAUGUUUGGAGUUUCUCCUGGAUUGGUCUCACUUAUGUCCUCUUCUAUAUUUGGAUGAAUCCCAUCUUCAAGGGAGUCAAGAACUCACCAUUUGAAAUUGAACCAAAGUCAGAAUUCAUUAAGGCUUCUUCCUUAUCCAUCCAUUCUACACAUUCUAGCCAUUUAGAACUUGUGAUGAGGAAAGGGGAGGUGUUAGAAUUUUCAAUAUGGCUUAGCUCUCCUUCACUUGAUAUGUCAUCCUCGACUUCCUCAUAAUAGGAACCAGGACAUUCUCUAAGAGAACCAUUAUUGCGAGGAUUUGAAUUAUCCCUGCUUGAAGGACUCUUAUGGAACCAGAAGUCUAAACCAUCAGCAUCUGAAAGAUUUAAGGUCGGAAUUCCUUCCUCCCUUGGAGAAUUUUGGGGUAUUGAUGGUUUAGGAUCGAUAGCUAAAGUUUGGAAUUGAAGUGGUUGUGAUCUGGCUAUCGAAACUUCUUCUUCUUGUCUAGGAACUAGUUCUGUCUCUUUCUCAGGGAUAUAAAAGCUAGGAGACUUUCCACUUAAUAAAUCAAUCAAAUUCCAAGCUUCACUAGCAGGUAGGUGAUAGAAGGAUCCUCUAGAGGCUGUAUUCAAGGUUUGCUUAUUUUCCCCACUAAGGCCCUCAAAAAAGUGAAUUAGAAGAACUUCUUCUGGAAUAGAAAGCUUUGGGCAGUGAGAGUAAGGUUAAUAAAGCGGUCCCAUGAUUUCCUAAGAGAUUCUUCUUCCAGUUGCCUAAAAGAAAUAAUCUCACGCCGAAGUUCCGCCACUUUGGAGAUUGGAAAAUAUUUUAAAAUAAAACUAUUAUGUAACUCCUUCCAAUCUCCAUGAACACUCCCUACUUUGAGUUUAUACCAAUGUCUAGCUUUUCCCGUUAAAGAGAACGGAAAGAGCUUCCAUUUAUGGGUCUCAUCAGACAUGCCUUCAAUGCGAAGGAGGUCACAGACUCGAUAAAACUCUCUUAGGUGUGUGUAUGGGUUUUCCUCACCUUCUCCUGAGAAAGGUUGUUUUUGAACAAAUUCUAUGUAUUCGGGGUCUAUCUCAAAACUAGAUGCUAUGAUAGGCUUUGAAGAUUUUGGUGGUUCGAGAUGUGUGCCCGUAGGUCUAUGAAAUUCAUAGAUAGACGUGUUUGAAUUCAUGAUAGACCAGAGAUCAAGGAUUAGAUAAGAAGAAAGAUUAGCAGAGAUGAGGCAAAGGAUAAAAGGAAAAAAAAAAUUUAUUUUUUUUAGAAAAUGAUUAAGCUAGUUCGUAGUCAACUCAGCAACCGUUUCCCUGGCAACGGCGCCAAAAAAUGCUUGUUGACACUUGCUAACACCACUUGAAUACUAGGUUGUCAUCCCCAGCAUGGCACUAGAGUGUACUAUGGUAUUUAUACGCACAGAGAUAAUCCGCAAGCGCACGGAUACCGUUAUAGCUUUUUCCCGGUUAAAGGUUUUAUCGUAUCCACAGGGAAAAGGGAGAACCAACUACGCUCUAACUUAACCAGGAUAGAUAGAUAAGUGUAAAUAGGAAAGAUGGUAGAAUCGAAUAAGAACAAUAUUAAAGGUAAGAUAACAAUGAGUGAUAAUAUGGGAAUAGAGAAUAGAGCAAUUCUAGUAUAUGGGCGAUGGUAGCAGAAUAGAGAGUAUAACUAUGGUUUCUCUACUUCAAAGGGGUAUGUCUAUGUCUGGGACGAACCACGUGAUAAGAGUACACCACAAAGGAUGCUUAUCCUUAGGCCGAUAAACCCUACCCGUCCUGCUAACAAGAGGUGGACUACAGGGGACCAACGUAACUGCCACCUACGCGGCCUACCACACGAUCCAGCUAGACAGGGGAUAUCCACAAGUAAUCUAGAUCUAAGCACCUCGCUUACACCUAUACUACAACUCUCACCUAUAGUGUCCUAUAGAUUAAAGUACUCAAAAGAGUUGUGAACCAGAACAUACAUAAUUAGUAAUUGCAUAAUGAAUUAGAAGUAGAUUACCAGAGUCAUCCCAUGAGCAAGCUUGAUUAGAGCUUGAUCAUGACGAAGUACAACCGGAGGAAGAACCGACAGGCCGGCCUCUCCUCUAAUCCUCCUUCGCUCUCCAUCUUGCUACUAUCUAGAUCUACUCUAGUUUAGAGAAGAGUGGAGAGCUCUCAUCUCUAAACCCUAGCUUUUGCUCUGUCUAUGAAUAAUGAAUAAUGAUCAAGGGGGUGCCUCCUCCAGGGGCCAGGGGGUGUGGUUAUAUAGUCUUUUCAGAUGAAUCUGGGCCGUCAGAUCAAACCGACAUUGAUCGUGUGGUUUUCCUUGAAGUAUUAGGCCGGUGGAGCAUGAUCCGCGAAGUUGAAGCUGAUUGGUUACUGUAGCUGGGCGGGCGCCCAAGGGACUUGGGCGGGCGCCCUGCCCCCGGGCCCGAUCGGCCUCCCGUUCGUUCCCGUGGUUCUGGAGUCUUCUAGAUGGUAGAAAAUUGCGCGGCACGUUAAUAUCUCUAUGUAAACCCGACGUGUGGGCCUUUCUUUCAUAUUUCCUGAUAACCCCCUGCAGAAAUAGACAAACACCAAAACUCGUGGAAUUCUGUCAGAUAAAACCCUAAGUCUAGAUGUUGAUUUCAUUUGGAUCCUUUUCUUUGUUUAUUUGAUAAUUAAAUUUGAUACUUAAGGACCGUCAACAAUUGUCAGUGAUAACCCUAUUCUAGUAGAUAUUCAUGUAUGGUGGAGAGUUAAUAGAUAACAAAUAUUGUGGGUUAAGAGGUGUCAACAAUUACCCCACACUUAGGCUUUUACUCGUCUCGAGAAAAAGAUGGGUUCUAUUAUAAAGAAUAAACAUUCAAUGCAUAACUUGGAAAUUAAAUUAUAUAAAACUAGCCUAGCUACCAUGCAUUGUGGAAUUUUAAAGUGUUUUAUCAUGAAUUCUGUAGUGAUUGUGGAGUAGGAUAGCUUAAAACAGAUUACUCUCUUUCUUUAAUUAUGUCUAUUGGAGAGUAAGUGGAGUUUGCAAAUAACACAUAGCUUUGACCUUCUCUUAUUUGUAGUGACAUCAACGGUUGUUAUAUUAAUUUGAUAUUCAUAACCGGGGAGAGAAAUAUCAUAUUCCUAGAUUAGAAAAAUCAUCCACUCCUUGGCAUAUUAUGUUGGAGGAACCAUGAGCUCUUUUUUAACUAAUUCUACUUAUGAGCACAUGUUCAUAUUUCUUUUCUUAUUGAAUCAAGGUUCUGGACACUUGUCCCUUUUUAUUUCCUCGUGAUCUAUCUUUUUGAGGUUUCAGACACUUGUCCCUUUUUAUUUCCUCGAAUUUCUUUAUGAAUAGCUCAUGCCUCCUUCAUAAUAAUGCUUUUGUUGGUGCAAAAGCUGAUCUGCAAACACAAAGGGCUAAUACCCGAUUCAAACAUUAAGGCGUGCCAGCCAAUUUGACCUUACUAUCGGCAAAGGUGGUAACUCGAAUACUUUGGUCCUGACAACAGCAAUGCGCCUGGAUGUCACGGCCAAGAGGUACUCACGCGGAACUCAAGAAUACGCCGAGCUUAAGUCAACGAAUUACUAAGAACUCGUAGUAAAAAGGAAAAUAUGACGAAGUUGUCGAAAAAGUAGAUGCUGGAAUAUGAGUAAAAAAUUAUGUUUGAUUGAUUGAUAGAUAUCUCAUUACAAGGCCCUAGGGUCUACAUUUAUACCCUGCUCAAAGAUCUACAAUCAGACACGACUAGGACUCGAAUUCCAAAUUAAACAGAAUCCGUGUACAAAACGAAUUUAAAUAACUAAGGAAAACAUAAAACCACCCCCCUUGUAACCGACCGGGACACCGCCACAGAUCAAUCGGCAACCUCCACACUUUCCUUCAGAGUCAUCGGCAGUCUUCCUGUUAUGGCCAUCGGCAAACACCAAUAUUAAUCAUCAGCAAGAACACGUCACCACCUCUGGACUUAGUCAUAUUCAAUCGUCUCUUCAUCGGCAACUACCCUCAUCGGCAACUCUUUUGUAGGCUAUUUACCGUUGCUCCACCUGCCGAUCUAUACUCUACUGGUCUCUGGGUACGCGUCCAAAAACGGUGUCAACACAUGCCCCCCAAUUUCGGAGUAUGGAAUCAUUAAUGCUCCGAAAUUCUCUGCAGUAAUGAUGCCUUUCCGCAAUUAAUUCUCCCAAUUUGGUAACCGACCGUUUAAAUCUGAACAACCUCGGCCCGAUUCUCCUGCAGGUUCCUCGAAUUCCUCAACCUUCCGAACCGGAUCUCUCCACUUUAUGCGUCCAUCGGCAAUAUUACCGUUAGAGGGAACUGCCGAUGGACCGACCAAGAAAUCCCGCACAGUGAAAUAUCUCCAGAUCAUGACCGCUUCCUGUCAAAUCACCUGCGCAAUCCCUUGAUUACUGUGCGAACAGUUACCAUAUCCACCUGAGUAUUGUAACACCCCAGUGUUAUGGUUGCUUUAAUCAUGUGCAUAGUAUGAGCAUCAUCAUCUACUCAAAGCAUAUCAUGAUCAUCAUCUAUCUUGAGCCAUGUCAUUCUAUGCAAAUAUGUAAUCUAAAUUGCUUAAAUAGGCUUCCUAUGCUUAUGUUGGAGUGAACCAUGCUUGUGUUUGUGCUCUAUGCCUUGGUAAUUAGUUUAUUUAUGUUUAACUUAACCUUGGGAACAAUGUUCAUGUUGAUCACUUCUCCAAAAUAAUCAUUUAAGUCAUACUUGUGCUAAUAGGCCCUAGAAACCUCUUUUGCUUAGGCUUUUAAAAAGUGUUUCAUAAAAUGUUUGCAUGUCAAAACUUUCUACAGCAAAGUUGUAGUAAAUUUUAUAAGGAACAAAAGUUGUUUUAUGGCCAUCUCAUGAAAAUGACCACAAAUAGCUCAAAAGUGACCCACAACGCAAAUUUGGGGCUGUUUCCAACACUAGUUUGCUCGAUCGAUUUUGAAAACUUUAUAACUCUCAAUCCAUGCCGAUCUAGCUCUUGCUCCAGUUGAAAGAGUUGUAGAUCUCGGCUAGUACUCCAACUUUGUCAACUACAUCAUCUCCUAACUCGCUCUGGUUUGGAAGUUAUUCAUCGUUGAAGUCGCUCUGUCAGACAGUCGCCGUUUUCUCUGAAUCGAAGCCGAGCUCGCCGUCGUGGAUGGCCAGAGCGCCACCUGUCCGCCAGAUGGCGCCCAUAUGCCGGCGAUGGCCCCGCUCGUCAGCUCCCAGCGCGCGCAUGACGUCCACGGUGACGCCCCGAGCAGAGUGGACGCGUCCACUCUCGCUUCCUCGCCCUCUCGCGCCUGUAACCCGACCGCAGCGAGCUCACCGUCGCGAGCUCACUCCGGCGAGCUCGUGUGCGCUCCUCGCUGCGUCUCAGUCCACCAAAUUCCACCCACAGCUCCGCCAUGAGCCGCUCUUCACUUCCCACCCUCUAACUCGCCGCGAAACCCACCGGUGAGCCGCCAUUUCCUUCUUCCCCCAACUCGGGUCGUCGUGACCAUCUUUUCCGGCGAACUCAAUGCCGGGCUCUGUGAAGCCGCUCGUCUUCUCUGGUUAGGUCCGAGAGGUAGAGUAGGUUCUCAGCGAGCGUUUGCGCCACUUGGUGGACGCUCUACCGAACUCUCCGUCAGCGGACACGAUGCGCAGCGCCGCCGUGUUUCCGCCGGAGAUGGGUGCUCUCGUGGCCAGCGUGCUCCACGAGGUUUCAAGCCAAGCCGCGUACAAAAGUUCCGCUUGCUUCGGUUGACUGAAGGUUUGAAGGCAGAGUAUGUAGCUCAUCAACUGCAGGGUCCAACAGGCAUCUGGUGGAAUCAGUAUCGGGAAGCUCUUCCAGCCGACACUGUGCUUGACUGGAAUCUUUUCCGUGAUGCUUUUAAAGGGCAUUUCAUUCCUCCUGGUGUCAUGGAGAUGAAGCAUACUGAGUUCAUGCAAUUAACCCAGGGUAACAAAACUUUGAAGGAGUAUUUGCAUGCUUUCAAUCAUUUGUCUAGGUAUGCUCCAGAGUUUGUGAACACUGAGGCGAAAAAGAUUGCUAGUUUCAAGCGGGGUUUGGGCCCCAAGUUGCUGAAGACUAUGGGCCGCACUAAGUGUGCAACUUUCAAUGAGUUUGUCAGUGAUGCUCUCACUCAAGAGAACUAUAACACUGUGUACACUGCUACCAAGACUCGCAAGAGGGCUUUUGAGGCCGGGACAGGGUCAUCUCAGUCCAAGGCUCCAGUGGCAGCUAAGCCACCGUUCCGCGCUCCAACGCCUAACCAGCGGUACCGCCCUCCGGUGAAGAAGAAUCAGGCGAAGACGGGUUUUCGCAAGGGGUACUCUAUUGCUCUUCCUAAGGGCAACACGGGUCCCAACUAUGCCAAGACUCCACCUGCCAACCGUCUGUGCUGGAACUGCAAUCAGACCGGGCAUUGGCAGAGCAACUGUCCUUACCCGCCAAAGAAGGUCAAUCAAGGGAAUGUCCGUCAGGGGCGUGUUCACUACACUACUGUAGAAGCAAUCCCUGCUGGUGAGGUAGUUACGGCUGGUAAGUUUCUAGUCAAUCAACAUGACGCACUUGUGCUUUUUGAUUCAGGAGCAUCGCAUUCUUUUGUGAGUUCUGAAUUUGUGUCUAACAAUAAUAUCAAGGCAUUUACACUUGAUAAGGGCAGUUAUUGUAUUAGUGCUGCGGGAAAUGAUAUUUCCACCAAUCAAGUGGUUUUGGGGGCAACUCUGGAAAUAGGAGGCCGUCAGUUUCUUGCUGAUUUGGUUGUUCUACCCGGUGUGGGCAUAGAUCUAAUUCUGGGGAUGAAGUGGAUGAGUGGCAAUGGAGUUCUUAUCGACACCACCACUCAUGUAGUGAUGUUGAAAGACCCAAACACCAAGAAGGCAUUUCUAGUGCAACUUCCUCGGGAUAUUCAAAUCCCUAGCACUAUGAAUGCAGUUACAUCUAAGGCUAUUCAGGAUAUUCCGGUGGUGUGUGAGUUCCCGGAUGUUUUUCUUGAUGAUUUGCCCGGGCUUCCUCCGGAUCGGGAUGUGGAGUUCAAAAUUGAAUUGAUUCCCGGUACCGCUCCUAUCUCUAGAAGACCUUAUAGAAUGCCACCCAAUGAAUUAGCUGAGCUUAAGACCCAGUUGAAUGAGUUGUUGAAGAAGGGUCUUAUCCGUCCUAGUUCAUCUCCGUGGGGUUGUCCGGCUAUCUUUGUGAAGAAGAAGGAUCAAUCCUUGUGCAUGUGUGUGGACUAUCGUCCCCUAAAUGCGGUGACCAUCAAGAAUAAAUACCCUCUUCCUCGCAUUGAUAUCUUGUUUGAUCAGUUGUCUAAAGCCAAGGUAUUCUCCAAGAUUGACUUGCGAUCUGGGUACCAUCAGAUCAAGAUCCGUCCUGAAGAUGUACCUAAGACAGCUUUCUCGACAAGGUAUGGGUUGUACGAGUAUCUCGUCAUGUCCUUCGGUCUUACAAAUGCACCUGCUCACUUCAUGUAUCUCAUGAAUUUGGUGUUCAUGCCCGAAUUGAACAAGUUUGUGGUGGUCUUCAUUGACGAUAUCUUGGUAUACUCCUGCAAUGAAGAGGAGCAUGCAGAGCAUCUGCGUAUAAUGUUGUCGCGUUUGCACGAACAUCAGCUUUAUGCCAAGUUUAGCAAAUGCGAGUUUUGGCUGAAGAAAGUACCUUUCUUGGGCCAUGUCUUAUCUGAAGAAGGCAUAUCGGUGGACCCAACCAAGGUGCAAGAGGUGCUGGAUUGGAAAGUUCCAACUUCGGUACACGAGGUUCGGAGUUUUCUUGGUCUGGCUGGAUAUUAUUGUCGAUUCAUUCCUGAAUUCUCAAAGAUAUCUAAGCCUAUGACUUGUCUACUUCAGAAGGAUGAGAAGUUUGUGUGGACGCCUGAGUGUGAAGAGGCAUUCCACAAGUUGAGGACAUUGCUGACAUCAGCUCCUGUCCUAGCUCAACCUGAUAUCGAAAAGCCCUUCGAUGUCUUUUGUGACGCGUCAGGCAUUGGUUUAGGCUGUGUGUUGAUGCAGGAAGGUCGCGUUAUCGCGUAUGCCUCGCACCAACUUCGAAAGCAUAAGGUUAAUUACCCUACUCAUGACUUAGAAUUGGCAGCAGUUGUUCUUGCUUUGAAAAUCUGGAGGCAUUAUUUGCUGGGUAAUCUGUGUAAUAUCUACACCGAUCAUAAAAGCCUCAAGUAUAUCUUCACUCAACCUGAACUGAACAUGCGGCAGCGAAGGUGGCUUGAGUUGAUUAAAGAUUAUAAUCUACAAGUGCACUAUCAUCCGGGCAAGGCGAACGUGGUAGCGGAUGCCUUGAGUCGGAAAGCGCACUGUCACUCAAUCCAAGUCGAAGAUCUGUUGUUAUCACAUCUUAUGCAUCCAUUUGUGCUCCACCAGAUUUCUUUAGAGAGUGCUCUUCGCAAUCGAGUCAUCGAAUUGCAGCAAUCAGAUGUAGGCAUCCACCAUAUAAAGAGGAAAAUGAAGGAAGAGGAAACCAAGCAUUUCCGGAUCGAUGAGAAUGGGAUUCUUUGGUUCAAAGAUCGACUAGUGGUCCCAAAAGACCGCGAGCUGCGAAAUCAGAUAUUGUCUGAAGCUCAUUCAUCCAAAUUGUCUAUCCAUCCUGGUAGUAGCAAGAUGUAUCAGGAUCUAAAACCUUUGUUUUGGUGGACAAAGAUGAAAAAGGAGAUCGCUGCUUUUGUCGCUCGAUGUGACAAUUGUUGUCGUGUGAAGGCUGUUCACAUGAAAGCUGGUUUGCUUCAACCCUUGUCAAUUCCUGGUUGGAAAUGGGAAGAAGUCAGCAUGGAUUUCAUCAGUGGGCUCCCAACUUCUGUUAAGGGCUACGACUCCAUCUGGGUGAUUGUAGAUCGUUUGACCAAGGUUGCUCAAUUUAUUCCAGUCCGAACUGACUAUCGUCCACAUCAAUAUGCAUAAUUGUAUUUCGAGCACAUUGUUCGUCAGUAUGGUGUGCCUCGAACUAUUAUAUCAGAUCGUGGACCACAGUUCACUGCUCGUUUUUGGGAAUGUCUGCAUGAGCAGAUUGGUACUCAUUUAGUCCGUAGCUCUGCUUAUCAUCCCCAAAUGACUGGUCAAACUGAACGGGUUAACCAAAUCUUAGAAGACAUGUUGAGGGCAUGUGCUCUCUCUUCGAAAGGUUCUUAGGUUAAGUGGCUGCCAUUAGCUGAGUUCUCCUACAACAAUAGUUAUCAGGAGAGUAUCAAGAUGGCUCCAUUUGAAGCCCUGUACGGUCGAAAGUGUCGAACCCCGUUGAAUUGGGUAGAAGCCGGAGAACGAAGGUAUUAUGGCAUCAAUUUCGUGAACGAAGCAGAGCAGAAGGUCCGUACCAUUCAGCAACAUCUGGAAGCUGCUCAAGCUCGUCAGAAAAGUUAUGUCGACAAAAGAAGGAAGCUGAUUGAGUUUUCAGUUGGCGACCAUGUGUAUAUCAAGGUGUCUCCGAUGAAGGGUGUACAAAGGUUCGGGGUCAAGCGAAAGCUUGCGCCUCGUUAUGUGGGACCUUAUCGGAUUCUCGAAAAGAAAGGGAAUGUGGCGUACAAAGUUCAACUUCCAGUUGCGCUUCGAGCUAUUUUCCCUGUCUUCCACGUAUCACAAUUAAAGAAGUGCCUUCGUGUACCGGAGGAACAAGUGGAAGUUCGAGAUAUCAAGUUGAAGUCAGACCUGGUGUAUGAGGAGAAACCCGUAGCGAUUCUUGAUCGCAAGGAACGGGAGACUAGUAAUCGUGUGGUUAAGCUCUACAAGGUGUUGUGGAGUAACCACGGGGAGGAAGAUGCCACUUGGGAGACGGAGGAUUAUUUAAGAGAAGUUUACAAAACAUUCUUCGAAAAUCAGUAAGCUUUCAAAUCUCGGGAUGAGAUUUUUGUAAGGGGGGAGGGCUGUAACACCCCAGUGUUAUGGUUGCUUUAAUCAUGUGCAUAGCAUGAGCAUCAUCAUCUACUCAAAGCAUAUCAUGAUCAUCAUCUAUCUUGAGCCAUGUCAUUCUAUGCAAAUAUGUAAUCUAAAUUGCUUAAAUAGGCUUCCUAUGCUUAUGUUGGAGUGAACCAUGCUUGUGUUUGUGCUCUAUGCCUUGGUAAUUAGUUUAUUUAUGUUUAACUUAACCUUGGGAACAAUGUUCAUGUUGAUCACUUCUCCAAAAUAAUCAUUUAAGUCAUACUUGUGCUAAUAGGCCCUAGAAACCUCUUUUGCUUAGGCUUUUAAAAAGUGUUUCAUAAAAUGUUUGCAUGUCAAAACUUUCUACAGAAAAGUUGUAGCAAAUUGUAUAAGGAACAAAAGUUGUUUAAUGGCCAUCUCACGAAAAUGAUCACAAAUAGCUCAAAAGUGACCCACAAGGCAAAUUUGGGGCUGUUUCCAACACUUAGAAAAUUUUCUAAGUCCUGGAACGAAACCAGUUUGCUCGAUUGAUUUUGAAAACUUUAUAACUCUCAGUCCAUGCCGAUCUAGCUCUUGCUCCAGUUGACAAAGUUGUAGAUCUCGGCUAGUACUCCAACUUUGUCAACUACAUCAUCUCCUAACUCACUCUGGUUUGGAAGUUAUUCAUCGUUGAAGUCACUCUGUCACACAGUCGCCGUUUUCUCUGAAUUGAAGUCGAGCUCGCCGUCGUGGAUGGCCAGAGCGCCACCUGUCCGCCAGAUGGGGCCCGUACGCCGGCGAUGGCCCCGCUCGUCAGCUCCCAGCACGCGCAUGACGUCCACGGUGACGCCCCGAGCAGAGUGGACGCGUCCACUCUCGCUUCCUCGCCCUCUCGCGCCUGUAACCCGCCCGCAGCGAGCUCACCGUCGCGAGCUCACUCCGGCGAGCUCAUGUGCGCUCCUCGCUGCGUCUCAAUCCACCAAAUUCCACCCACAGCUCCGCCGUGAGCCGCUCUUCACUUCCCACCCUCUAACUCGCUGCGAAACCCACCGGUGAGCCGCCAUUUCCUUCUUCCCCCAACUCGGGUCGCCGUGACCAUCUUUUCCGGCGAACUCAAUGCCGGGCUCUGUGAAGCCGCUCGUCUUCUCUGGUUAGGUCCUAGAGGUAGAGUAGGUUCUCAGCGAGUGUUUGCGCCACUUGGUGGACGCUCUACCGAACUCUCCGUCGCCGGACACGAUUCGCUGUGUUUAUGUGGAACUAUUACGAUCUUGGUUUUUUGCGACUUGGUUUGAAGUCCUUCGUGAUUUCAAUUGACUACCGGGAUUAUAUGGGCUCAAGUUUGGAAACUUGAUUUCAUUGUGGAUCGUUUCUACACUUGAACUCUUAUAAUUUGGUCGGUUCUGUGACAAGUAUCCUCAGAUUUCACGGAUACGGUGAAGAGAUAAGUCAAAUUUUCCCUUGCCCGUUUUGUCCUAUAAAUACUUCCUUCUCGGAUACUCCUUCUCCAUCGCAUCAUUCUACAGCCCCAACUCUACUUUCCUGGCGGUGGCACUGUUCGAGAGCUCCAAGAACUCCAACAAGAACUUCCUCCAACAACUCCCAAGUUUUCGAUAUUCUCCCCUGCAAGUAGAUGGCCAUCAACUUCGUCGUUCCUGAGGUCAGCGUACUGCCCUUUUUCCCGUACUUUUACUGUACCCCUGUUCAUCUGCAAUCUGUCUUACCGAAUCCUUUUUCUUUUUGUUCUUCUUUUCACUCCCAAAAAUUUCUAGGAUUUGGCCGAUAAAAUCGUUAUUCCUACCGAUCAACCCCAUCUCCAAUUCCUUGGUCCACUAGGAAACUUGGAUCCCACCGAUCUUAUAAACGCAAAGACAAACAGAAUCCCUUUUAGAGCCGAGAAUUUCUCUCUAGAUCUAUGGAAAGAUGUUUUCUGUUCCUGGCCUAGUCCUACUAAGGGAUGGAAGGAUUGGUUCCUGAGAGUCAGUAACUCAAAUGAGGUCCAAUGGGGUGAACGGAAACUGGAUCAGUGCAUUAGAUUGUCUCUUGCCGAUAUGGAGAGAAAUGAGUCACUACUGAUAGCUACCUCAUACUUUUGGUCAGAUACACUCAAUGCUUUUGUGUUUGGCCAUGGCCCUGCUUCUCCUACACUUGCCGAUGUGCUUAUGCUCACCGGCUUAAAUAUAUCCACUGCCGAUACCACCCACCUGUUUGAUACCAAACCCAGUGCUAAGGUGGAAACUCGUUGUAUCGGCGGUUGGUCAGGGUACAUCCAGAAAUACCGAAGAACAUGCCCUGUCAAUAUAAAAGAACAGACCACUUUUCUGAACAUGUGGCUGGAUAAAUUCGUAUUCUGUGGCCGAUCGGCAGGACCAACUUCUAUUUACUUAUCGGCAGCAGAAAGAUUAGCCAAUGGCGGCCGAUUUCCUCUUGGCCGAUACUUGCUUGGCUCGGCUUAUCACCUCCUCCAUCAGGUAGCCCAGAAACUAUUGCUUGGUCAACCCAUCGGCAACUUAGGGGGUCCCUGGUGGUUUAUCAACAUGUGGCUUAGUCUUCACAUGCACAAACACCUUGAGUUCGACCUCUUUACACAGCGCUUCCCCAGGGAUAUAGUCGAGGAUUAUGAACUAGGUGAAGAAGAAUCGGCGACUCGUUCCCCUCUGAACUUUGGCGAAGCCGCCAUAGUUUUGCCUGGCACAGGUGGCAACGCAGACCAGGUUAGCCGAUUCUUCCAAACCCUGUAUGAGGGUUUGACCAGGGAACAGCGGGCAUGGAUGCCCUAUGAAGAUCCAGACACCAGAUUCCCUCUGACUUUCCACCCCUUCAAUGAUGCUCUCCACAAGGAUCGUGAGGUGAUGAUGGCAAUUAUCACCCCAGAGCUAUACCGGUAAACUUCUUUGGCAGUGGGAAAGCUUCUAAUGUGACUUAUGAGUUCUACAAUCCAUCGGCACUAGCUCGUCAACUGGCUUUUGGCCAACUGCCGAUUGCACUUUGCUACGCCGAUGUGAUAAAGCCGAGGGAGAUUAUCACCAGCCAUCUGGAAUGGAUCAGGGUAGCCCAACUUCCACCAAACGCCGAUACAGAUGUCGAUCUAUCGGCUUGGAUCCCAGCUCUCUUCAUCACUCAGGCAUACAAACAGUGGUGGGAAGAAUGGAAAGAGCACCUGUUCUGUAGAUCGGCUCUUACAUACCGUGGCAUAAUCGACCCUCAAUACAAAGUCCCUGAUAACACUAUAAGUACUUCUAAACCGAUGUUUCAAUCCUCUCAUUUUCACUUUUCAUCGGUAUCUUACUUCCUUGUUAUAUGCAGGUCAAUGACACACCCCCAUUGGUCAGCAGGAGUGGCAAGCCGAUUGAGCUCCUUCCAUCGGGUACGAUCUCUUUGAUCGGCAACAACGCUCCAACUCUGGCUGCUAUAAUGCAUCGUGGCGUGCGUCUCAAGAAAGUUACCACCAAGCGGGCGAAGAUAUCCCCAUCGGUAGCUGCUUCUACCCUAGCACAAGCCUUCAAGGUAAAUUUUUGACUUCUUUUACUCAUACCGAUUCUAUCCUGAUACUUAUUACACUUGUACUCAUGAACUUCUCACUGUUGUAUCAGCACACCGGUACAUCGGCAAAGACCAGAAGCAUGACUGCCGAUGCCCCCCAGUCCAGUCAACCGAAGAGAAAAGGUUCCAAGAGUACCAGAUUACAAGCAAAGCGCCAGAGAACAGUAACGCCUUCUCCUCCCCCAGUAUCUCCGAUUCCAGUAGAAUCAUCCCCCUCUUCUCCAGAAAUCCAGACACAGCAGAUUCCAUCUCCUCCUCAGUCACAAGAAGAACCCCAAGUGGAAGAGCCCCAGCCAAAAGUACCUCAGCCAGAAGAAAUACCGGCUGAUGUACACGAGCAGACUACCGAUCCAGCAAGCCUAAUCAUAGCAUCGGUAGUCUCCUCAAUCCAGACAAGCACUGCACCCCCUCAAGGUAAUAUACUUUCCAUUUACUGCCGAUGAACCUAUUUUUCCACUUUAUUAAUUGCUUCUGUCAAUCUUUCAGCUGACAUAGUUUCAUCGGCAAUUCUAGCCGAUCAGCCCGUGGUUCCAUCGGCGUCAUCUAGUCAGAGGCGAGAGAUGGCCCUGAAACAAGUAAGUUACCCAAUCUCUAUCUGUAUUGUUUAUCAGUGCUUGAUCAUCGAAUAACUUAUUUUAUUUUCCUUUUCAGGAACAAGACUCUCCUGACAGCUUGUUCUCCUUUGCCAUCGACAUCUCUGAGGAUGAAGGCGAGGAGGCAAGUUCUUCUCGAGCUAUUGGAAUCUCAUCGGCAGAAAUCAGAGCAAAGUUAGAAGAAUUAUCAGCCCUCCUUCAUCAAGACACGGCCCAAUUGGUCGACGACUCCGAUCUGGCCAAGGCCUUGUUCAAGACUCUCAGAGGCCAAAUUCCUGUCGAUGCCGAGGAGAUCCUCUUCAAGGCUGCUCACUUAGAAAGUCGGCAGCUUCAAUAUCAAAAGGCCGCUCAGCGCCUUGCCAUAGGGCUAAUCACGCCCAGCUCAUAGAAGAGAUGAUAAAAGUGAAGCUCCUUGCCGAUGAAAAGCACAAGAGCAUCGGCAUCUUGAAAUCCUCAGGAGAUGUGCUGAAGCACAAAAUCUCUGACCUAUCGGCAAAGAGAGAAGCCCUGUUGGCAGAACUCAAACAGGUAGAAGAAGCUUUGUCCCAAGCUCAACAAGAAGAAAGCCAGCUGCCUGAGGCGAUCAAGAUUCUUGAACAAGAGCGAAAUGUCCAAGCCCGCAAAGCACUACAGAUGAAGAAGAAGCUGAAGCCAGUGGAGGGCUCUGCCGAUGAUGACAUGAAGGAGAUUGAAGAAGCCAACCAGAUCCAUCUGCGCGCCAUAUCGACGAUCCAGUCUUUGUUAAACAUGUGAAUCCUUCAUCGGUGGCAUACUUUGCUCUUUUCUUUUAAACAAUCCUGAUAUUUUUGGUCUAGCCGAUAGGACUGUUAUCGGCACCUUUUAAAACAUUGAGUUUGGCCCCAGAUAUACUUUGAUCCAGCCGAUAGGAAUGUCAUCGGCACUCUAAACUUUUAUGCAUCAACCCAUAUGCUAGGAUAAUAUUUCUUUAGAUACUUGCCGUUCAAUGCCCUGGGAAAUUCAACUCCUUCGAGAGUCUCUAAAACAUAAGCGUUACCAGGAGCAGAUCGAUUUAUCCGAUAAGGACCCUCCCAAUUGGGAGACCACUUCCCAAAUUUUGAACUUUUAGUCCCAAUCGGUAAGAUUAGUUUCCAUACUAAGUCUCCAUCGGCAAACUCCUUAGCCUUUACCUUCUUAUCAUAUCAUCUGGCAACUCUCUUCUUAUUCUCUUCUAUACUUAUCAAAGCCCUUAGCCGAUGCCCUGCUAAAUCAUCCAACUCAUCGGUCAUCAAAGUAGCAUAAUCAUCGGCAGCCAAUUGAUCUUGAAAAGAUAAUCGCCUAGACCCAGUUUUAAUUUCCCAAGGUAACACUGCAUCAUGUCCAUACACCAACUGAUAAGGUGAAACUUUGGUCGACCCAUGACAAGCCAUCUGAUAUGACCAUAAAGCUUCAUUCAACAACGUAUGCUACCUCCUAGGAUUUUCUUCAAUCUUUCGUUUAAUAAGCUUGAUAAUUCCUUUGUUAGAUGCCUCGGCCUGCCCAUUAGCUUGAGCAUAAUAAGGAGAAGAAUUUAAUACUUUAAUUCCCAAACCGAUUGCAAACUCAUCAAACUCUCCUGAUGUGAACAUAGUACCCUGAUCGGUAGUAAUUGUUUGAGGAAUUCCAAAUCGGUAAAUAAUAUGCUCUUUCACAAAAUCAAUCAUAUUGGCCGAUGUGACUUUCUUCAAAGGAAUAGCUUCAACCCACUUGGUGAAAUAAUUGGUGGCAACCAAGAUGAAUUUAUGUCCUUUACUCGAUGGUGGGUAAAUUUGGCCGAUUAGAUCAAUAGCCCAUCCCCAGAACGGCCAAGGUUUAAUAAUGGGAUUCAUGGCCGAUGCGGGUGCCCUUUGAAUAUUGCCAAAUUUCUGACAUCCUUAACACCCCUUGAAGUAUUUAAAACAAUCUUCAAGUAUGGUUGGCCAAUAAUACCCAUUCCUCCUAAUCAUCCACUUCAUCUUAAAAGCUGACUGAUGUGCUCCACACACUCCUUCAUGGAUUUCUCCCAUUAAACUUUUAGCCUCAUCAUCACCUAAGCAUUUGAGAAGAAUUCCAUCAAUUGUUCGAUAAUAUAAUUCAUCUUCGAGGAGCACAUACUUGGUGGCUUGAAACCGAACACGUCUCUCAACUUUCUUGGACAGAUCUUUCAAAUAAUCAACGAUUUCCCUUCUCCAAUCAUCAACACUGAUUGCCGAUAUUGUGUUUAAUAUGGGCUGAUAUCCCGAGGCAUGCUGAGCCAGCCGAUUGGCCUCUUCAUUAUGCAAUCGAGGAAUAUGCUCUAAUCGGAAAUCCUUGAAUUCCUUUAACAGUUGCAUACUCCUUUCAUAAUACGUUAUUAAGACCUCACUUCGGCAUUCAUAACUUCCAGCCAAUUGAUUUAUAACCAACAUAGAAUCUCUGAAGAUUUCAACAGCAUCAGCACGAACCUCUUUUAACAACUCCAACCCCUUAAUUAAGGCUUGAUAUUCAGCUUGAUUAUUUGUCGACGUGGCAACAAUCGGCAAGAACAAUUCAUACUUCCUUCCCCAAGGGGAAAUUAACAUUAUGCCGAUUCCUGCCCCCCGGUCACACGUGGAUCCAUCAAAGAAGAGCGUCCAAGACACAAUUUCCAAAGUUUCAGCUGCACCACAAUGUUGAGUUACAAAAUCGGCCAUAAUCUGUCCUUUAACCGCCUUAGCCGAUUCGUAACGCAAAUCAAAUUCCGAUAGUGCCAAGAUCCAUUUACCGAUUCUGCCACUCAUUAUCGGCAUAGAUAGCAUAUACCGGACCACAUCAUCUUUGCAUAUAACAGUGCAUUCGGCCGAUAGUAAAUAGUGCCUCAAUUUAAUACAUGAAAAAUAUAGGCAUAAACAUAACUUUUCAAUGGCCGAAUACCUGGUCUCAGCAUCAACCAAUCUCCUGCUUAAAUAGUAAAUCACACGCUCCUUCCCUUCAAAUUCUUGAAUCAAAUGGAGCAACAAGGUGUCAUAAGAUCAAAGAAGCACAAAGAUGGCAAAAUGAAUGAGUACAACAGAGGAGACAAGAUGUUCAUGAACAACUCAAGAUGCAAGAGAAGGAAAGGACCACCAGUCAUCUACCCUUCAUCACUUAGUGUCAUCACGCUCUAACAAUGAAGGUAAUAUCCUUAGGUAAGUGGUCACUUCUCUUGUCUCGAUCUUGGUGCAUACAUAAAUGUAGACACAAAUAUGUUAGAGUUACAAUUUAAAUUGAUUAACCUAAUUAACUCAACAUGAUUUGUCAUUUAAGAUUGUUCAUGGUGCCAUUCUUUUAAUCUCGGUCUUAACCAAAUGAGAUAAAACAUUAUAUUCGAUCUUUGGAAGAUGAUGGUCAUACUCAUGUGAAAAUUUAUAUAUUAUAGAUAGACAAUCCUUCAAUUGGUUAAGCAAUUUGAAUCUUUUCUAUCAUGUGAAUUUAAAUGCAACAUUAAAAUGCUUAAUCUUCUUAUCUUACCACUUAUGUCAUAAGUAAACAAAUUAUGCAAUAUUAACUUUGUCUUGUUUAAUGUGCCUAAGGAUAGAGAAAAAAUAAAUAAAGAGAUAUAUUUGGUUUUGUUAGUGUUUGUCCAACAGUAGAGCCAAUGUACUUGAUCUCUACCUUAGUUUUGUAGAUAGUAUAACACUUCGAGCAAAAUUGUUAAUUCUACAAGUGAAAGUGCUAUGAGCAUACACACUAAGCAAGAUGCUGCUAGCUGCUAUUAAAGAUCUACUUCAAUCUGUUGGCCAAGCCAAAGAACAAAGUGACAUCACCAUUACUAGAGGAUGCAAUCAUCAAAGACUUUUGUCUUUAAGAUGGAGAGGUACACAUGAGUGGAAGAAGAAGUUUUGUCGGUAAACUUUAAAUUUUGUACCCUUGCCAUGAGGUAAUAUGGUAGUUAUCUUAUUAAAUUAGUAUUCAUUAGUAAUUUUACUUCAACACAUUUAGUAGCACAUUCAUUCUUCUUUGCACAUUAAAUAUAAAACAACAACAAAAAAUAUUUACUGCUUAUUUACUGCAUCAUAAAACAUUAAAAGUCCCAUGUGAACAAACUUAUGGUUACCCUGUAGGAAUAUUUAAUGUGGUGGCAUAAAAAUAAUAAUAGCUUUUGUAUUUACUUUCUUGCAUUAUGAAAAUCCUAAGCCCCAUAAGAAUAAAUAUUCUCUGUGGAGGCAUAAAAAUACAACUAUAUAUCAUGACUCAUAUUUAAUUCUGCAUAAUUAAAACUAGAAAAUCCUAAAAAAAGAAUCCUGCUAGAAUCUAUCAAUUAAAAUCAACUUAUAAGAAUAAUCAAUUACUCUUUGGCUGACCACUAAUCUCUUAAUAAAUUGAAGCCUCGAGUUUUGGUUUUCUUGUUGGAGUAUAGUUAUGGAGGAGAAAUAUUAUGAUGAGGAGAGGGUCUAUCAGAGGCGCCCACAAGGACUAUUGCUGGUUAGCUCACUCUGAAGAUCAUCAAUACCAAGUAUGGUAGAAAUCUAGCUUGGGGGAGGAGCAUCCCCUAAUUAUCCAAAAAGUCUACAGGAAAAUAAGUGUGGGGGAAGCACCAUGAAAUUCUGAAACUCAAUUCGAUCGGAGAAUCACAUCAUUCGGGAGAUAGUCAUUCUACGACCACACACGACGAAGCAGGGCCUGAGCAUCCACAUGGGCCCACCACCCUUUAUGCGCUGGCCGGCGCCCCCUUCCUCUACUGCCGUCAGGUUUGAGCCCAAUACGAUAUAUUCGCAUGUUUUGAUUACCGUUCCGAACAUUAUAUAACACUUUUCUGGAAUUAUAAUUACUGCUAGGAAUCCCAUGAUUGCUUAAGUUUUUGUGGAACAUAAGAUAGCCGAAUAAUGAAAACUCAAUUCCUGAUAUUUGGGCUUUGAAGAUUUUAAUUCAAAUAUUUAAAAACACUUAGCUAUACUUCUCCUUUGUGGUAAAAAAAAUGUUUCCUAUACACUAUAAGUAAUGAUUAAUUUGCCUUAGCUACUUGUUUUUUAUUCUGAGUUCCCAAGAUCAAGAUCUUUUAAAGUUAAAAGUUAUAAAAAAUCCCUCUUGAGAAGUAUUAUUAUGAAGGAGGCCUGAGCUAUGCAAAAAAUAUCUGAGGAAAUAAAAAUGGACAAGUGUCCAAAACCUCAAAGAGAUAGAUCCCAAGAAAAUAAAAAUGGACAAGUGUCUGAAACCUCAAAGAGAUAGAUCCCGAGGAAAUAAAAAGGGACAAGUGUCCGAAACCUCGAUCUAGAAAAAAAGAGCACGUGCUCAACAGUAGAAUUAGCCUCAUAGCUUAUGGUCCUCCCGACAUAAUAUGCCAAGCAAGAGAGGAUCGUUUUCAAAAAAGAAAUAAGUAUGUCCUGAUCUAGGAGUAUGAUACUCCUCUCCCUGAUUUUAAGUGUUGACUUGAUCAAAAGCUUGUGUGCUAAAGAAGGAAAUAUAAAAUAAUGUUUCGACAAAGAUACAGGAAUUUAUUAAAUGCUACAAAAGGAGAAGGGCAAGCUAAGUUCUAGGAAAUCAACCUACUCUCCAAUAGACCUGAUUAAGGAAAAGAGUGAUCUGUUUCAAGCUGUUCUGUUCUUCAACUACUAAAAGAUUCAUGGUAGAAGCUUCGAAUUCCACAGUAAGAGAUAUGACUAGAUUUAUCUUUAUGCAAAUAUAUAUUAUGCUCUGAAUGCUAAAACCAACCUUUUUCUCGGGACGAGUAAAAGCCUAAGUGUGGGGGUAAUUGUUGACACCUGUUGAUGCCUAAUUUUUAUAAUCAAUUAUCCCGACAUAAUAUAUAAACACCCAGUAGAAUAGGGAGGUUACUAAUAAUUUCCAUGAGUUUUGGUGAAUUAUAUAUUUUCAAGGAUUAUUCUGAGAAAGGCAUAAAGAAGGACUACAGUGAGUAUUUACCACGAAACUUAACCGCAAAGGAAACCAACAGUCAUUGGAACGAGGGAAGGAUCUGGAAGCUACCCGAAGAAGCGGGACCCCAGUUGACACUCGGUGGCGCUGGCCGGCCCCACUAGGGUGCCGGGCUACACCCCCUGGCACGGCUCGGGUCUAGCUUUUGGAAUGUUCCUCCACCGCCUAUGAGGAGUCAUCUCGGCUGUUGCUUCCAUCGAUUUGAUCCUCUGACGCUCGUUUUACCCUGACGGACCAUAUUCAAGACAGAUUCGGCCCAAGUUUGGCCCAACAAGGCUUAGUUGCAUUAUUAUGAGGUGGUUGGAGGAUUUGUACCACAUCGCUUGCUCAAGGAGGAGGAGGCCAGGCUCCCCCCAUAUAAUACACCCCAGGGGUCCCUCCCAAGACGCACCAUCUACAGAGCUUCAAUUUAGAUUUUCAAUUAGGGUUAGAUGUAGCAAUCAAGAUAGAGAGUAGAGGGAGAAAGUAGAAGAGUAGAGUCUUGGAGGAGCUCCGACCUGUCGGCGUCUCUCCACUGUUGUAUUUGUCUCGAGUCGGCUCCCUAACCCAGAGUCGGGUUCUAAGGUACUUUUGUAGUUUACCUUUUGGUGCGUGUACGCGAUUGUUCUGGCCAUUCUUAAGUUUGCAUCUUGUAUUGAGUAUUAUUCUCUUUAUGAGUACUUUGAUCUUGGUAAUUUCUAGAUUAGAGUAGUAUUCGUGACGUAGACGUGGUGUCUAGGUUGUGGGUGCUUUGUGAAUGUCCCUUGUCUUGCCGGAUGGUGGUAGUCCGCGUAGGUGACAGCUGCGUUGGUUCCUUUGUAGUCCAUCUCCCACGGAAGGUUUGAUAGGUGUAUAGGUGCCGAUGGGAGGAGUACUCUGGUAUUGCUCUUCUUGCUUAGGUUAACCGCCCAGUUAGCAUGGUCUUUUCAAAGCUUGCAUAGUACCGGGAUAGAGAUAGUCAUUUGAUAACUCCUUUGUCUUGUUUUCUCUCUAGAUUGAUUGCAUGCCCCAUUAGAUUAAGAAUCAUAAACCUAGUCUAUUUCACCUACUGUUCCUUCGGGUUUGAUAUUAACCGGUAUAAUCUUGGAGAAGUGCUACAUCGGUAUUAUAUUUGUGCACUUGCCGGUAAUCUUAUUUACAUAUAUUUAGGUGCAGUUAAUUUAUACCAACAAUUAUCAUCAACUAGAAGUCAGGAAGGAGGAGGAGAAGCUCAUAUGGAUGACCGACACCCGGAGAGUGGAUGUCACUUUUUCUGAUCUUGCAAAAGUUUGCAGAAUGGACUACAUUUUCAUGAAGCAAGGGACAACAUUAUAUAAAAUUAAGGAGCCAGAGAAUGAGGAGGUACAACAUCUGCUUCACUACCAGGAAACUUCAAAGUAUGGUACUAGUGGAGGCCUGAGGAUGUUCCUGUUGACAUUUCUUAGCAUCGCUACUAAUAUGGAGUUCUAAAUCUAUCCCUAGUAACAAUGCCAAAAAUAUUGGUUGGUAUAAAUUAAGGUAGCACUUGUUAACAAUAAUAGUCACUAGAAAACUCUACACACCCAACUGUAAACCAUGUUGUCAUCCCCAACAAUAGAGUUAGAGAGUGGAUCACAUACUUUGGUUUUUAAGUCAGUUGAGAAAGAGAGAGAGUGGGUCACAUACUUUGGUUUCUAUUAAGAUACUUGUGUGUGAUUGCAUUGUGGGCCAUCCAUCCAGAUGGCUCUUUGUUAAUUCAGUUUUAUUUGUCUAUGUUGUUGCACUUUGGGCCAUCCAUCAUUAUGGCACCUUGUUAAUUCGGUUUCUUAGAUGUCUCUCUGUAAAUUUGACUGAAUUAAUCUAUGUUUUUGCAUUGUGGGUCAUCCAUCGAGAUGACUAUUGUUAAUAAGAGAACAGAAAUGUCUCCAUGAUAAAAUUUGUCUAGCUUGUGCGUUUUUUAAUUGCUGAACAGUCCCUUGAACUGUACUAGCUAAAAAAAUUAAAAAAAAACUAUUUUCCCCAAACUGGCUUCGAAAUCGGGGUGAUGGCGAGAGAGGGAACAAGAUUAACAGCUAUGCUAUGCUAGGAUGGUGAUUUUGAUUUAAUGGCUCUCUUUUUCUAUUUGAGUCGCUGCUUGCUCCGGUAUGCAAUAAGAAAUUUAAAAAUUAAAAGUUUCCCCCGCGAGGGCUUCAAACCAGAGCUAAUGUGCGUACAAAUAAACCAAAUAUAACAUAACUAACUUCCAUACAAAUAUAAUCAAAAUAUCUAUAUAAAUAAACCUGAUAAAGUAUAUAACCAUUUGAAUAAACCUUACAUAAGAAGACGAACACAUGGAUCCUACAAACUGGAUGCAACCCUUACCUAUCUCCACUCCAAGUAGCGUACGUCUUGAAUGGUGUAACCACGGUCAUUGUCUAUGUAAUGCGAGGCCUGCACUAGAAUCCAUUGCCUCACAAUGACGACGACAUGCAAUCCCAUAGAUAUACCCUACUAAUGGAUUAUCGAUUGCCUGGUUCUAUUUAAAUCUCAUGCAAUACUGGAUGCUAGCUGUUGUCAUUUCGCCCAUCGCUUCCAUGAUGCCCUAGUGGUACCCUAUGAAAGGUCCUAAUAUGGCUAGAGGGGGGGUGAAUAGCCUAUUUAGAAAUUCUACAAACUCACUAGAGCAAGAGGUUAGUAAAUAACAAAGCGAAGCUUUUUGCUCUAGCUCUAAAGGGGUGUUUGCAAGCCACCUAUCCCACAAUUCUAGUUGAUAUAAUCACUAGGCACACAAGAGCUAUGUCACUACUUGCACUAGAAGGCUACCUAAAGUUUCUAUACAAGUAAGUAAGCUACUCUAGUUUGCAGGAAUGUAAAAGAGUGGAUGAGAUAUUUAUACAACCAAGUAGGGGAUGAACCAAUCACCAAUAUAAAUAAUCAAGCACCCGGAGAAUGCCAAUCAAACACAAUUGAGACACCAAUUUUUCUCCCGAGGUUCACGUGCUUGCCGGCACGCUACGUCCCCGUUGUGUCGACCAACACUUGGUGGUUCGGUGGCUAAGAGGUGUAACACGAACCUCGUCCUCACUAGGACACCACAAGAACCUACCCAAAAGUGAGGUAGCUCAAUGACACGAGCAAUCCACUAAUGUUGCCUUUGGCUCUCUGCCGAGGUAGGCACAAACCUCUCACAAUCACCGAGAGAUGGCCACGAAAAAUCACCAACUCGUGCCAAUCCUCCUCCACUGCUCCAAGCCAUCUAGGUGGCGGCAACCACCAAGAGUAACAAGAAAACCGCAGCCAAAUCGAUCCCCAAGUGCCACUAGAUGCAAUCACUCAAGCAAAUGCACUUGGAAUCACUCCCAAUCUCACAAAGAUGUAUAAUCUAUGAAGGAGAUGAGUGGGAGGUGUUUGCUUAGGCUCACAAGGAUGUCUAGUAGUCAAGAAUGCCAAGAGAGUAAGCCAUAAGCCAGCCAAAAACUAUUUAUAAGCCCCUCAAACAAAUAGAGCUGUUGGCUCUUUUACUUGGCAGAACUCGGGGUCACCGGACGCUCUUAAAGGGGCACCGGACGCUCAACACUAGCGUCCGGUGCUCCAAAGUUAGCCACGUGUCAGCUUUUUGAAACUCAGUGUCAGAGUCUAACGGUAACCUGCAAAGCACCGAACGCUGAGCAAGAUAGCACCGGACGCGUCCGCAGAGACCUCCGCAAACUCGCAGGGUCACCGGAUGCAAGCCACCGGACACACCCUGAGCGUCCGGUGCUCACCGGACUCAUGCGCAGAGAGGGUCACCAAAACGCCCGCACACCGGACGCUGAGCACCGGACUCACUAUGGUGCAUCCGGUGCACUCUGCUACACUUGACAGUACACCGGACCCUCCCACUGGCGCAAUAGAAAAUAUGCACUUCAUUUUCUCGAAAAGCGCUGAAUCCCACCUCGCAAGCUCGGCGGGAGGGAGAGAGGAACCCAUCCUCUCUCUACCCUUCAAACUUCAACUCCCUUCUCAAAGUGUGCCAACACCACAAUGUGAAUGUUGACGGUCCUUAAUGCUCACAUUUAACCCUCAAAUAAUCAUGGAAAAGGAUCCAAAUGAAACUAACACCUAGACUUAGGGUUUUAUCUGACAGAAUUCCACGAGUUUUGGUGUUUGUCUAUUUCUGCAGGGGGUUAUCAGGAAAUACGGAAGAAAGGCCCACACGUCGAGUUUACAUAGAGAUAUUAACGUGCCGCACAAUUUUCUAUCAUCUAGAGGACUACAGAAGCCACGGGAACGAAGCGGAGGCCGAGAGGGCUCAGGGACAGGGCACCCGCCCAAGUCCUUAGGGCGCCCGCCCAGCUACUGUGUCCAAUUCGGACCCGUUUCGCGUAUUAUGCUCCACCGACCUAAAGGAUCAAGGAAAACCGUGCGAUCAAUGUCGGUUUGAUCCAACGACCUAGAUUCAUCUGAAAAGACUAUAUAAGCAAGGCCCCCUGGCCCCUGGAGAUCAUACCUCUUCUACAGAAUCAAAGCUAGGGUUUCAAUUCUUCAUCCAAGUAGAGAGGAUCCCUCUAGUUCUUCUAGUUCUACCUCUAGUUCAUCUAGAUCUAGUUCUAGUUCAUCUAGUUCUAGUUCUAGUUAGUUCUAGUUGUAGUCUAGAAAAUAGGGAGAGAGAAGAGGAGAGCGGAGGAGGAGCAGGACCUGUCGGAUCUUCCUCAACAUUGUACUUUUGCAGCAACUGGUUCGUUCUUCAUCGUUCUCCAGGUUCUUCAAUUCAUAAUUCGUGAGUUCUUUAAUUACUUUUAUUUACAUUCAAGUUAUUUAUUGGAUUUCCGCUUGCAUCAAGUGCUCUAAUCUUUGAAACAUUAGAGUAGUAAUUAAUAGAUUAGACGUGGUGUUUAGUCUUGCAAUUACCUGGAAUUGCACUCAAACCUACGGAUUGUUGUGGUAGCCCUAGGGUAGUGACAGCCCUAACGGUCGACGUAUUCCACCUCGUUUGGAUCGGUGUUUGUAGGACCGUAGUUAGACCUUCCUAGCCCCCUUCUCAUCUCUUUCUGUGGUUAGUGCUCUGAUGUCCCGAAAUAAAUAAUCUUUGAAGUAAUUCUUGAUUCUUAGAUCAACUAGAGAACUCUCAGGAAACUUCCUCUCUUCCCACCAAAAAUAAUUAUAUAGUUAUCCUUGGGCGAUCUUGGAUCUUAAUUAGUACACUCACGUUCCCUGUGGAAAAUCGAUACUCUCGAAUACUCCCGGGUGAAGGCUACAUCGGUAUCCGUGCGCUUGCGGAUUUUCCUAUUUGCGCUUAAAAUACCCAACAGUGUAAACCAACAUGUGCACGUGUGUUAGCAUUAUCACAAUCAUUUUCUUCGAAGGAGUUAAGUUAGCUCACUAGGUUCUAAAUGCAUGCACAUGAACAAUGACACCUAGUGGCACUUGAUAACCGCUUAGCCAAAGAAUUCCCCUCUUUGUAGUACGGCUAUCUAUCCUAAAUGUGAUCACACCCUCUAUGCUGUCUUGAUCACCAAAACCAAAACCCUAAGCAAUACCUUUGCCUUGAUCUCCGUAGGGUUUUGUUUUUCUCUUUCUUCUUUUCCAAGUUGAGCACUUGAUCAUCUUGUGGUCAUCACCAUCAUCACCAUGAUCAUCGCUUGCUCCAUCACUUGGCAUGUACCAACCUCAUUAAGUCUACACACACUUAGUAUAGAGGUUAGUACUAGGGUUUCAUCAAUUAUCCAAAACCAAACUAGGGCUUUCAAUCUCCCCCUUUUUAGUAAUUGAUGACAAUCCUUUUUACAAAGAUUUUCAAUAAAAUUUUCUUGAAUCCAUGUUGCUUGUCCAAGCAUUUUACCAUGUGCAAAUAUUAUGGACAAGUUUCAUAAACCCAAAUUGGUAGCAAUUGCUCCCCCUACAUAUGUGCUAAGAGUUUGGAUUGAAAGCUUGCACAUAUGCUUGAAUAGGAAAUAUAGGAGUCAAUUUCUACCAAAUGAUGCUAAGGUGUAAAGAAUGGACCUUUGAAGCGUGAUACCAAUCGGAGUUGCCAAUAUACACCAUCCUUAGCACCAUUAGUAACUAGCUAUUCACAAAACUAGAACACCUCGUGAGAUCAACAUUAUAAACAAGGUUCUAGUACCACUUGUGAAACAACUAAAAGUCUAGUUACACUACCUAUGCCUGCUAGUUCUUCAUUUCAUCAAUCAAACUCACAACUAGCAUACACCACACAAGCAAGGUAUCAGAGAGAAAAACUUCUAAAACUAAUGCAAAUGCAAGCAAACAUAUGUGAUGCACAUACAAAUGCAACAUACAAGUUUAUGAGCUUACUCCCCCUACUUGUGUGCUUCAAAAUUUUAAUUGAUCCCCUUCUUUUAUCAUGUUACUCCCCUAUCUUAAAUCUUUUGUAAUUUCUCUCCCCCUUAAGCAAAUCUUUGGGAAAUUCUCUCCCCCUUUGUCAUCAAAGACCACAAAAGGUGAGCUCAAAUUUUAGAUAGGUUAGUGUGAAACCAUGUGAAGUGAGAUCAUUUUCCCAAAUUGGUUCAAUCUAGAUUACUUGCCUAAGAUAUUUAACUCGGUUUGAUCCAAGGACAAGCUUCUUCACACCUCCAAAUAAGGGUUAUCUUGUACCAUGUUGAGUUAAACACUUAUAGCUCAUAUUCUAGAUCAAACACUAGGAUUGCAAGCCCACAAACAUGUCAUAUGCUACCACUAGAUCAAGUCAAGCAUAGAAGCAAUAGUGGUACCAUAUAAGCAUCAAAUUCAUUUGAUUUUCAUGAAUGAGCCUAAGACAUGUAAGGAAUGACUAGAUGCACUAAACAAAUCCUUAGCAAAGAUGGAUGACAUGUCAAACAAUUUCACCUUGCUUUGCUCGAAGGAGAGGCAUGUCAUAUAGUGGGGGUGCAUCAACACAUAUUUGAGAAGUCAAGUAUAUUCAAUUCAUUCUUUAGCUUGCAAAACCUCUUCUCAUCAAGUGGCUUGGUGAAUAUAUCAGCAAGGUUAUCAUCGGUGCCUAUACUCUCAAUGCAAAUGUCCCCUUUUUGUUGGUGAUCUCUUAUGAAGUGAUGGCGGACAUCUAUGUGCUUUGUUCUUGAGUAUUGAACCGGAUUGUUGGUGAGCUUCACGGCGCUUUCAUUGUCACAUAGCAAUGGCACUUGCUUGAAGUUGAUUCCAAAGUCCUUCAAAGUUGCCUUCAUCCAUAGGAUUUGUGCACAACAACUACCGGCCGCAAUGUACUCCGCUUCGGCGGUUGAUAGUGCAACACUAUUUUGUUUCUUGGAUGACCAUGAGACAAGUGAUCUACCCAAUAGUUGACAUGUGCCCGAAGUGCUUCUUCUCUCAACUUUGCAUCCCGCAUAGUCCGAAUCGGAAUAUCCAACAAGUUCAAACUAUGCACCUUUGGGAUACCACAAACCAACAUUUUGUGUAUGCUUCAAGUACCUCAAAAUUCUCUUUGUUGCUUUCAAACGACUUUCUCUUGGUGAGGCUUGAAAUCUUGCACACAUGCAUACACUAAACAUGGCAUCCGGUCUUGAUGCGGUCACAUAGAGUAGGCUUCCAAUCAUAGAUCGAUACAACUUUUGAUCCACCAUAUUUCCACUUGUGUCACUAUCUAAGCUUCCAUUUGUUCCCAUUGGAGUGCUAAUUGAUUUUGCAUCAUCCAUACCAAAUUUCUUGAGCAUAUCUUUUAUGUACUUGCCUUGACUCACAAAUGUGCCAUUCUUCAAUUGCUUGAUUUGAAGACCAAGGAAGUAACUAAGCUCUCCAAACAUUGACAUCUCAAAUUCAUUAGCCAUCAUGUUUCCAAACUCCUCACAAAACUCUUGGUUGGUUGAUCCAAAUAUGAUAUCAUCAACAUAUAUUUGCAACACAAACAAGUCCUUGCCAAUCUUCUUGGUGAAGAGAGUGGUGUCAACCUUGCCCAUCUUGAAACCUUUAGAGAGUAAUAAAUCUCUCAAUCUCUCAUACCAUGCUCUAGGUGCUUGCUUCAAACCAUAUAAUGCCUUUCUUAGCUUGUAAACAUGGUUGGGUUUCUUGUCAUCUUCAAAUCUGGGAGGUUGCUCAACAUAUACUUCUUCAUUGAUAUAGCCAUUGAGAAAUGCACUCUUCACAUCCAUUUGGUAUAGCUUGAUGUUAUGAGCACAAGCAUAGGCCAACAAGAUCCUAAUUGCUUCCAAUCUUGCAACCGGGGCAUAUGUUUCACCAAAGUCAAGACCUUCAACUUGAGUAUAGCCUUGUGCUACCAAUCUUGCUUUGUUUCUUACAACUAUCCCAUCUUGAUCUUGUUUGUUGCGAAAGACCCAUCUAGUACCAAUGACAUUAUGAUCACUAGGCCUCUCAACUAACUCCCAUACUUGAUUUCUCUUGAAAUUGUUAAGCUCUUCAUGCAUAGCAUUGACCCAAUCAACAUCUCUUAAUGCUUCAUCAAUCUUCUUUGGCUCAAUGUGAGACACAAAGGAGAAAUGCUCACAAAAUGAUGCUAAUCUUGAUCUAGUUUGCACUCCUCUUUGAAUAUCACCAAUGAUAUGAUCCAAUGGAUGAUCUCUUGCAAUGUUUGUUGGUUGGAGUAUUUGCACUUGAUUGCUUGCACUUGGUUGAUCAUGAGAUGAUGUACUAGCUUGUUGAUCAUGCACUUGAGUACCACUAGUACUAACUUGAUUUUGAUCAUGAGAACCACUAGCUUGCACAUUAGAGGUAGGAAGCACUUGAUCUUUGUCAUCUUCAACAUCAAUCACCUCUCUAGGCCUUAAAUCACCAAUAUCCAUAUUCUUCAUUGCAUCGGCCAAUUGAGUGCCUCUCACAUCAUCUAGAUUUUCAUCUUCCUCUUGAGAGCCAUUUGUUUCAUCAAAUUCAACAUCAUGCACCUCUUCAAGAGUACCACUAGCCAAAUUCCAAACUCUAUAAGCUUUGCUAGUAGUUGAGUAACCAAGCAAGAAUCCUUCAUCACGUUUCUUCUCAAAUUUACUCAAUCUAGUGCCUUUCUUCAAUAUGUAGCAUUUGCAACCAAAAACCCGAAAGUAUGCAAUGUUGGGCUUUCUUCCAUUCAAGAGCUCAUAUGGAGUCUUCUCCAUCAUUGGGUGACAAUAGAGUCGGUUGCUAUAGUAGCAAGCCAUGUUGAUUGCUUCGGCCCAAAAAGAAUGACUCACAUUGUAUUCACUCAACAUUGAUCUUGCCAUGUCAAUCAAGGUUCUAUUCUUCCUCUCAACAAGACCAUUUGAUUGUGGAGUGUACUUGGCCGAGAAUUGAUGCCUAAUACCAAACUCAUCACAAAGCUCAUCAACUCUUGUAUUCUUGAAUUCACUUCCAUUGUCACUUCUCACUUUCUUGAUGGUUGUUUCAAACUCAUAGUGUAUUCUCUUGACAAAUGAUUUGAACGUUGCAAAAGCAUCACUCUUGUCACUAAGAAAGAAUACCCAUGUAUAUCUUGUGAAAUCAUCCACUAUCACAAAUCCAUAUUUGUUUCCACCAAUACUUGUGUAUGUGGUUGGUCCAAAUAAGUCCAUGUGCAACAACUCAAAUGCCUCGCAUGUACUCAUGAUGCUCUUCUUUGGAUGAGUGUUGCCAACUUGCUUUCCGGCUUGACAUGCACUACAAAGCUUGUCUUUCUCAAAUGUGACAUCUUUCAAGCCUCUAACAAGAUCAUGCUUGACUAACUUGUUUAAUUGUUUCAUUCCAACAUGACCAAGCCUUCUAUGCCAUAACCAACCCAUGCUAGAUUUAGUGAGCAAGCAUGUUGACAAUUGAGCUUCACUAGCAUUGAAAUCAACCAAGUAUAGAUUCUCAUAUCUAAAGCCUUUGAAUAUCAAGUUUGAGCCAUCUACACUUAUGAUCUCUACAUCAUCAACUCCAAAUAUGCAUUUGAAACCAAGAUCACAAAGUUGAGCUACGGAUAAAGUUCAAGCUCUCUACUAGUAGCACAUUGGAAAUGCUCAAGUCAUUGGAUAUAGUAAUUUUACCAAGCCCUUUGACCUUGCCUUUGCCAUUGUCACCAAAUGUGAUACUAUCAACACCAUUGUCAUCAUUUGAUUUGAUUGAAUUGAACAUUUUUGAAUCACCGGUCAUGUGUUGUGUGCACCCACUAUCAAGCACCCAACGCCUUCCUCCAUCUUUAUAGUUUACCUACAAAACAAAUCAAUGUUUCUUAGGUACCCAUACUUGUUUGGGUCCUUAGAGGUUAGUGACUAAGCUUUUUGGUACCCAAAUGGCCUUCUUCUUUGGACCCACAAUUGGUGUACCAACAAACUUAGCAUGCACACCCUUCUCACCCUUGGUAAGCACAUAAUAACAAUCAAAAGGAAUGUAAGAUACAUUAGCAUUUUUCUUGUUCUUGUUCAUUUUAUUGCAAUUAAGCUCUAGGUGCCCAACUUGCUUGCAUUUGUUGCAAUACCGACCAUUGCUCUUCACAAAGCUAGGCUUGUGAGUUGCAAAAGCUUUCUUGCCAUUCUUGGGGGUAUAGCCUAAUCCCUCUUUGUUGAGAGAAAACCUUUGGCUACCCAAGCACUUUAGCAAGCGGGCCUCACCACCAUAAGCUUUUCCUAGGGCGUGAGUGAGCUCAUCCACCUCUCUCUUGAGAGUCUCAUUCUCAACUUUUAGUGAGGUAUCACAAGUGACACUAACACAAGAAGUAGAGGUAGAGUUGUUGGUGGUGGAUGAAGACCUACAAAAAGAGUUAGUGGCAACAACAAUAGGUAGGUUGGGUGAUUCUUUAAUUAAGUCACAAGUUGUGCCCACAUCACAUGAUACAACAACCUUUUCCUUGUUCUCUUCUAACAACAAGGAGUGAGCUUUCUCAAGCUUGGUGUGAGCCUUGCCAAGCUUCUCAUGGGCUUCCACUAGCCUCUCAUGAUUAGCAUUGAGCUCAUCAAAGGAUUGCUCAAGAGCUUUUAACUUCUUGGCCAAUUGUUUGCACUUCUUGUUUUUAGAUUGAAUGAGAGAAUCGACUUGUUCUAACAUGUCCAUGAGUUGUUCAUUAGUGAAUUCAUUUUCAUCAUCACUAUCACUAUCAUGUUCAUGUUCACUUUCACUUUCACUCUCAUCAUAUUGUACCUUGUGGCCCUUGGCCAUGAAGCAUGAAGGAGUGUCGAAGAGUGAUGGCUUGUUGAUAGCAAUGCUUGCAAGUGCCUUCUUAUUGGAUGCCUUGUCAUCAUCACUAGAAUCAUCAUCCGAAGAAGCAUCACUAUCCCAUGUCACAACAUAGGAUCCACCCUUCUUCUUCUUCUUGAAAACCAUCUUCUUCCAUUUCUUUUCUUUCUUCUCCUUCUUGUUCUUCUUGUCAUGCUCAUCAUUGUUGUUGGGUAUUCUUAACAUCAUUACCAAAAGUAGACUAAGUUCUCUAAAUCUAGUAACGGUGCCAAAAAUGCCAAACCUAUCCCUCACACCACUUAAGCCAAGUUGUCAUCCCCAGCAUGACAUGAGAGACGCGGUAUUGAAAUAUGCAAUUGCUCUUCUAAAUAAAUAAUGAAUGGGAUCUGCAAGCGCACAGAUUAAUACCGAUGUAGCAUUUUAACCGGGAAGUAUUCCAGGUAUCGUUAUUUAUAUUUUUACCACUGGGAAGGGAUUAGCAAUCAUCAAUAUUGAUUACAGAAUAGAAUAUGAGAUUGAGCAUCUAUCAUUGCAUGUAUAAUUGAGAACAGUUAUCUAACUCUUUCAUACAGGGGUAAGUGUCACAUAAAAGAUAUAUGAAGUAAUGAAUAGUGACAAAGAUAAUUGAUCUGAUCAGCCACAUAUAAAUAUGAUAAGCACCUCAAUUAGAUACUCUAGAAAGUCAUUAGCAUGGUAUUAGAACGAAUUACAAGAAUAUUCCCUAAGUUAUUCUCAACUAUAUAGUCUAGCAUUAUCAUAAUUAGUGCAAGCAUACUUAGCAAUCAUUGUGAGACAAGACUACGCCCACGCAUAGUGAUAUUAGCAAGGUAAAUGAGAAACAUAGCAAUCACUCCCCUAUAAUAAUAUUGCUCUGCCAGCCCAAUACACGAGAGGGGGACUAUAUAAGAAUCAAUGAAGCUGUCACUAUCACGAACUACCCCACGAUCUGGCAUAUUGGGUACAAUCGCAGAUAAAUACGGUAUAAGCACCACGCCUACACAAUAUCUAUCAUUUACCCAUGGAUCCGAUGGAUAAAUGCUAUAUGAUCCUAAGCAUGUAUAUAGAUCCAAUCUAACUAAGCCAAGUACAUAACUAUGAUAAACUAAGAACAAUAUAAUCUUGAAUAUAAGCAAGUAGAGCAAAGUCAUAAGCAAUAUAUUGAAGUAGAACAAAGUCAUAUUCAUAAUAUUGAAGAACAAAGAUAAUUAGAAAGCAAUUAGAAGCACAAUUAGAGAAUUACCAAGAAUCCUCUUGAUAGAUCCAGAAACCAAUCGAAGAUUGACUCCUUCUAGUUCUAAUCCUAUGUAGCUAUGCUAAUCUAGAUAUCUAAUUGAUGUGGUGGCUCUAAUCUUGAUCAGAGGCUUCUUCUCCCUUGAGAAUAAUGAAUUAGGGUUGAGAGGCUCUCUCCUCCAGGGGCCAGGGGGUCUGGUUUUAUAGUCCCUUCAAGUGAAUGUGGGCUGUUGGAUCAAACCGACUUAGAUUGAACGGUUAUCCUUGAUCCUUUAGGUCGGUGGAGAUCUCCCACGAAGCAGAGUCCUGAUUGGACUCCAGAGGUGGGCGGGCGCCCUGCCUCUGGCCCCGUUUCGCCUCCGCUUCGGUCUCGUGGCUUCUGGAGUCUUCUAGAUGUAAGAUAAUUGCGCGGCACGUUAAUAUCUCUAAGUAAUCCCGACGUGUGGGCCUUUCUUCCAUAUUUCCUGAUAACCCCCUGCAGAAAUAGACAAACACCAAAAUUCGUGGAAUUUUGUCAGAUAAAACCCUAAUUCUAGAUGUUGAUUUCAUUUGGAUCUUUUUCUUAUUUAUUUGAUAAUUAAAUUUGAUACUUAAGGACCAUCAACAAACUCCCCCAAGCUUACCUCUUGCUCGUCCCUGAGCAAGGAUAGACUCAGCUAUGGAUCAGAAGUUGCUGCAAUAUCUUUAAAAUUUGACGGUACACAUACUUUUAAAUAAGAUCUCAUCUCUGAGUUAGAGUAAACUGUCAAGACUUAAAACUUACUUACUUUACCUCCACCAUGGGACUUGUAACUGUCACUUCUGUCUUGAGUAGUUAAAAGAUAGAACAGUCUAGCCAAGUGCCAUGUCUCUUAUUCUUGAUCAGCUAUAGCUCUGGUGUUUUUUACAGAUUUUCAAAUAAAACUUAGAGAUUCCUUGUAUGAUUCUCUCAAAUCUCUCUUUUGUGGUAUUUCUGGAUCGUUACCAAGGCAGUGAUGGUAUAUGCCUUCUCUCAAGAUAUGUAGUAUUUGUGGUAUAAAGCAUAGUGACAUUGUCUUCUCUCUCACCCUACUCUAAUAAGGCUUUAAUAUCUGGAGCUCAUAGGUGGGAGAUAAAGUAUACAUACUUACAAGACAUGUGUUGCAUAAUCAAACCAUGGAUCCAAAGAAACAAAUCAAUAAGCCAAAUCAAGAUGUGCAUGUGUGGCGAAUGAAUGAUGUAUGGUGAUGAUGGUGAUAAUAAUGGUGAAAGCCUAAUUCUACUUUUUGCUCUUUUGAGGGGAUACAUACCUUCCUUGCUUUUUGAAUUUAUGAGGAGAAUGAGAUGCUCUUCCUUUUUUUUCUUUUCUCUCAUGUGGGUAUCUUGUACCCCUAAUUCUACUAUCGGACACUUGUCCAUUUUUACCUCUCGUCUCACUCUUUUUUUUCUUUUGAGGUUCCGAGAACUUGCUCCUUUUUAUUUCCUCGUAUCUCUCUUUUUUUAGAGCACUCAUCUCUUGAGAUAAUAUAGCAAGUAGUAGUAACAAGAUAACUUGAGCAUUUAUUUCACAAGGAAAAAUAGAAAUAUUUUUGUUAUUCUCUCCCGGGUUAGGAGUAGAAUAUUUUUAGGUAGUUCUGGAGAUGGAAAUGGAUGGAUAUAUGUGGAUGGUACUUCCGGAGUAGAAGUAGCAUAUAUGAGUGAACGUGCAAGUGAAAUCUUGAUUUAACCACAUGACAAGCUCCUAAGGGACUACACAGCUUGACUACACUCAAUGCUCAUAAGCAGUAAAUAGUAAAUGUGUGGCUCAAAGUCUAGCAAGCAUGUAUAUAUGGCUGUGGUAGGAAUUUAAACUCUCAUCAUACAGGAACUCAUCAUGCAACAUUUUAAAGAUUUUCAAAGAUAAAAUUCUCCAGAAUUCUAGCAUCUCUAGGAACAGAUAAACAGCAGCUCAACCUUCCCAUAUCAUAUCCAUUAACAACUUAGACUUCAGAUCAAGUUUUCAUCCCACAAGUUUAGGUCUAGAGCAAGCUUUAAAUUAUAACAGUUAUAUCUAAACUUGAGAGAGAACUUAAAAUAUGCAAAUUAGGCAGAGCAACUAUUCAUCAUAUCCAUUUUGACUGGGACAUCAGUUACUGUUCCUUUAACCUCUUGAUCGUCUAUUUUGACUGGGACAUCAGUUACUGUUCCUUUAACCUCUUGAAAUGUCUGAUCUGCCAUCUGGAGCUGAAUGUAUGUUGGUUUUAGGGGCAUGGUUCCGAACAAGAGACGAUAGGUGACUGCGGCCAUUAUGUUGACGCCCGAUCCGGUGUCGCAAGUCGUCUUGUAGAAGUUGUAUCCAUUUAUGGAGCAGUAGAUGCUUGGCAUUCCUAGGUCGUCCUUCUUGGUCAAAAACGGUGACUUAAGUUGAUGAUCUUGGCCUCCAUGAACUGCAGUGACCAUCUUAGCUGACUCGGGCCACACUUGCUUGUUCCUGUUCCUUCUGUUGGUCCUCUUCCUUGAUUGACGUCUGGAUUGAUCUGGGAUUUGUGUAGUCUUGUUCUUGAAGAAAAAUGUCUCCUUCCUCCCUUUGAUAUAGAAACUGAUCUUGGCAGCGCUAGCGUAGAUGACAGCUCCUGCGGUGUUUAAGAAUGGCCUCCCUAAGAUGAUGGGUGCCCUCUCAUCAUUUCCGGUCUCUACCACUACGAAGCCUGCUGGGGCAUAUAAGGUACCAACUCGGACACAAAGGUUCUUCAAUAUUCCCUUUGGAAAACUUAUCGUCUGAUCUGCAAACUGCAAACACAAGGUUGUUUCUAAUAAAGGAUAUGUGAAGAAUUUUUCAUAGAGUACCCUGGGUAUAAUGUUGACGCUGGAGCCAAAGUCGCAGAGUGCUUCUGGGAAGUCCACCAUGCCGAUGGAGAUCGGGAUGACAGGGCAUCCUGGAUCGCCUCUCUUGACCGGCAGAAGGUCACUAGUGAAUUCAGUGACGGGGUUACUCCAAUUACCUGCAUCAAACAUGUCUACAAGAUUUGCAGAUUCUAUUCCUUCCGGUUGUGAUGGUAUACCGGGGUUAGUUGUAGGAACAGCAGCAGCUAUUUGAUUUAACUGAAAUUCAAUCAUUUUAUUAAAGCUAAUUUGAUUCUUGAUGGCAGUAGAGAAAUUAUCCAUUCUAUUAUUUAUAUUUUCUAGCAUUUUAUCAUUAGAUGCCAAUUUCUUAGAUAGGUUAUCCAUUAGCUUUCCUUGAUUAGACACUAACUCUCUCAAAGGUGGAAAAUUAUUAUUAUUAUUGUAAGAAUUGUUACCUUGAUAAUUACCUUAGUAGUUAGGCCUCUGUUGAUUCCAACCUUGAUUUUGUUGAGGAUGGUUGUAGUAGUUGUUGUUGUUAUUGUUGACGUAGUUCACAUCCUCAAGUAUCUCAGGGCAGUGGUUGCCUGAGUGUCCAGUGUCUCCACACUCCUCACAAGUCAUGUGAGAGUCGUAGAUGUGCAUAACUUCUUUCUUAUCUCCAGCUCUAUCAUCGAGCUUCUUCAUGAGUAGGUCUAGCUUUGCAGACAGCAUAUCUACCUCCUUCAGCUGAUGCAUACCUCCACCUCUCUUGCGUGUUUGGGUCCUCUCUUCAUUCCAGCUUUGGUUGGACGCCAUCUUCUCCACAAGAGCUGUGGCUUGUGGUAUGGUAAGUGAUAAGAAUGCUCCUCCAGCUGCAGCAUCCAUGGUUUCUCGGGCACUGUUGCCGAGCCCAUGAUAAAACGUCUGCAUCAAUAGCCAACUCUCCAUUCCAUGAUGGGGACAUUCUAGGAUGUAGUCUUGAAAGCGCUCCCAUGCUUCUGGAACAGAUUCAUCAUUUUGUUGCUGAAAACUUGUAAUCUUCCCAUGGAGAGCAUUGGUCUUGCCCUUGGGAAAGAACUUAGCCAGGAAGUUUGUUGAGCAGAGUGCCCACGUAGUAUUCUUCUCCUUUGUAGCAUAAAUCCACUGCUUCGCUCUUCCUAACAGUGAGAAUGGGAAGAGGCGAAGUAGUAUAGCAUCUCUGGGGACUCCUGAUAUGGUAAAUGUGCUGCAAAUCUCCAGGAAGUGUUGGAGAUGAGCACUAGCAUCUUCGUGUGCCUUCCCACAGAACUGGUUGGAUUGCACCUUGUUGAUAAGUCCAGGCUUGAGCUCAAAGUUGCCGUCGAUCUCUGCAGCAGGUCCAGUGCGGAUGUUGUCCGUAGUGGGAGCUGAGAACUCGCGGAUUGAUUUGUUCGCCAUGGCUUCGAACUCGGAAGACGAGUUCCGGUGAUCUUCUUGAUUGGAUGAAGCUUCUUGCUGAAGUGUUGAUGAUCUCUUCUUGAGCUUGGCUUUAGUUCUUCUGAAUAACGCUUCGGGAUUGUCAACAAAAUUUCCUGGAAGUUGUCUUCUAUUCAUACAUUCCCCUGCAUAAGAUAAAAUAGAAAAAUAUCAGGGUAAAACUGUAUGAGAGAAUAGAUAAGCUCAAUCAUAUUAGUGAUGCGAAUGAUAACUCAAAAUCUUUUAUUCCAUUCCUGAUUAGUAAUCAACCUUCCCCGGCAACGGCGCCAAAAAUGCUUGUUGGGUAUUCUUAACAUCAUUACCAAAAGUAGACUAAGUUCUCGAAAUCUAGUAAUGGUGCCAAAAAUGCCAAACCUAUCCCUCACACCACUUAAGCCAAGUUGUCAUCCCCAGCAUGACAUGAGAGACGCGGUAUUGAAAUAUGCAAUUGCUCUUCUAAAUAAAUAAUGAAUGGGAUCUGCAAGCGCACAGAUUAAUACCGAUGUAGCAUUUUAACCGGGAAGUAUUCCAAGUAUCGUUAUUUAUAUUUUUACCACUAGGAAGGGAUUAGCAAUCAUCAAUAUUGAUUACAGAAUAGAAUAUGAGAUUGAGCAUCUAUCAUUGCAUGUAUAAUUGAGAACAGUUAUCUAACUCUUUCAUACAGGGGUAAGUGUCACAUAAAAGAUAUAUGAAGUAAUGAAUAGUGACAAAGAAAAUUGAUCUGAUCAGCCACAUAUAAAUAUGAUAAGCACCUCAAUUAGAUACUCUAGAAAGUCAUUAGCAUGGUAUUAGAACGAACUACAAGAAUAUUCCCUAAGUUAUUCUCAACUAUAUAGUCUAGCAUUAUCAUAAUUAGUGCAAGCAUACUUAGCAAUCAUUGUGAGACAAGACUAUGCCCACGCAUAGUGAUAUUAGCAAGGUAAAUGAGAAACAUAGUGUUGACACCAUUUUUGGGCACGUGUCCAGGAUGGCAGGACAGGGUGGCAGUACGAUGCGGGUUGCUGGUAAGGAUGGUUGCCGAUGAGGGAAAGGUUGAAUGUGACUAAGUCCUCAGACAGUAAUAUGGUGCCGAUGACCAAGUAAAAGGGUCUGCCGAUGACUAUGGCGAGGGGAUUGCCGAUGACGCGAAGGAGGAGUCCGGAAGCUGCCAGUUGUCAUGUGGAGGAGUUUCGGUUUGUCACGAAGGAUGGUUUUAUUAUUUCCUUAUGUUAUUCGUAUCGUUUUGUAUACGGGUUCCGUGUAAUUUGGAAUUCGAAUUCUAAUCGUGUCUGGUCGUAGCUCUUUGAGCAGGGUAUAAAUAUAAGCCCUAAGACCUUGUAAUCAGGACAUCUAUCAAUCAAUCAAACACACGUUUUUACUCAUAUUCCAGCAUCUACUUUUCGACGACUUCGUCAUACUUUUUUCCUUUUAUUACGAGUUCUUAGGAAUUUGUCGACUUAAGCUCGGCGUAUUCUCAAGUUCCGCGUGAGUACCUCUUAGCCGUGACAUCCGGGCGUAUCGCUGUUGUCAGGACUAAAGUAUUCGAGUUAUCACCUUUGCCGAUAGUAAGGUCAAAUCGGCUGGCACGCCUUAACGUUUGAAUCGGGUAUUAGCCCUUUGUGUUUGCAGAUCAGUUUUGCAUCAACACAUCUUUUGGCACGCCCAGUGGGACAGAUUCAAGAUCAACAUGUCAAUCUCCGACCUCGAUCAAGACAACGUCAUCCCCGUGACGGAAGCUAACCUCAAGGAUGAGCAGAAGCAAGCUAUUGCUCAAGCUAUGGAAGAGUUCAAGCAGCAAUGCCUGAAGUCUUUCAGCAUAAACAGGAGCGGCGAAGUGGUCCAGAAAGAUGCACUGCCGGCACCACGGCAGGUCACCUUCGACGCUAAUCCUGGCAAGCUUCAAGACAUGGUUGACAAUGCCAUCAAUCGAGCGCUGAUCAACCAAGCUGGUGUAUUGUCUAACACGGUGUUCAACGCCGUGGCAAGAACUUUCAAGGAAGGACAAAUCCCGCCGGAUUAUGUGGGCCCUUCCCAUCAUCAACCCACGGCACCAGAGGUCACGACUCCAUCGGCUGCCUUGACGAGUGCAAGUGCACAGUCUGCCGUCCCUCCAAGUACAUUGGGGACUACCGGUGCACUAUCUAUGCCGAUGGCAACCAACCCCCAAAUUUCAGUUGGGCAGCAUAAACUGACGACAGAUAUGUUGGCAUCGGCAAUGUCAGGGUUAAAUCUUCCCCCCAACUGGUGGGGUUAUGGUAUGCCUCCAGAGUUGACGCCGGGAACAUCACAGACAACUGACAUGAGGGGCAAAACUCCUAUGACGUCGGUACCUCCCAAUGUGCCGGUGAACCAGAGUCCUCGGUAUACCACAACUACUACUGCAAGGCCUCACACUGGAAAUCCUCAAGAUUCAAUGUUCCAGAUGCCCAACGCAUCGGCAGAGUCAAUGCUGAUGCAACAGAGGCCUAUGGCCCAGUCGGGGUAUGUCAAUUCAACGACGAUACCCAAUUACCAAUCAUCGGCGGCACCUAUGCCGAUGAACGCUAAUAAUGGAUGGCUUGGACAACAAGCCUUUCCACAGUCGCCCCAGCAGGGUUAUCAGACUACGGGGUUCCAGCAAGGGCAGGUUUAUCCCGGGUUCCAAGGUCAGGGAAUGUCCAACCAGCCAAUAAAUUUUGGACAGCAACUCGGAGGACAGCCAGUCGGUGGACAGCAGUUUGGUAGUCCGCAGAUUGGAGGACAGGUGACCAAUACGAUGUUCCAUACAGGUCAGGUCCCAAACAGACACGUGGAGGUUUGCCACCAAGUGCCGGAUCCGCAGCUGCCUCAUCGGCAAGAUGCCGAUGCUUAUUGGGCCGAUAAGAUUGCUGAAGUAAUGAAGGAACAAUUCGGGAUAAAACCCAAAGUCAACACUUAUUCUUACCGGACACCGUAUCCUCCAGCGUAUGAUUUGAUCCCGCUUCCACAUCGGUACAAGGUACCAGAUUUUACAAAGUUUUCCGGACAGGACGACACGUCAACCAUGGAGCAUGUCAACAGGUUCAUUAUUCAAUGUGGAGAAGCUGGUAACAGGGACGAAUUAAGGGUUCGUCUAUUUUCAUCAUCAUUGUCUGGAUCGGCCUUUACUUGGUUCAUAUCAUUGCCUCCCAAUUCAGUAAUUACUUGGGCCGAUCUAGAGAAGCAAUUCCACAGAUACUUCUUCUCGGGGGUUCAUGAGAAGAAGAUCACCGACUUGGUCAAGUUGAGGCAACGUAAUGAUGAGUCGGUUGAGGGAUUUGUGCAGAGGAUACGAGAGGUCAAAAAUAAAUGCUAUAGCCUGGUUCUGGAUGAUCGGCAGCUAGCCGAUUUGGCUUUCCAGGGUUUGUUGCCACACAUCAGGGAUAAGUAUGCCUCUCAGGAGUUUGAAAGUUUAAGUCACUUGGUGCAGAGGAUAUCUGAUCAAGACAUCAAGCCUUUCGAGCCUAAGAGGGCAUGGAAUAAAAAAGUGUCAUUUGUUGACGAAGCAACAAGCUCAGAUUCCGACGAGGAACCAGUAAUCGGUUUGGCAGAGUGGGUAAAAAACAAGAAGCCGAUGUCUUGUCCUUUUGGGCAGAAGGAACCAGAGAAGUUUGCAUUUGACACCGCCAAGGCCGAUAGGAUAUUUGACUUUCUACUUCAGGAAGGUCAAAUCAAAUUGUCACCCAACCACGUGAUCCCGUCGGCAGAAGAGUUGAAGAGGAUGAGGUAUUGCAAGUGGCAUAAUGCAACUUCACAUGAUACCAAUGAGUGUAAGGUAUUCAGACAACAGCUGCAAUCGGCCAUAGAUUCAGGGAGAAUCAAGUUUGAUAGUUCCAAAGCCCAGAAGCCGAUGAAGAUAGACCAACAUCCUUUCCCGACGAACAUGUUGGAUGCUAAGGGGAAGGCUAAGGUCUUAACGUCGGAGACAGCUGAGAAGAGUGCAUCGGUAGAUCCUCAGCAUCAAGUUACUACCGCCGAUGCAAGAAGUAAGGGCUUGGUCCAGGAAGGAGCUAGCUCAGGAAGAAUUCCUCGAUCUGGUAUUGUCAUAACUCAUAGAAGGCCUCGAGAGAGAUGGCAACAACGGGAAGAUCGGUACCGGCGCCAGCAGGAAGAUUAUCAACGGGAAGAAGAAAGACGCCGACAGGAGUGGAAUCGGCACAGGGAUCAUUGGAAUUGCCCAUUCUUCAUCCAUUGUUGGGAGGAAAAUAUCAAGCUUCCUACUGUCAGAGACUGCCCUGAAUGCAACGGUUAUGACCGGUACGACAGGAACGAUCGGCGUUAUCAUGAUGAUGAACGACGAUUUAAUGGGCCAAUCAGAGGAAGAGCGUCAGUUCAUGAUCGGCUGGGGGGCAGGCUUAGUGUUCACGAUCGGCUCGGUGACCGUGUCCAGUAUUUUCCCAGGAACCAGGAAGAGCUUGAGGAAAUGGCUAAUGCGCGGGUUCCCGAUGAGUUCAUAUUUUGCAGAGAUGCUAACACACAUCGUAUGGAGUCAAGGGAGAACCGACGCCCGGCAGUAAGGCAAAGGCCACUUCCUCCAUGGUGCCCUCAAGGAUUAACCAAGACACAGAAAAGGAGGUUGCAACGAGAAAGGCAAGAGGAGUUAAAUAAAGGAGAAAGUUCUGAAAGUCGGCAGCCGGCAGACACUAAGAAGGAAGGUCCAUCGGCAGGCGUCAACAUGGUAUUCAUGUUGCCGAUGGAGUUUCUUGCACCAGCCAGUGAUGAUGAGUUGGGAUUUUCUGAUCAGAUAGCUCAGUUGGCUCUGGAUCCGAUGACGGCUAUCUUUGAGAAACCUGCCGAUAACGAGAGGCAGCAUCUUAAAGCUUUGUUCCUCAAAGGAAGGGUUGAUGGGCAGCCAAUGACCAAGAUCCUAGUUGAUGGUGGAGCUGCUAUUAAUAUUAUGCCAUAUGCAGUAUAUCGGAAGCUUGGGAAAGGGGACCAAGAUUUGACCAAGACCGAUAUGAUGCUCAAAGACUUUGAGGGAAACGUGUCUCCGGUCAAGGGGGCGAUAUGUGCAGAGUUGACCAUCGGCAGCAAAACCUUGCCGACAACCUUUUUCGUGAUCAGCGGGAAAGGUGCCUACAAUUUAUUAUUGGGGAGAGAUUGGAUUCAUGCCAAUUGUUGUGUCCCAUCUACAAUGCAUCAGUGCUUGGUUCAGUGGGUAGGUGACAAGAUUGAGAUCGUCCCAGGGGAUUCUUCUUAUGUUAUCGCAUCGGCAGAAGCAGAUACUUAUGAAAAGACUAGGUGCAUUUCAGGAGAAGUUUGGGAGAAAGAUUUUCUCAAAGUUGCCGAUUAUGAGAUUCCACCGAUCCAAGCAGUCGGUUCUGACGACGGUUUUUAAUGGAUAGAUUCGCCGAUGAUGGAAAAUUGGGCCAGGGAUUCACGUCGGCCGAUGAUUUGGUAGAAGUGGAUAUAGGUAGUGGUGAUAAGCCUAGGCCUACUUUUAUUAGCGCUAGACUAGAUCCUGAGUGUAAACGGCAAUUAACUAGUUUGUUAAAGGAAUAUAAAGAUUGCUUUGCUUGGGAUUAUACAGAGAUGCCUGGUUUAGACCGAUCAAUUGUUGAACAUCGGUUACCCAUCAAGUCUGGAUUUCGGCCACAUCAGCAACCAGCCCGCCGAUGUAAUCCCAACAUUCUACCUGAUAUAAAGGCCGAAAUCACUAAACUUAUUGAAGCUAAGUUUAUUCGGCAGUGUCGGUAUGCCGAAUGGAUUUCCAAUGUUGUUCCGGUUUACAAAAAGAACGGGAAGCUUCGAGUGUGCAUUGAUUUCAGGAAUCUCAAUAAAGCUACGCCGAUGGAUGGAUACCCAAUGCCUGUUGCCGAUCUACUGGUUGAUGCUGCGGCUGGCCAUCGGGUCAUCAAUUUCAUGGAUGGUAAUGCGGGUUACAAUCAAAUAUUCAUGGCAGAGGAGGAUAUUCCAAAAACCGCAUUCAGGUGUCCUGGUCAUGUUGGAUUGUUUGAAUGGAUAGUCAUGACUUUUGGGUUAAAGAAUGCUGGUGCUACUUAUCAAAGGGCUAUGAAUUUCAUAUUUCAUGAGUUCAUCGACAAAAUCGUAGAAAUUUAUAUUGAUGAUGUGGUGGUUAAGUCUGGAGAUUUUUCAAAGCAUCUUGCCGAUUUACGAAAAGUGUUGGAGUGCACCAGGAAGCAUGGAUUGAAGAUGAAUCCCAACAAGUGUGCAUUUGGCGUAUCGGCAGGGCAGUUUCUUGGUUUUAUGGUACAUCAGAGGGGUAUUGAGAUUAGUCGAAGAUCUAUUGAUGCCAUCAAUAAAAUAGUGGCCCCUACCAAUAAAACCGAGCUCCAAUCCUUGAUCGGCAAGGUGAAUUUUAUCAGAAGAUUUAUAUCGAAUUUAUCUGGGAGAAUUCGUGCUUUCAGUCCCCUUCUUAAAUUGAAAGCCGAUCAAGAGUUUGUUUGGGGAGAAGAACAGCAGUUGGCUCUGGAUGAGAUCAAAAAGUAUCUAGUGGAUCCUCCAGUUUUAGUUCCACCCCAACAAGGGAAACCCUUCAAAUUAUAUUUAUCUACCGAUGGAUCGGUUAUCGGUUCAGCUUUAGUUCAAGAAUUUGAAGGGAAGGAGAGAGUAAUUUAUUAUCUGAGCAGGAGGUUGAUUGAUGCUGAAACCAGGUAUUCGGCCAUAGAGAAGCUGUGCUUGUGCUUAUAUUUCUCAUGUAUCAAGCUAAGACAUUAUCUGUUGUCGGCAGAAUGUGCUGUUGUUUGCAAAGAUGACGUGGUCCGAUACAUGCUAUCCAUGCCGAUUAUGAGUGGUAGGAUCGGUAAGUGGAUUUUGGCGCUGUCGGAGUUCGAUUUGCGUUACGAAUCGACUAAGGUGGUCAAAGGGCAGGUUAUGGCCGAUCUUGUGACUCAGCAUUGCGGUCUAGUGGAGACCUUGGAAAUUGCACCCUGGGCGCUCUUCUUUGAUGGAUCUACCUGUGACCGAGGAGCAGGAAUCGGUAUUGUAUUAGUUUCUCCUAAAGGGAGGAAGUAUGAGUUUUCCUUGCCGAUUGUUGCUACAUCAACAAAUAAUCAGGCUGAGUAUCAAGCUCUGAUCAAGGGAUUGGAGUUGUUAAGAGAAGUUCGUGCUGAUGCUGUUGAAGUAUUCGGAGAUUCCAUGUUGGUUAUAAAUCAAUUGGUCGGAAGCUAUGAAUGCCGAAGUGAAGUUCUCAUAACCUAUUUCGAGAGAGGUAUGCAACUGUUAAAAGAAUUCAAGAACUUCCGAUUGGAGCAUGUUCCCCGAUUGCAUAAUGAAGACGCUAAUCGGUUGGCCCAGCAUGCCUCGGGAUAUCAGCCAAUGAUUAAUGCGACAUCGGCAGUCAGUGCCGGUGAUUGGAGGGAAGAAAUUAUUGAUUAUCUAAAAGAUCCAUCCAAAAAAGUUGAAAGACGGGUUCGAUUUCAAGCAACCAAGUAUGUGAUCCUUGAAAAUGAAUUGUAUUAUCGAACUAUCGACGGAAUUCUUCUCCGAUGCUUGGGUGAUGAUGAAGCCAGAAGUUUGAUGGGAGAAAUCCAUGAAGGAGUGUGUGGAGCGCAUCAGUCAGCUUUUAAGAUGAAGUGGAUGAUUCGAAGGAAUGGAUAUUUUUGGCCAACCAUACUUGAAGAUUGUUUUAAAUAUUUCAAGGGAUGUCAAGGUUGUCAAAAGUUCGGUAAUAUCCAGAGAGCACCCGCAUCGGCUAUGAAUCCUAUAAUAAAACCUUGGCCGUUCCGGGGAUGGGCCAUCGAUCUGAUCGGCCAGAUUUAUCCACCAUCUAGCAAAGGGCAUAAAUUCAUUCUAGUUGCCACUGACUAUUUCACCAAGUGGGUCGAGGCUAUUCCUUUGAAGAAAGUCACAUCGGCCAAUAUGAUUGAUUUUGUGAAGGAGCAUAUUAUUUACCGAUUUGGGAUUCCCCAAACGAUUACUACCGAUCAGGGCACCAUGUUCACGUCGGGGGAGUUCGAUGAAUUCGCAAUCGGUAUGGGAAUUAAAGUGUUGAAUUCUUCUCCUUACUAUGCUCAAGCCAAUGGGCAGGCCGAAGCGUCUAACAAGGGAAUUAUCAAGCUUAUUAAACGAAAGAUUGAAGAAAAUCCUAGGCGGUGGCAUACAUUGUUGAAUGAAGCACUGUGGUCUUAUCGGAUGGCUUGUCAUGGAUCAACCAAGGUGUCACCUUAUCAAUUGGUGUAUGGACAUGACGCAGUUUUGCCUUGGGAGAUUAAGGCUGGAUCUAGGCGAUUAUCUUUUCAAGAUCAAUUGGCUGCCGAUGAUUAUGCCACUUUAAUGACCGAUGAGUUAGAUGAUUUAGCAGGGCAUCGGUUAAAGGCUUUAAUGAGUAUAGAAGAAAAUAAGAAGAGAGUUGCCAGAUGGUAUGAUAAAAAGGUGAAGGCUAAGGAGUUUGCCGAUGGGGAUUUGGUAUGGAAGUUGAUUUUGCCAGUCGGGACUAAAAGUUCAAAGUUUGGGAAGUGGUCUCCUGAUUGGGAAGGUCCUUAUCGGAUAAAACGCUCAGCUCCUGGUAAUGCCUAUAUUCUAGAAACUCUCGAAGGAGUUGAAUUUCCCAGAGCGUUAAAUGGCAAAUAUUUGAAGAAGUACUACCCCAGCAUAUGGAUCGAUGCAUAAAAGGUUAAGUGCCGAUAACACUCCUAUCGGCUGAAUUUAAAUGUUCAAGGGCAGACUUAAUGUUUCAAAAGAUGCCGAUAACAGUCUUAUCGGCUAGACUAAAAGCUAAAAAUGGAGAAACAAAGGUGUGUCGCCGAUGAAAGCUUCAGAUGUUCAGCAGCGCUUGGAUUGCAGAUAUGGCGCGCAGCCGAAUCUGGUUGGCUGUCUCUAUCUCUUUGAUAUCGUCAUCGGCAGAACCUUCAAUUGGCUUCAGCUUCCUCUUCAGUUGCAGCGCUCUACGACCAUGGACGUUUCGUUCCUGUUCAAGAUGCUUGAUGGUCUCCGGUAGUUGACUGUCUUCUUGCUGGGCUUGGGACAGGGCGUCUUCUACUUGCUUGAGUUCAGCCAGCAGAGCUUCUCUUUUUGCCGAUAGAUCAGACAUUUUCUGCUUCAGUGCAUCACCUGAGGACUUUAAGAUGCCGAUGUUCUUAUGUUUCUCAUCGGCUAAGCGUUUUUCUUUCAUCAUCUCCUCAGAGAGCUGGAUUUGAGCAGCUCUGUCGGCAAGGCGUCGAGUAGCUCUCUGGUACUGUAGCUGGCGGCUUUCUAGAUGUGCAGCGUGGAAGAGUGUUUCUUCGGCAUCGGCAGGAAUUUGGCCUCUAAGAGUCUUGAACAGGGCCUUGGCUGGGUCAGAAUCGUCGACCAGUUGAGUUGUGUCUUGAUGAAGUAUGGCCGAUAGCUCCUCCAGCCUAGCUCUGGUUUCUGCCGAUACAAUUCCAACUGCCCGAGAGGAGCUUGCUUCCUCGCCUUCUUCUUCGAAGAUAUCAAUAGCGAAGGAGAACAAGCUGUCGGGAGAAUCUUGUUCCUGAAAAUGAAAAUGAAAUAGGUCAAUUUUAUGGUCAAAACUUCGGCAGAUGAUACCGAUGGAAAAGUGGAUGACUUACUUGCUUCAAGGCGAUUUCCUGCCGUUGACUCAGAGAGGCCGAUGGAGCUGCAGGUUGAUCGGCAAAUGUUGCCGAUAGAACGAUAUCGCCUGAAAGAGGACAGGAAGGAUUAUAAGAAUAAAUGAAAAUAAGUUUAUCGGUAGGAGUAUUGUUGGGAUAUGUUACCCGGAAGAGGAACAACAGUUGUUUGAAUUGAGGAAACCGCCGAUGAUAUAACUGGACCUGCCGGGCCAGUUGUUUGUUCACCUAUGUCAGCUGACGUACCUGCCGUUUGAGGUUCUUCUUGCUGAGGUUCUUCCAUCUGUGGUGCUUCCUGUAUUGAUUGAGGAGAUGGUGCUUGUUGUGCCUGCACUUCUGGAGGAGAAGGGGAAGAUUCCACCGGGAUUGGAGACACCGGAGGAGGAGGAGGAGUUGCCACUUUCUGACGCUUUGUUCCAGUCUUAGCACCUUGGAUGCCUUUCCUCUUUGGCUGGCUAGACUGGGGGGGAUCGGCACCUUGGCGUUUGGCUUUUGCCGAUGCACCAGUUUGCUGCAACAACGAUAAAGAGUUUAUGAGCACAGAUAACCGAUAUAAAGAUAGUCAGCAUAAAUAAAAAAGGGGUUUAACAGAUUGCCUUGAAAGCUUGCGCCAGAGUGGAAGCAGUUACCGUUGGUGAUGUCUGAGUUUUCCUGGUGGUAACUUUCUUGAGACGCGCGCCCCGGUGCACGAUGGAAGCCAGAGUGGGAGCAUUGUGGCCGAUUGAGGAGAUCGGGCCUGAUGGGAAUAAGUCGAUCGGCUUGCCACUCCUGCUAACCGAUGGGGGGGUGUUGUCAAUCUGCAAAAAGAAUACAGGGGUAAGUUACCGAUGGGAAUAGUAUUGGAAAAUGAGACAUCGGUUUAAAAUACUUACAGUGUCGUCAGGGACUUCGUAUUCGGGGUCGAUCAUGCCGCGGUAUGAGAGGGCCGAUCUGCAAAAAAGAUUCUCCUUCCAUUCUGCCCACCAUAGCUUGUAUGCUUGAGUGAUAAAGGCAGCUGGAACCCAUUCUGACAGAUCUGCAUCUGUAUCGGCAUUUGGUGGUAGCUGGGCUACUCGAGUCCACUCGAGGAGGUUAGCGAUGGGUUCUCUGGGCUUUAUUACAUCGGCAUAAGGAAGUGCGAUCGGCAAUUGGCCGAAAGCUAGCUGGCGAGCUAAUGCCGAUGGAUUAUAAAAUUCAUAAGUUUGGGGAGAAGUUUUCGUGCUGCCGAAGAAGUUCACUGGUAUGGCUCUGGGAGUCACGAUUGCCAUCAUCACCUCAUUGUCCCUAUCAAGAGCUUCGUCGAACGGAUUGAAGGUCAGAGGGAGCAUGCUAUCUGGGUCGUCAUAAGCCAGCCAUGGUCGUUCAUCUCUGGCCAGACCCUCAUACAGCGUUUCGAAGAAUCGGCCGAUCUGAUCCGGAGUGUUCCCUGAACCGGGUAAAACUAUAACAGCUUCGCCAAAGUUCAGGGGGGCACGUGUUGCCGAUUCCUCUUCACCCAACACAUGGUUCUCGGCUAUAUCUCUUGGGAAGUGCUGAGAGAACAAGUUGAGAUCGAGGCGCUUGUGCAGGUGCAGAUUGAGCCACAUAUUAAUAAACCACCAAGGACCUCCCAAGUUGCCGAUAGGUUGGCCGAGCAGGAGUUUCUGGACUAUCUGAUGAAGAAGGUGAUAAACAGCGCCGAGCAAAUAACGGCCGAGAGGAAAUUGACCACCGCUAGCCAGUCUUUCUGCUGCCGAUAGAUAGACAGAAGUCGGUCCUGCCGAUCGACCACAGAAUACAAACUUGUCUAGCCACAUGUUCAGGAAGGUGGUUUGUUCCUUUAUGGUGACAGGCCCUCUCCCGCGGUACUUCUGGAUGUACCCUGACCAGCCGCCGAUAGCGCGAGUCUCCACUUUGGCACUGGGGGCAGCAUCAAAAAAGUGGGUGCUAUCGGCAGAAGAUAUGUCCAACCCAGUAAGCAUGGCUACAUCGGCAAGGGUAGGAGAAGCAGGGCCGUGGCCAAAAACAAAAGCGUUGAGAGUGUCUGACCAAAAGUAAGAUGCGGCUAUCAGCAAUGACUCGUUCCUAUGCAUAUCGGCAAUGGACAGCCUAAUGCAUUGAGCUAAUUUCCUCUCACCCCAUUGAACUUCAUAAGAGUUGCUGACCCUCAAGAACCAGUCUUUCCACCCUACAGUGGGGCUAGGCCAAGAGCGAAAGGUGUCCUUCCAUAGAUCUAGAGCAAAGUUUUCAGCUCUAAAGGGAAUCCUGUUGGUUUCUGCGUUGAUAAGGUCGGUUGGAUCUGGAUCCCCUAGAGGGCCGAGGCAUUGAAGAUGUGGUUGAUCGGUAGGAAUGACAAUUUUGUUGGAUAACUCCUGGUGUUUUGGGGAAUAAGGAUACAAAGAAAAAGGAGAAGGAAAUAUUCGGUAAGGUAAAUCGCAGAUGAACAGGAAUGCAGGAAAAAGGUACGGCAGAUGAGAUGGAAGUCUGACCUCAGGGACGACGAAGCCAACGGCCAUCUUGUCGUGAAGGGGACGCUGGAAGACGCCGGAGUUGAUGAAGAAGAAUGCUUGUCGGAGAUCUUGAGGAUUGAGAAUGGCGCCGCCGCUGGAAAAGUGAAGUUGGAUGGCAGAAUGAUGUAAUGGGGGAGGAGUGCCCAAGAAGGAACUAUUUAUAGGGCAAGAUGGACAAGGGCAAAUCUGACUUAUUUCUUUGCCGCAUCCGAGAAACCCGAGGGUACUCAAGUGGAUAUGGUAACUGUUCGCACGAUAAUCCAGGGAUUGUGCAGGUGAUUUGACAGGAAGCGGUCAUUAUCUAAAGAUAUUUUACUGUGCGCGAUCUCCUGGUCGGUCCAUCGGUGAUAUUCUAUAACGGUCGUCCUGCCGAUGGGCGGAUAGAGGGGAAGUAACCGUUUUUGCGAAUAUCCUGGGCAGAACAUCGGCAGAUCUUUGUAACGGUAUUGUUGCCGAUGUACGACUAAGAGAGAUACCCGUUUGGGAAGUUGUGGAUUUCGAGGGAUCUGCGGAGGAUUAGGAUCAGAGUUGCCCAGAUUGAGGUUGUCGGUUACCAGAUUAGGAGCAUUAAUUGCAGAGAAGACAUCAUUACUGCAGAGAAUUUCGGAGCAUUAAUAGUUUUAUACUCCGAAACUGGGGGGCAUGUGUUGACACCAUUUUUGGGCACGUGUCCAGGAUGGCAGGACAGGGUGGCAGUACGAUGCGGGUUGCUGGUAAGGAUGGUUGCCGAUGAGGGAAAGGUUGAAUGUGACUAAGUCCUCAGACAGUAAUAUGGUGCCGAUGACCAAGUAAAAGGGUCUGCCGAUGACUAUGGCGAGGGGAUUGCCGAUGACGCGAAGGAGGAGUCCGGAAGCUGCCAGUUGUCAUGUGGAGGAGUUUCGGUUUGUCACGAAGGAUGGUUUUAUUAUUUCCUUAUGUUAUUCGUAUCGUUUUGUAUACGGGUUCCGUGUAAUUUGGAAUUCUAAUCGUGUCUGGUCGUAGCUCUUUGAGCAGGGUAUAAAUAUAAGCCCUAAGACCUUGUAAUCAGGACAUCUAUCAAUCAAUCAAACACACGUUUUUACUCAUAUUCCAGCAUCUACUUUUCGACGACUUCGUCAUACUUUUUUCCUUUUAUUACGAGUUCUUAGGAAUUCGUCGACUUAAGCUCGGCGUAUUCUCAAGUUCCGCGUGAAUACCUCUUAGCCGUGACAUCCGGGCGCAUCGCUGUUGUCAGGACUAAAGUAUUCGAGUUACCACCUUUGCCGAUAGUAAGGUUAAAUCGGUUGGCACGCCUUAACGUUUGAAUCGGGUAUUAGCCCUUUGUGUUUGCAGAUCAAUUUUGCAUCAACACAUAGCAAUCACUCCCCUGUAAUAAUAUUGCUCUGCCAGCCCAAUACACGAGAGGGGGACUAUAUAAGAAUCAAUGAAGCUAUCACUAUCACGAAGUACCCCACGAUCUAGCACAUUGGGUACAAUCGCAGAUAAAUACGGUAUAAGCACCACGCCUACACAAUGUCUAUCAUUUACCCAUGGAUCCGAUGGAUAAACGCUAUACGAUCCUAAGCAUGUAUAUAGAUCCAAUCUAACUAAGCCAAGUACAUAACUAUGAUAAACUAAGAACAAUAUAAUCUUGAAUAUAAGCAAGUAGAGCAAAGUCAUAAGCAAUAUAUUGAAGUAGAACAAAGUCAUAUUCAUAAUAUUGAAGAACAAAGAUAAUUAGAAAGCAAUUAGAAGCACAAUUAGAGAAUUACCAAGAAUCCUCUUAACAGAUCCGGAAACCAAUCGAAGAUUGACUCCUUCUAGUUCUAAUCCUAUCUAGCUAUGCUAAUCUAGAUAUCUAAUUGAUGUGGUGGCUCUAAUCUUGAUUAGAGGCUUCUUAUCCCUUGAGAAUAAUGAAUUAAGGUUGAGAGGCUCUCUCCUCCAGUGGCCAGGGGAUCUGGUUUUAUAGUCCCUUCAAGUGAAUAUGGGCCGUUGGAUCAAACCGACUUAGAUUGAACGGUUAUCCUUGAUCCUUUGGGUCGGUGGAGAUCUCCCACGAAGCAAAGUCCUGAUUGGACUCUAGAGGUGGGCGGGCGCCCAGGGGAACAGGGCGGGCGCCCUGCCUCUGGCCCCGUUUCGCCUCCGCUUCGGUCUCGUGGCUUCUGGAGUCUUCUAGAUGUAAGAUAAUUGCGCGGCACGUUAAUAUCUCUAUGUAAUCCCGACGUGUGGGCCUUUCUUCCGUAUUUCCUGAUAACCCCCUGUAGAAAUAGACAAACACCAAAACUCGUGGAAUUCUGUCAGAUAAAACCCUAAGUCUAGAUGUUGAUUUCAUUUGGAUCCUUUCCUUUGUUUAUUUAAUAAUUAAAUUUGAUACUUAAGGACCGUCAACAAUUGUCACUAUUGUAAGGACAAUCCGCCACAAUAUGAUUGGGGCAGUUGCACUUGUAGCAUAGCCUUACAUGCUCCUUGUUAUUGAAGUGAUCUCUUCUCUUUCUUGUGUGAUAGCCCUUCUUCUUCAUCAUCUUGCCAAAUUUGCGGACAAAGAGUGCUAGUGCUUCAUCAUCACUAUCAUCAUUGGAGCACUCCUCAUCACUUGAUUCUUCCUUCUUGGCCUUGCCCUUGUUCUUGCUCUUGGAUGAAGAGCUAGCUUGGAAUGCUACACUCUUCUUCUUCUUAUCAUCAUCAUCCUUCUUCAUGACCUCAUCAUCAUCAUUGUCAUUGUAUUGAUCUUCGGUCAUGACAUCUCCAAGUACCUCAUUAGGAGAUACACCGGUCAAUCCACCUCUAAAGAUGAUUGUUCUCAAUGUCUUGAACCUCUUGGGCAAGCACAUCAAGAACUUGUGAAUGAAGUCCUCAUCCUUCACUUUCUCACCAAGGCCCUUGAGAUCAUUGAUGAUGACUUGGAGCCUAUAGAACAUCUCUGGUAUGGACUCAUCAUCCUUCAUCUUGAAGUUUGAUAGUUUGUCCUUGAGCAUGUACAACUUGGCACUUUUUACCGUUGUAGUGCCCUCAUAUGUUUCUUCUAAUCUUGUCCACACUUCACUUGCCUUCUCAAGAUCUUUGACUUGCUCAAAUACAUUUGAAUCAAUGCCAUUAUAGAUUGUGUCGAGAGCCAUAGUAUUGCAUUGCUUGUUUGCUCUCUCAUUGUCGGUGGGGUUAGCCGGAUCAAGAAUCACAAAGUCAUUCUCCGUGACUUCCCACACUCUAUCAUUUAUUGAUCCAAGGUACAUUUUCAUCUUUCUUUUCCAAUAGUCAAAAGAACUUGUGCCAUCAAAGAACGGUGGUUUGCCCCCAACAUGUUUGAACACUAUUUGAGCCAUAAUUUGAACACCGAGGUUGAUAAGCCUUCACAAAACAGUGACCACGGCUCCGAUACCACUUGAAAAGUCCUAAUAUGGCUAGAGGGGGGUGAAUAGCCUAUUUAAAAAUUCUACAAACUCACUAGAGCAAGAGGUUAGUAAAUAACAAAGCGAAGCUUUUUGCUCUAGCUCUAAAGGGGUGUUUGCAAGCCACCUAUCCCACAAUUCUAGUUGAUAUAAUCACUAGGCACACAAGAGCUAUGUCACUACUUGCACUAGAAGGCUACCUAAAGUUUCUAUACAAGUAAGUAAGCUACUCUAGUUUGCGGGAAUGUAAAAGAGUGGAUGAGAUAUUUAUACCACCAAGUAGGGGAUGAACCAAUCACCAAUAUAAACAAUCAAGCACCGGGAGAAUGCCAAUCAAACACAAUUGAGACACCAAUUUUUCUCCCGAGGUUCACGUGCUUGCCGGCACGCUACGUCCCCAUUGUGUCGACCAACACUUGGUGGUUCGGUGGCUAAGAGGUGUAACACGAACCUCGUCCUCACUAGGACACCACAAGAACCUACCCAAAAGUGAGGUAGCUCAAUGACACGAGCAAUCCACUAAUGUUGCCUUUGGCUCUCCGCUGAGGUAGGCACAAACCUCUCACAAUCACCGGGAGAUGGCCACGAACAAUCACCAACUCGUGCCAAUCCUCCUCCGCUGCUCCAAGCCGUCUAGGUGGCGGCAACCACCAAGAGUAACAAGAAAACCGCAGCCAAAUCGAUCCCCAAGUGCCACUAGAUGCAAUCACUCAAGCAAAUGCACUUGGAAUCACUCCCAAUCUCACAAAGAUGUAUAAUCUAUGAAGGAGAUGAGUGGGAGGUGUUUGCUUAGGCUCACAAGGAUGUCAAGUAUGUUAAAAUACCCAGAGUAUAUGCCCCAAGCCGGCCAAACACGUAUUUAUAGCCCCUCAAACAAAUAGAGCCGUUGGCUCUUUCACUGGGUGAAAAACGGGGUCACUGGACGCUCUUAAAGGGGCACCGGACGCUCAACACCAGCGUCCGGUGCUCUAACGUCAGCCGCGUGUCAGAGUCUAACGGGAACCUGCAGAGCACCGGACGCUGAGUCCGGUGCACACCGGACUCAUGCGCAGAGAGUUCCGCAAACUCGCAGGGUCACCGGACGCAAGCCACCGGACGCACCCUCAGCGUCCGGUGCUCACCGGACCCAUGCGCAGAGAGGGUCGCAAAACGCCCGUACACCGGACGCUAACCACCGGACGCUCAAGCCAGCGUCCGGUGCCUAUCGUCCGUGCCCUACCCUAGCUGGGCCAGGCACUAUCUGCACCGGACGCUCAGACGCAGCGUCCGGUGCUCCAGAAGCCAGCGUCCGGUGAGUGUUUUCUCAGCGAGAAACACUCCCGCGACUUCUCCAAAUUUCCCACCGGCGCAAUAGAAAAUAUGCACUUCAUUUUCUCGAAAAGCGCCGAAUCCCGCCUCGCAAGCUCGGCGGGAGGGGGAGAGGAACCCAUCCUCUCUCUACCCUUCAAACUCCACCUCCUUCUCAAAGUGUGCCAACACCACAACGUGUGUAUCAACAACUGCACGUGUGUUAGCAUUUUCACAAUCAUUUUCUUCGAAGGAGUUAAGUUAGCUCACUAGGUUCUAAAUGCAUGCACAUGAACAAAGACACCUAGUGGCACUUGAUAACCGCUUAGCCAAAGAAUUCCCCUCUUUAUAGUACGGCUAUCUAUCCUAAAUGUGAUCACACCCUCUAUGGUGUCUUAAUCACCAAAACCAAAACCCUAAGCAAUACCUUUGCCUUGAUCUCCAUAGGGUUUUGUUUUUCUCUUUCUUCUUUUCCAAGUUGAGCACUUGAUCAUCUUGUGGUUAUCACCAUCAUCACCAUGAUUAUCACUUGCUCCAUCACUUGGCAUGUACCAACCUCAUCAAGUCUACACACACUUAGCAUAGAGGUUAGUACUAGGGUUUCAUCAAUUAUCCAAAACCAAACUAGGGCUUUCACUCAUGGGGAUGUCAAAGGCGAGAGUGCACAUCCAAAACUCAUCUCCUUCAUCAUUCACGACCUCACUUGUGUACUACCCGAUUUUAAGGAUAAAACCAGAUAUGCACCAUAUGUGAGUCUUAGAAGCCAAAUCUCACAUAUAGCUACAAAUAAGGGGUAAUAUCAAAAGACAAUGCAUAAAUAUAUAACGUACUUAGUAUAAAAGAGUUAACAUUUAAUAGCAAACAACGGAUAGACAACUAGAACAGUACACCAAUCAUUUUGAAUUUUUGAGUUCAAAAACACUCAGAACAAAAAAACAAAAUGUAGAAGCAUGAGUGCACAAAAAUGUUGCUACACCCUAAGAUAAAUUUUAUUUUGAUGAAGAAUAUUAUUUCCUAGGUUUCAUGAGCACCAAAAAUUCAUAAUUAAAUCAUUUUAACUCUAUUUCCUAGAAAACAAUUUUUACGGUGUUACAAAUCUACCCCCUUAAAAUGAAUCUCGUCCUCGAGAUUCGGAAGAGGCACGGAUUCCGAAAGAGAAAAAAGGAGCAAGAUAUUGAUAACUAUUUCCGCUUCACAACUUGUACUCCAAAGAUAAACACUUAUGUCUUAUAGUCAUAUCUCGUGAACAAAUUUUCCGUAGAAUAUCUCAGAAGACAAUUAUCACUUCAAGAUAUAUUAGAUAUGCAUCAUCCGGUGAUAUCAAGGUACUACCCCCUUAAAACGAAGUUGAUUGGGGGACACUAGGGACUAGUUCUCCUAUCCUUUUUGGGCGCUACACAUCAUAUAGUCUUUUAACUUCGCUGUACCGAGUCUCUUGAUCCAAGGUUAGUUUCAUCACCAAGUUCCAAUUAUCGGUACCUUUAUCAUAGUUAAGUUGCUUCACCCUCAUAUUGUAUAUAUAACUUUGUUGACUUUGGUGUCAUCUGAUCCUCAUAAGUAUCACUCUUUAUCCAUGAGUAUCAGCAAUGACAUGUACCUCCAUUGAUGUUAGCACCCUCCAAUGGAAUGAUAUCUUGAAACAAACCAACAUACCCAACACUUGAUGUACUUGUAGAUGUUCCAGUCAUUAACCACUUCUUCUCCUUGUAACUUCUUUAAUUAGGCUACCCCCCUUAAGAAAGUCAUUUAGGGGACACACGAAAGGUAGUUUGCAUGUUUUCCAGACAAGUUAACUAACCUUGAGAACUUCGGACAGCCCAAAGAACUUAUGUGCAAGAGAACAAACAGGUAUCCUGAAAUUUUCCCGGGAUAUUAAGAACACCAGCGUAGUAAAACAGGUAUAACUCUCAUUCUGUUAAUCCAAUGGAUUUAUAGCUUAUAUCGUUAGAAAACUUAUGAAAUUCACCGCAACUUUCAUGUAGAAGACAUCCUUAGAUUCUGUCUUGAAGCUUAGGUAAAAUAGUCAAACAUAUUAUCCAUCCUGAAAAUGUCUCAGCAAAGGUGCAGUAGUUUCCAGAAGUUAUAUCUCGAGCUACUUUACUCAUCUGGAGAUGAUCCUUACAUGUUUGAAAAGCUUAGAAAAUCCUGUACAAUUUUCGUGUACAACUUGUUCCUAGAUUCUGUCUUUAACUUGGCUGAAAAUGGGUAAUACCAGAUCUGUCCGGAUUUUGGAAACAGAACAGAGACAUCCAAUUGUAAAUAUUAUAUCUCGGGUUCUACUUAUCCAAAUGAGUUCCAGCUUAUACCUUUAGAAACCUUAGAAAAUUGUCCACAACUUUUCUACAGAUCACGUUUCCAAAUUCUAUAGUUACAUUUGUCUCAAAGAGUAAAUAACCGAAACUGGUCCAGAUUCUUGACAGCACAUCUGUAUCCUCUUGUGAUUUUUGUAACUUCCAAACCAUCAUAGCUAUGAGGAUGAUUCUUGCGGUCAGAGAAAGAGCUUGAAGUCUAGUUGUUCCCAGAAAAAUUUGAUAAACUGUGCAUGAUCAGAACUUGAGAUACACCAUGAUUAUUGCAGACUGCUCCAGAAAUCAGCAAGGGAUAGAAACAUGACAUAACCAAACCCAACUACUUAUUUCAUUACUCCUUAUGCCUUAGGCCGAUAAACUAAAUGAAAUUUGCAAUCAUUACAAAAAUCCAAAUCAAGCAUAAACAUAUAACAAGCCAAUUAAGCAUUGAAGGUUCACACUUCACUCAACUUGCGAUACUAUGGUUUUCUUCAUAGUAAGGGUAGAGAUCCUAAAACUCCUAUUCAAAAGACACAAGAAGAUGAUAAGGGAAGGCUCUAAAAGCAUACCAACUCAAGGAGUGAAGAUGAGAACAAGAACUUUUAAAAUAAGCAACAAGGUAGAGACAAAUAGCAAGGAUAGAGAUAUAGUAUAGAGGAAAACAUAAAGGUUUAUAGAACAAGGGUGAUAUAACAAUUUUAAAUCUUAAGAUGGCCAAUUUCUAACUAGGCUUGCGUCCUACAGUCAGCAUUGCUUUGAUACCACUUUGUAAUACCCGAUUUUAAGGAUAAAACCAGAUAUGCACCAUAUGUGAGUCUCAGAAGCCAAAUCUCACAUAUAGCUACAAAUAAGGGGUAAUAUCAAAAGACAAUGCAUAAAUAUAUAAUGUACUUAGUAUAAAAGAGUUGACCUUUAAUAGCAAACAGCGGAUAGACAACUCCAACUUCGGGUAUUAACUUCUCUCUACAGGAUCCAACAGUCUUGACUGGUUGAUCACAAGCCUAAACUUCUCCUGAGGUUUGGGGGAAAUUGCAAGAGUGAGUCCAUGUCGAACUCCACAAGUAUAGCAACUAGAUUGUAUAGAGCCCACAAUCUCAUGAUCAAUGUGACAUAAAUAUUGUAGAGCAUUAAACAAUAAAUAAUGAGUAUUUUAACACAACAAGAAUCAUCACCCUUGAUGUAAGAAUCCCCAAGGCCGCUCGUGACCGUGAGCAUGGCUAGUAUACCAGUUUUACACUCUACAGAGGUUGUACAUCUUUACCCAUGAGUCAAGAUUUACCCUUUCGCCCGAGAUGAUCAGCCUCUUAACCCACUACCAAGGAAGGUCGGUAGGGAUCACUAUGAAUCCUUUCAAAGUUUCGUCUAACAAGUUAGGGCCAUUAGAUUCAUUCGGCAGGCAGAUAUAGAGUCCCCUUCCAUGGCACAUAACCCGCAGCCUAUACACAUGGACAGAGGCCACACUAUACCCAACGUGUCUAGCCAUUCUUACGCCAUUUAAGGUAACCGCUAACAAGCUAGAAAAAGGUCCUCAUACUGAGCUAAAGCCAGAGCCAUUAUAGCCCUCAUGGUUGCACUGUUGUCCCAGUUAUCACUUAUAGAUAAAUCAUCAAGUGGCUAAAAGUCAUUUUUAUCAUAUAUUACUUAACAUUAAUCUAGUCACAGGAUCACGGGUCACAGAAAUAACAUCCAAAUGCUAUACUUGCCUUGAUCCAAUUGCUCUUGCUGAUCUUGCUGGUCUUACUGGUUGUCCAAGGCUCUGAUCUUAAUCACUGAAGCACUCUGGUUCACCAAGAAUUACUUAUCGUCUAAUCUCGGUCAUCGAUCAUCGAUCACACAAACAAUCGAAGAAAACAUACACGAAGCAAACAAGGUUACAAUUAGAACAGUACACCAAUCAUAUAAAUAGUAUGAAAAGUUUAUAAAAUGAUUCUACGCAUCGGUACGAUCUCACAGACGUAAAGAUCACGAAAGUCAGAGUUGAAACGGAGAAUAUAUAAUUUUUUGAAGAUUUUAUAUAGAAAAGUAAUUAAUUAAAUAGGGUCACGAAAUUAAAAAGUUUUAAACUGAGUAAACAAUUUUACUAACAUGUAGUGAUCAUGAUUAUGAACCUAACACAAUUUGAAUGGAUCAAAACGGAAUUAAAAUGAGCAUUUUAUGAGCAAAACAGUUUCAGUGGCAAACUUGUAAAUAUCAAAAACGUACUUUGAACUCAACCCGGCCGAAACACGCUUUCCAGACGAGCUUGCGUAUUCUCCGCAGUACGUCAGGGACGGCGGGUUCUAUACUUAAGAACGCCAGGGUCUCUUUAGCAAAAACUCAGGCCGAAAGGGUAUCGGCCGAUCUGGUGAGUUGGAUUAGACACAGACGGUUUAGAUUGCGUCUGGGCAGUGUAGGGGUGGCCGCUGGCCAGCAUAGGGCACCGGCGCGGCGGCGCCAUGGCCGGAGACGGCCGGAACCUCGCCGGAGUUGGCGAUUUCGGCGAUACAGUCCACCAUUCACAAAAUAAAAUACAUGGGGAGCAAGAGGAGCUCCAGGCGCACUCACCCAGGGCACAAACGUGAACAAAGAAGGCUUGGAGCGGCCGGGCGAUGAUGGAUGGCGGACCGGAGUGUCCCUGCACGUACGGCAUCGAUGAGGGAGUACUGGAGCGCGAUAGAGGUUAAAAGAAGAGUCUCAGCACCUUCGUAGACCCGCUUCGAAGCUCGGAACACGAUCGAUGGUGCCCUAGGUGCGGCAGAGGGCAGGGACGACGGUGCGGCCGAGCUUGGCACCGGCGAGAUCCCAAAAUCGGGUCCCGGCAUUCUUGCGAUGACCAAGAGAGCAAAUAAACGCGGAGGGGAGGCUAGGGAACUUUAUAGAGGCAAGGAAGAUCUUCUCGUAGGGAUAAUCCCGUGGGGACCGGGAUUCGGCUCCCGUCCGCUCGGGCCGUGUCCUGCUUGGACACGCGAAGAAGGAGAAGGAAAGGGGAAGGAGACGCUGACCAGUGGGCCUAGGGUGUCAGCGAGAGAAACGGCGGGGUCUGGUUGCCAGUGGAAAGAAGAGUAGGGAGACGCGGCUUGGGCCGGCCUGCUGCGUAUCGGGCCGAGGAAGAGAGCGGGCCGUGGGGGAAAGAAAGGGGGAGAGCUGGGCCUUCGCCUGCUGUUCUGCUGGGCCAGGGAGGAGAGUAGGCCGAGGUGGGGGAAAGGUUUAGCUAGGUCUUCGGGCCAGAGGCAAGCGGGGAGGGUGUUGGUUUGUUUUUUCUUUUUCUUUUAUUCCAAAGCUAUUUGAAACUCAGUUAAAAAUUCUUUUCAAUCAUUUUGAAUUUUUGAGUUAAAAAACACUCAGCAAAAAAAAACAAAAUGUAGAAGCAUGAGUGCACAAAAAUAUUGCUACACCCUAAGAUAAAUUUUAUUUUAAUGAAGAAUAUUAUUUCCUAGGUUUCAUGAGCACCAAAAAUUCAUAAUUAAAUCAUUUUAACUCUAUUUCCCAGAAAACAAUUUUUAGGGUGUUACAUUGUUGUCUCGAAGAUGUCCCACACCUCAAGCAUCCAUAGUGCUACUUUCAACCACUUGACAGGUUUUAUAGUCUGUAACAUAUACAACAAUCACAUUAUGAAGGAAUGUAUACAUGCAAAAAUUAUAAUAGCACACGAAACUUAAAAUAUUCCAUAUUAUUGAGUGGUCUGGGUAACACGGAACAGCCCGAUCUGGUAAUGGCGUGAAUAGAAGAUCACCAGGGUGGAAUCUAGGUCCCUCUAGCUCGAGAAGUCCGCCGCCAUUCAUCGUAACUAAAACAAAAAUCUGAGAAAAGCAUCACAAUUAAUAUAGAACCCCCAUAUGAAUACACCAUACAACAACAUAUAUGUGAGAAACAUAUAAACAAUAAAUUAUCAAUAAAGAUCUAGAAAACAAAAAAUGUAUUAUGGAGAAAUGAUGUAUAAAUGAAAAUAAAAUCCACUAUUAUUAGAAGUUGAAGUUGCUAACCUUUACAAAAUAAAAAUGCAUGGAAUAAGAUGAUAACCUUUAGAAGGAUUUGGUCGUUCAAAGAUGCUUGACAACAACCGGCAAGAACUGUUGUUGCUCCCCUAAGCAGGAACACUCUGCGCAAUAUCUUUGUACUGAAUUGGAUCGGGCUGAUUAUUUAGGAGGGGCAUCUUUAGGGGCGGUUGAUUAAAGAGAACCACAGCUUUAAAUCACUUUGUAAGGGUGGUUCCCUUAACUAAGCCGUCUUUGAACAUUUCAAAGUUUUAGAGACAGUUAUGUAAAGAGACCGUCUCUAAAAAUUCAGCUUCAGUAGCAGCCUUCUUAACUAAACUGCCACUGAAAAUGAACGUCUAUCAGAGAUGGUAUUCUUAAUAGAAUCGCUCCUAAAGAUCCAUCUUCAGAGCCAUUGUUGUUAACUAAACUGCCUUUGAAAAUGGACUUGUAUUAGACGGUUUUCUUAAUAAAACCGCCCCUCAAGAUGAAUUUUCAAAGGCGAUCAUGAAGCUACAGUGCACUACCAAAUUUUGACCCUAUUGCAUCACGUCCUCUUGCAUCAAACACAAAUAUGAUGGCACUAUCAAAUUUUGACCCUAUUGUAUCACGUCCUCUUGCAUCGAACACAAAUUUGAUGCACUAGGUGGCUGCUAUUGCAUCAAUUUUGGAAAACUGAUGCAAUAGGUGGCCAUUAUUGCAUUGAAAAUGAGAUGGAUGUAAUAGUAAUUCAUGUUGAUGCAAUAGGUAUGACAUAUCGCAUUAUUUUAAACAAGGGGUGCAAUAGGUAUGACACCUUUGGCCGCAUUAGUAUUGAUUUUUUUUGCAAUAUGUUGGUCGUAUUGCAUCGAUUUAUAAUAUGGAUACAAUUAGAAAGUACUAUUGCAACGGAUUUGUGUUUGAUGUAAGGUCAUAUUUGCGACUGAGUAGCUAGCUGCUAGGACCAUGUGUAAGUUAUAUAUAUAUUUUGAAAUAAAAUUGACUAAUAUGAAAAAAACAUCUUAUGACUGCAUAGCUAGCUACUGGGAACACGUCUAAGUGAAUAGCUAGUUAGUGGGACCACUUGUAAGUUAAUUAUUUUUUGAAAUAAAAUUGACUAACGUGAAAAUAACACCUUGUGACUACAUGAAAAGUGAAUUGUCAAUUUAAACAAAAUACCACGUCUAAUAAAUGAGUUGUUAAUUAUUUUAAAAAAAUCACAUGCGAGGGGGCCGGGUAAGAGGAGUUGAAGUUUGAUUCCUACCGUGUUAUCCAACUAUACAUUAGUAAUGCAUGUCAUUUUGACUUUUUCAGGACAAUCAACCUUGAGGGAGUAUUGGCAAGCUGAAUGGAAUCAAAUAUUGUGUAACAAGAAAGAUGUCAUGUUGAUCUGUGCUAGGAGAUGUGUAUUUUUGUUUAUGAUUUCCUUUUUGUAACAUAAGUUAGUGGUUUGUAACACAGUUCAAAACUUUGCAAUUACCUUCUCUGAAAUAGGAAGGCCAUUGAUUUCCUUAUAUUAUACAAACUAUUGAAUGAUGAUGACCAAGUUACUAAUUGUUGGGUAUUCUUAACAUCAUUACCAAAAGUAGACUAAGUUCUCCAAAUCUAGUAACGGUGCGAAAAAUGCCAAACCUAUCCCUCACACCACUUAAGCCAAGUUGUCAUCCCCAGCAUGAUAUAAGAGACGCGGUAUUGAAAUAUGCAAUUGCUCUUCUAAAUAAAUAAUGAAUGGGAUCUGCAAGCGCACAGAUUAAUACCGAUGUAGCAUUUUAACCGGGAAGUAUUCCAGGUAUCGUUAUUUAUAUUUUUACCACUGGGAAGGGAUUAACAAUCAUCAAUAUUGAUUACAGAAUAAAAUAUGAGAUUGAGCAUCUAUCAUUGCAUGUAUAAUGGAGAACAUUAUAUCUAACUUCUCAUACAGGGAUAAGUGUCACAUAAGAGAUAUAUGAAAUAAUAAUAGUGACAAGGAUAACUAAUCUGAUCUAGCCACAUAAUAAAUAUGAUAAGCACCUCAAUUAGAUACUCUAGAAAGUCAUUAGCAUGGUAUUAGAACGAACUACAAGAAUAUUCUCUAAGUUAUUCUUAACUAUAUAGUCUAGCAUUAUCAUAGUUAGUGCAAGCAUACUUAGCAAUCAUUGCGAGUCAAGACUACGCCCAUGCAUAGUGAUAUUAGCAAGGAAUAUGAGAAACAUAGCAAUCACUCCCCUGUAAUAAUGUUGCUCUGCCAGCCCAAUACACGAGAGGGGGACUAUAUAAGAAUCAAUGAAGCUGUCACUAUCACGAACCACCCCACGAUCAGGCAUAUUGGGUACAAUCGCAGAUAAAUACGGUAUAAGCACCACGCCUAAACCCUAAACCCAUGGAUCCGAUGGAUAAACGCUAUACGAUCCUAAGCAUGUAUAUAGAUCAAAUCUAACUAAGCCAAGUACAUAACUAUGAUAAACUAAGAACAAUAUAAUCUUGAAUAUAAGCAAGUAGAGCAAAGUCAUAAGCAAUAUAUUGAAGUAGAACAAAGUCAUAUUCAUAAUAUUGAAGAACAAAGAUAAUUAGAAAACAAUUAGAAGCACAAUUAGAGAAUUACCAAGAAUCCUCCUGACAGAUCCGGAAACCAAUCGAAGAUUGACUCCUUCUAGUUCUAAUCCUAUGUAGCUAUGCUAAUCUAGAUAUCUAAUUGACGUGGUGGCUCUAAUCUUGAUCAGAGGCUUCUUCUCCCUUGAUGGAAUAAUGAAUUAGGGUUGAGAGGCUCUCUCCUCCAGGGGCCAGGGGGUCUGGUUUUAUAGUCCCUUCAAGUGAAUAUGGGCCCUUGGAUCAAACCGACAUAGAUUGUAUGGUUUAGAUUCAUCCUUUAGGUCGGUGGAGAUUUCCGCGAAGCAGAGUCCUGAUUGGACUCCUGGAGGGGGCGGGCGCCCAGUAGGACAGGGCGGGCGCCCUGCCUCUGGCCCCGUUUCGCCUCCGCUUCGGUCUCGUGGCUUCUGGAGUCUUCUAGAUGUAAGAUAAUUGCGCAGCACGUUAAUAUCUUUACGUAAUCCCGACGUGUGGGCCUUUCUUCCGUAUUUCCUGAUAACCCCCUGCAGAAAUAGACAAACACCAAAACCCGUGGAAUUCUGUCAGAUAAAACCCAAAGUCUAGAUCUUGAUUUCAUUUGGAUCCUUUUCUUAUUUAUUUGAUAAUUAAAUUUGAUACUUAAGGACCAUCAACAAACUCCCCCAAGCUUACCUCUUGCUCGUCCCUGAGCAAGGAUAGACUCAGCUAUGGAUCAGAAGUUGCUGCAAUAUCUUUAAAAUUUGACGGUACACAUACUUUUAAAUAAGAUCUCAUCUCUGAGUUAGAGUAAACUGUCAAGACUUAAAACUUACUUACUUUACCUCCAUCAUGGGACUUGUAACUGUCACUUCUGUCUUGAGUAGUUAAAAGAAAGAACAGUCUAGCCAAGUGCCAUGUCUCUUAUUCUUGAUCAGCUAUAGCUCUGGUGUUUUUUACAGAUUUUCAAAUAAAACUUAGAGAUUCCUUGUAUGAUUCUCUCAAAUCUCUCUUUUGUGGUAUUUCUGGAUCGUUACCAAGGCAGUGAUGGUAUAUGCCUUCUCUCAAGAUAUGUAGUAUUUGUGGUAUAAAGCAUAGUGACAUUGUCUUCUUUCUCACCCUACUCUAAUAAGGCUUUAAUAUCUGGAGCUCAUAGGUGGGAGAUAAAGUAUACAUACUUACAAGACAUGUGUUGCAUAAUCAAACCAUGGAUCCAAAGAAACAAAUCAAUAAGCCAAAUCAAGAUGUGCAUGUGUGGCGAAUGAAUGAUGUAUGGUGAUGAUGGUGAUAAUAAUGGUGAAAACAAUGGUGAAAACAAUGGCGGUGGAAGUAUAAUUCUACUUUGCUCUUUUGAGGGGAUACAUACCUUCCUUGCUUUUUGAAAUUUUAUGAGGAGAAUGAGAUGCUCUUCUUUUUCUUUUCUUUUCUUUUCUCUCAGGUGGGUAUCUUGCACCCCUAAUUCUACUGUCGGACACUUGUCCAUUUUUACCUCUCGUCUCACUUUUUCUUUUCUUUCGAGGUUCCGAGCACUUGCUCCUUUUUAUUUCCUCGUAUCUCUCUCUGUUUUUUUUAGAGCAUUCAUCUCUUGAGAUAAUAUAGCAAGUGGUAGUAACAAGAUAACUUGAGCAUUUAUUUCACAAGGGGAAAACAGAAAUAUUUUUGGUUAUUCUCUCCCGGAUUAGGAGUAGAAUAUUUUUAGGUGGUUCUGGAGAUGGAAAUAGAUGGAUAUAUGUGGAUGGUACUUCCGGAGUAGAAGUAGCAUAUAUGAGUGAACGUGCAAGUGAAAUCUUGAUUUAACCACAUGACAAGCUCCUAAGGGUCUACACAGCUUGACCACACUCAAUGCUCAUAAGCAGUAAAUAGUAAAUGUGUGGCUCAAAGUCUAGCAAGCAUGUAUAUAUGGUUGUGGUAGGAAUUUAAAACUCUCAUCAUACAGGAACUCAUCAUGCAACAUUUUUAAAGAUUUUCAAAGAUAAAAUUCUCCAGAAUUCUAGCAUCUCUAGAAACAGAUAAACAGCAGCUCAACCUUCCCAUAUCAUAUCCGUUAACAACUUAGACUUUAGAUCAAGUUUUCAUCCCACAAGUUUUGGUCUAGAGCAAGAUUUAAAUUAUAACAGUUAUGUCUAAACUUGAGAGAGAACUUAAAAUGUGCACAUUAGGCAGAGCAACUAUUCAUCAUAUCCAUGCUUAAGUUUUAUUUAGAUACAGAUUAGCAUAGCU